CAAAUGUUCCCUUAGCUAAGUUGCAGGAGAAGUAUCAGGACGGAAUGAUGAAAUCGAAAGAUAAAAGGAUGAAGGCAACUUCAGAGAUUCUCCGGAACAUGAGAAUUCUGAAGCUUCAGGGAUGGGAGAUGAAAUUCUUGUCGAAGAUUUUUGAGCUUCGAAAUGCCGAGAUAGGAUGGUUGAAGAAGUUCGUUUACACUCAAGCAAUGACCUCUUUCGUUUUCUGGGGCGCACCCACCUUUGUUUCCGUCGUCACUUUCAGCGCAUGUAUGUUGAUGGGGAUCCCGCUUUCUUCUGGAAAAAUCUUAUCAUCCCUCGCAACGUUUAGGAUCCUCGAAGAGCCCAUCUACUGUCUUCCUGACUUGAUAUCAAUGAUAGCUCAGACAAAGGUCUCACUCGACAGAAUAGCAUCUUUCUUGUGUCUUGAUGAUUUGCAGAAUGAUGUUGUCGAGAGGAUUCCUCAGGGAAUUACUGACACAGCAGUUGAGAUAAUUGGUGGGAAUUUUUCCUGGGACUUGGCUUCGUCUAAUCCCACACUUAAGGACAUAAAUUUGAAGGCACAAAGGGGCAUGAAGAUCGCUGUUUCUGGUACUGUCGGCUCAGGAAAAUCAAGCUUGCUUUCCUGCAUUCUGGGAGAAAUGCCAAAGAUAUCUGGGACCCUCAGGCUGUGUGGAACUAAGGCUUAUGUCGCUCAAUCUCCAUGGAUUCAGAGUGGCAAGAUCAUCGACAACAUCUUAUUUGGUAAGGAGAUGGACAAAGAGAGAUAUGAAAGGGUCCUUGAAGCAUGCUCCUUGAAGAAGGAUUUGGAAAUUCUAUCACACGGCGAUCAAACAGUCAUUGGAGAGAGAGGAAUAAAUCUGAGUGGUGGACAAAAGCAAAGAAUUCAGAUUGCUCGUGCGGUCUACCAAGAUGCGGACAUUUACUUAUUCGACGACCCUUUUAGUGCUGUGGAUGCUCAUACAGGAUCUCAUCUCUAUAAGGUAACCUGCAUGUACCUGCUAAUUCCGAGUUGUUGGCACUUGGUAGAAUUGCAAUACGCAUGCAGCCUCACACUCAUAGAAGCACAUAUUUGUAGAUGGGCUAAUUUUUUGUCUUUCUUUUUGGUUCUUGGAGGCAGGGUAGUUCUUUUAAGGGCCUCCCUCCUCACUCUCUCUCGCGAGAUUUGCCAAACUUUGUUUCGUUGCUGCAUGCAUUGUGUUUGUGUUGAAUUAUCCUGAUUUUUAGGAGCUGAUUAUUAGGAAUAUUCAAUCCUGAUUUUUUGGGUCCUAAUUAUUAGGAAAUUGCUGUAAAUAAUUAGUUAGGAAAUGCUUUAUUAGUAUCCCUUGAUUUGUGGGAUUAUAGCUGUAUUAUUUAGAUAUAUUUUUUCCUAGUUUUUGGUUCUGUUUUUUCCUAGUUAGUACUUGUAGAAGUCCUAUAAAUAGCUUUGUAAUCUUUGUAAUCCUAGUACAAAAAUAUAGAGAAUUAUCACAAUUAUUUUCUCUAAAUUCUUCAUGGUAUCAGAGCAUUAGGCUCACUUUUCUAGGAUAGUGUUGCAGUGCAUCCUUCAUUGAUGCAAUAAUCUUCCAAUCACAGCCUUCAUUGCUGGAUUUGUCUGUCCUUAACAAUCUGAUCGCAAAUGUCAUUGUUGUGAUCCCUUGAGCUAUAUUUUUCCCUCUUCGCUUCUAAACUUGUCCCUUUUUUUUUUGCCCUAAAAACCUUAUUCACCUGCAGCCUUUACUACUUCUGUUUUUUUUUUUUUUUUUUGUUCUUCCUUUCCAAGUACUUUCUUUGUGCCUAGAAUUAUCCAUGUCUGAGACAAAAUUGAUUGGAGAUACUUUGGGUCAAAAUGAGGAGGCCAACACCAACCAUAUGACUGGAGAUCUACAAAAUGUGGAGCAACUUAUAGGCUGAAUGAAAAGAAUUAUCUCAAAUAGUCACAAUUCGUCAUGACCUAUUUGAAGGGUAAAGGAAGACUCAGCCAUUUUCUUGGAACAAGUCCAACAGCAGAAGAUCUCACGUUCAACGCAUGUGAUGAGGCAGAUUCAAUGAUCAUGUCAUGGCUUUGGGAUUCAAUGGAUCCGGACAUAAGUGAUACAUGUAUGUUUCUCAAAACUGCAAAGGAGAUUUGGGAUUCUAUUCGCAAGACUUAUUAAAAGGCUUGAGAUGCAGCACAAGUAUAUGAAAUCAAGGUAAAGACAAGUGCAAAAAAACAAGGGAGCAAAACAAUGACGAAAUAUGCCUAUUCCCUUCAAAAUCUAUGGCAAGAACUCAAUCAUUAUCGAGUAUUUGAGAUGAAGUGUGCAAAUGAUGCUGUAACUCUAAAAACCUUCAUUGAAAAGGAUCAAGUAUAUGAUUUCCUGGCAGGUCUUAAUUUUGAAUUUGACCAAGUCAAGAUUCGGAUACUUGGAAAGGAAGAAAUCCCUUCUUUGGAAGAGACGAUCUCUCUAAUCCGGGCAGAAGAAAGUGGAAUGGGAAUAAUGCUAGAGCCUUAAGCUAUGGAAAGCUUAGCAUUAGUAACUCGUAAUGCGUCAACACAAGAAAGAGGAAAGGUGGAUGCUUCGAGGCCAACGUGGAGGGAUAAUCGAGAUAGUUUGUGGUGUACCUACUGUAAGAAGCCAAGGCAUACAAAGGAACGCUGCUGAAAACUGAAUGGCAAACCCACAACCUCAAGCCGAGAGUGGGGAAACAAAGGAGGACAACCAAGGCCCCAAGCUCAUCUAAUUGAACAAACCAGCCAGCAAAUCAGUCACAAUGAAGGACAGGUGAAAGAAUCAUUUAGUAGUAAGGAAAUAGAAAGAAUUAAAGGGCUUUUAGGGUCUCUUGAUAAACCCUCCGGUUAAUGUUCCUUAGCACGCUCAGGUAAGUCUCCAUUCUUUUUUUGUCUAAAUGCCUCAGAAAAACUUUCAAGUGAAGCUUGGAUAAUAACUGACCCAAAAAAAAAAAAAAAGCUUGGAUAAUAGACUUAGGUGCCACUGAUCACAUGACUCACACUUCACAUUUUUUUAGUACCUACACCCUAUGUCCAAGCAAUAGGAAAAUAAUGGUGGCAGAUGGUUCUCUAGCCACUGUUGCAGGAGUUGGUGAUAUCUAUAUUACACCUGUUCUCACUCUAAAAGAUGUCCUUCAUGUGCCAAAACUAUCAGCUAGCAUAGUCUCCAUACAAAGGCUCACCAAUGACCUCAAAUGUUAUGCAAUUUUUUACCCUACCUACUAAGUUUUUAGGAACAACAUUCAGAGAGGAAGAUUGGACUUGCUAAGGAAAAGAAUGGGUUGUACUAUCUUGAGACGCCAAGGAUUUCGAAGAAAGUCAUAAACAAUUCUCCCUUAUCAUUUCUUAGUGCUUCAAAUAAGGAUGUCAUUUGGCUUUACCAUUUUCGUUUUGGUAAUCCAUCUUUUCGUGUCUUAAAUAUCAUGUUUCCAUCCUUGUUUAAAGGAUUAGAUAUGAGUCAAUUCCAAUGUGAUACUUGUGAAUUUGCUAAGCACAUCCGUGUAUCUUUUCCUAUAAACAACAAAAGAAGUUCUCAUCCUUUUGAUUUGAUUCACAAUGACAUUUGAGGACCUUCCACAAGGCUCGAUGGUUUGUUUCUCUAAUCGAUGAUUGCACUAGGGUCACAUGGAUAUUCUUACUCAAACACAAAUCUGAUGUAAGUAGUAUUAUUCCUAAUUUUAAUUCUAUAGUUCAAAAUCAAUUUGGAGUUAAAAUUAAGAGCUUUAGAUCAAAUAAUGCUAGAGACUACUUUAAUAAGAUCUUGUCAACCUAUUUCCAAAAGGAAGGGAUCAUCCAUGAGAGUCAUCGUGUGUAAACACACCACAACAAAAUGGGGGUGGUUGAAAGGAAAAUGGUCAUUUGCUCAACACUACUCGAGCAUUGUCGUUUCAUGGAAAUGUCCCUACGUCUUAUUGGGGGGAAGCUGUCCUUACAUCUACAUACAUGAUUAAUAGAUUGCCAUCAAGAGUAUUAGAUUUCAAAACUCCUAUGGCAAUUUUUUCUAGUUUUUAUCCCCAUUUCAGGACAACAAAUAAUCUCACACCUAGAGUCUUCGGUUGCACCUCAUUUGUACAUGCUCAUAAUCAGCAAAGGGGAAAACUAGAUCCUAGAGCAAUCAAGUGUGUCUUUCUUGGUUACUCCUCUACACAAAAGGGGUAUAAAUGUUAUCAUCCUCCUUCUCAAAAGACCUAUAUAUUAGUCGAUGUUACAUUUGUAGAAAACAAACCUUACUUUCCACAGUCUUAUCUUUAGGGGGAGAAGUCAUUAGUUGAAGAUAAAGACUUUGACGAUCUUAAUCUUGACUUACCUCCUAAUAAUCUUCCAAUCUGAGCUCCCACUUUUGGUCAACCAAUCCCUAAUCAAUCGACUCCUAACCAAUCAGCCUCCAGCUCUGAUUAACAGGCUCCUCAUGAGUCAGUUCGUGCUACUUCAAUUCCAGAACAAGAGUCCACUCCCAUAUUUCCCCGUAUUUAUGACUCUAUGAGAUUUCCUCAGGUAUACUUAAGAAAGAUAGCUGUUCCAGACCAAACACAAGUUCAAGAUUCCCAUCCGAAUUUUGCAAAUGAAUUUCCGGUAAGUUCCAAAUCUCCUUUGCAUAAAUAGUCAAUUGAUAUGCCAUAAAAUGACUCGCGUCUUCCCAUUGCUGUUAGAAAAUGUACUAGGGAGUGCACAAAGCGACCCUUAUAUCCACUAUCUCAUUAUGUGUCACUUGACCACCUAUCACUAUCUCAUAAAAAUUUCAUUGUAAGUCUAAACACCAUUUUUAUUCCAAAUACUUUAUCUGAGGCAUUGUCUAAAGAAGAAUGAAGGAAUGCAAUGAGAGGAAAUUGAUGCCCUAAAAAAAAAAAAAAAACCAAACUUGGGAGAUUGUUAAAAAAACCUAAGAGAAAGAAUCUUGUGGACUGCAAAUGGGUUUUUACCUUGAAAUACAAAACUGAUGGUUCUCUUGAGAUAUAUAAAGCACGAUUGGUGGCAAAGGGUUAUACUAAGACCUAUGGAGUAGAUUAUUAGACAUUCGCUCCAGUGGCAAAGAUGAACACCAUGAGAAUUCUACUCUCUUUGGCGGCUCACUUUAAUUGGCAACUUCAAUAGUAUGAUGUGAAGAAUGCAUUCUUACAUGGAGACCUAGAAGAGGAGAUCUACAUGAGUAUUCCACCGGGAUUUGAAAGAGAAAAGACAAGAAACAAAACAUGUAGCACUAUAUGGGCUCAAGUAAUCACCUAGAGCCUAGUUUGGGAGAUUUUCCAGAGUUAUGAAAGCUUCAGGCCACAAGCCAAGGUGAUCAUACUCUUUUCAUUAAGCAUUCAACAAGAGGGAGAGUGACAUCACUUCUAGUGUACGUCGAUGAUAUUAUUGUCACAAGUGACAAUGAUGAGGAGAAACAGCAGCUAAAGCAGUGUUUGAUUAAAGAGUUUGAAAUAAAAGAUCUAGAAAGACUCAAAUACUUUCUUGGCAUUGAAGUUUCUUACUCUAGACAAGGAAUUUUUGUCUCACAACAGAAGUAUGUGACUUCUCUUGAAGGAAACUAGAAAACUAGGUUGUAAACCAGUAGCUACACCUAUUGAGCCUAAUAAAAGGCUUGGGGAUGCAAAGGAGACUUGUGUAGAUCGAGAAAUGUAUCAAAAAUNNNNNNNNNNNNNNNNNNNNNNNNNNNNNNNNNNNNNNNNNNNNNNNNNNNNNNNNNNNNNNNNNNNNNNNNNNNNNNNNNNNNNNNNNNNNNNNNNNNNNNNNNNNNNNNNNNNNNNNNNNNNNNNNNNNNNNNNNNNNNNNNNNNNNNNNNNNNNNNNNNNNNNNNNNNNNNNNNNNNNNNNNNNNNNNNNNNNNNNNNNNNNNNNNNNNNNNNNCAUGGUGGAUAGAAGGUCCACAUCUGGUUAUUGCACAUUUCUUGGCGGAAAUUUAGUGACUUGGCAGAGUAAAAAAUAGAAUGUAGUUGCAAGAUCAAGUGCUGAAUCAGAAUUUCAAGCAAUGGCCCAAGGAAUAUGUGAGCUAUUAUGGCUUAAAAUCAUCCUAGAAAACUUGAAAAUCGAGUGGGAGGGUCCUAUGAAGCUGUAUUGUGACAAUAAAUCAGCAAUUAAUAUUGCUCAUAAUCUCGUACAACAUGAUAGGACAAAGCAUAUUGAAAUUGACAGGCAUUUCAUCAAAGAAAAGAUAGAAGAGGGGUUGAUCUGCAUGUCCUACAUACCUCUCGGAGAUCAACUAGCUAAUGUGCUAACCAAAGGACUUAAUGGUGGGAUCAUUCACGAAAUUAUCUCCAAGCUGGGAAUGGAAGACAUCUAUUCCUCAGCUUGAGGGGGAGUGUUGAAUUAUCCUAAUUUUUAGAAGCUGAUUAUUAGGAAUAUUCAAUCUUGAUUUUUUGGGUCCUAAUUACUAGGAAAUAGCUGUAAAUAAUUAGUUAGGAAAUGAUUUAUUAGUAUCCCUUGAUUUGUGGGAUUAUAGCUGUAUUAUUCAGAUCUGUUUUUUCCUAGUUAGUACUUGUAGAAGUCCUAUAAAUAGCUUUGUAAUCCUGGUACAAAAAUAUAGAGAAUUAUCACAAUUCUUUUCUCUAAAUUCUUCGGUUUGUGCUUUGGGAAUUGACUACUAAUUGAAUUUGUAUUUGAUAGGAAUGCUUGUUGGGCCUUUUACGUACCAAAACUGUGAUUUACGUAACUCAUCAAGUGGAAUUCUUGCCCGCGGCUGAUUUCAUACUGGUGAGCAAUUCACAAAUUACAGAACCUGUUUUUCAUUCAUUCUAGUUGUAGAGUCACGAUACAAGGCAUUGUUCUUAUUUUUCAUCAGGUUAUGAAGGAUGGAAGGAUUACGGAAGCAGGAAAAUACAACGAUAUACUUCAUGCAGGGACAAAUUUCAUGGAACUUGUAGGUGCACAUGAGAAAGCUUUGUCAGAGGUAGAUUCCAUACAAGACACACCGGCAAAUCGAGGAUCUAGUAGCAGUGUUCAAAAUGGCAGUGCGGAUGCUAAUGGGAAGAUUCCCGAGGAGGACGAAAGCAAAGCUUCUCAGAAAGGUGAAGUCAUCGACGAUGUUGGGACCAAAGGGCAGCUUGUUCAAGAUGAAGAAAGAGAGAAAGGUAGAGUCGGAUUUACAGUGUACUGGAAAUACAUCACAAUGGCAUAUGGAGGAGCUCUUGUGCCUGUCAUAUUGCUGGCACAUAUUCUUUUUCAGCUUCUUCAAAUAGGAAGUAAUUAUUGGAUGGCCUGGGCGACUCCAGUGUCCGAGGAUGUCAAACCUGCCGUUACAGGAUCAACUCUAAUAGCAGUCUAUGUAGCUUUGGCUGCUGGCAGUUCUCUAUGUGUUCUUGCAAGAGCUACUGCUCUUGCAAUUGCUGGGUUCAAGACAGCAACCGAGCUCUUCAAUAGGAUGCACUUUUGUAUUUUCCGUGCUCCAAUGUCCUUCUUCGAUUCUACUCCAAGCGGAAGAAUCCUCAAUAGGGUAUGUAUAAUAUGCUCGUUAUGAUAUUGUUACAGGGGUAUGUAUUUCUUCGAUUUAAGCUUGCAGAGGUCUCUCUUUUAUCCAAUCGCUUGUAUUUUCGUUUGUGUUGACUACGAUUAUCCAUGCGCAACUGCAUCUAUUAUGGCGUCUUUUCUUUGCUUUUGUAGGCUUCUACAGACCAGAGUGCCGUGGAUACAAGCAUGCAAUAUUUAGUUGCAGCAUUUUGUUUCACGAUGAUCCAGCUCCUUGGAAUUAUCGCUGUGAUGUCUCAGGUUGCAUGGCAGGUUUUCAUAAUUUUUAUCCCUGUUAUUGCAAUCUGUGUGUGGUAUCAGGUAAUCAUCCGAGCUCUUCCGAUCUUUUUCUAACUGUCAAGAAGAGCAAAGAGGACUUGGCUUUCUUUCUUUUCAGGAGGAUUGUUCUGGUUUUAGAUGUAUUCCGCUAGUUAUUUUGUUUCCUCACUCAUGGAAGGAGUGAAAUGGUGACACUCCCAUCCCAACCGUCUUCUCAUAAAAGCCUUGAAAUUUUGUGCUUGUUCGUCAAAGUCCUUUCACUUUUUUUCUCAUGAGUGACAAACUGUUGGCACAUCGUGAGCUUGAACGAGUAUCUGUAUACAUUGGGUCUAUGUAGAUACUUUUGAAUUUGCGAAAAUAUACACUGACUGAAUUAUUUUCGCAUCCACAGCAAUAUUACAUAUCUUCUGCACGAGAAUUGUCAAGGUUGGUUGGGGUGUGCAAAGCUCCAGUAAUACAGCACUUUGCUGAGACAAUUUCAGGAGCCACCACUAUUAGAAGCUUUGAUCAAGAAUCACGGUUCCAAGAUACAAAUAUGAAACUUGCCGAUGGAUACUCACGGCCCAAGUUUCAUAUUGCUGGGGCAAUGGAAUGGUUGUGUUUUCGCCUAGACAUGCUAUCCUCGAUUAUUUUUGGCUUUUCUUUGAUUUUCCUAGUCUCUGUUCCUGAGGGAUUUAUCGAUCCAGGUAAGAACUUUCUUUUAGAUUUUCAAAUGCUGUUGUAUCUAUUUAAUUGUUUCUGGAACUUUUAACAUUUAAAUUGCUUCUUUCCUGAUGUCUGAAGCCAUUGCGGGGUUGGCCGUGACCUAUGGGCUUAACCUAAACAUGUUACAAGCUUGGGUGAUUCGGAAUCUCUGCACUAUGGAGAACAGAAUCAUAUCAGUUGAGAGGAUACUGCAGUACACCAGCAUUCCGAGUGAGCCCCCUCUUAUAUUAGAGGAAAAUCACCCGUCAAUCUCUUGGCCAUCACACGGAGAGAUCAACAUUUGCCAUCUGCAGGUACAUGAAGCUUCUGUAUCAUCUCAUAUUACAGCUUUUACAAUUCACGAUUGACCUAUUUUUGUGACAACCAUGCGAAACGUAGGUCCAAUAUGCUUCACACUUACCCCUUGUUCUGCGGGGAAUUACAUGCACUUUGCCUGGUGGAAUGAAAACCGGGAUCGUGGGGAGAACUGGAAGCGGUAAAUCAACCCUUAUGCAAGCACUCUUCAGGAUUGUGGAACCUGCAGCUGGUCAAAUCAUGAUCGACAAUGUCAAUAUUUCCUUGAUUGGACUGCACGAUUUGAGGUCUAGACUGAGCAUAAUCCCUCAGGACCCAACCAUGUUUGAAGGAACCAUAAGAAGCAACUUGGACCCUCUGGAGGAGUACACAGAUGAGCAGAUUUGGGAGGUUUGUUCAUUUCCUUGCACAAGUUAAAAUAACAUAAGAGGCAGAUUUAUCGAUGAUGUCGGUUAACGAGGUUUCUGCAAAUUUUAGGCCCUGCAUAAGUGCCAACUUGCAGAGGAGGUCCAGAAGAAGGAAGGAAAAUUAGAUUCUGCUGGUAAAUUUUAUUCCCUUUUCCUCCUGUGACUGCUCUUUUGUGGUUCUCCUAGAUGCAUUUAUAUGAAGAGGCAUUUUAAUACAAUUCCUGGAAGUUUAACUGAUCAUGUAGUUUGCAAUAUCCUUUACAUCGUACAUUAAUCAAUCUUCGCAUUAUCUCAAGAUUUUUGGACAGGCAUGAAAAGCACUAAAACAUAAGUUUGAUGUUUCCAAAAACACAAAACAAUAUCUUUGAUAACCUUUUCCACCCUCUCUUUUUCAUAGCUGUUAUCUAUAUUUGUCAUUAUGCAGUUAUUGAGAAUGGAGAGAACUGGAGCAUGGGUCAGAGGCAGCUCGUGUGUCUUGGGCGCGUGCUGCUCAAGAAAAGCAAGAUCCUAGUGCUCGAUGAAGCUACCGCAUCCGUUGACACAGCUACUGAUAAUCUGAUACAGCAAACUCUGAGGCAGCACUUUGCUGACUGUACAGUUAUAACUAUUGCACAUCGUAUCACUUCUGUUCUUGAUAGUGACAUGGUUCUUGUUUUAGAUCAUGGUCAGUAUCUUUUAACGAUUUCUCCUUGCUCUUGCUGUCGCAUUCUGCAUUAAUCUUUUCUUAAGUGAAAUGAUACGAGCUCUCUUGAUCCACUGUGCAGGGCUGGUGGAAGAAUAUGAUUCUCCGAAGAGAUUACUGGACAACAAGUCAUCGUCCUUUGCGCUGCUGGUGGCGGAAUACACAAUGAGAGCAACCUCCAAUUACGGGAAUUAACUGGAAUGCAGUAUGAUUGCAUUGGAAUAGUUCCUCUGAUGAUGAUGAAAAGUGUGACUGGCCUUCUAUGUCAUCUGUCAUGUUCUUGUUUUAUUAUAGGCAAGUCAUUCUUGAUUGGUUGCUGUAGUGUAUGAGGCUACUAUGAGAGAGUAGGCAUAAAUUAAGCUCGAGGAAGGCUUAAAUUACACUAAUGUUGUCAUGCAUGCAAUCUUAAAUGUACUUUAAUUGCGGGCUUCAGAUUGCUUAGGAGAAAACUCACUAAUGCAUUUGAUGUACUUUUUGAUGGAACUGGCAUUCAAUAAAUCGUCUACUUGGUAUUUUGCUUCUGUUUUCAUGGGUAACAUCAUUAGUUAAUCAAUCUUGGAAUGAGCUGAUUCUUGUUCCACCACCUACCAGGUGGCGUCGGCAAUGAUAAGAGAUCAGUCAUCGAUGGAAGAAGAGAACCGACUCUUCGAGAAUAAGAUUAUAAAUGUCUUCAUUUAGUUGUAGACUCUCAGGACGGAUCCCCAUAGCGCUUGCAAAUCUUGUGCAUUCGAAUCUCGACCUUUUCCAUAAUAGAUAGAUAUACAGUUCACUUCAUGUGGCCAAACUACUAGGUCUCAAAAAUCUCCAGGUCCUCAAGCUUUCCCAGGCACUUAAUCUGGGCAACUGAUCAAAGUACCUGCUCGAAAUGCUGGCAUUCUUGCAACUUCGUCCAACUUUGCCUGAGUUGCCUUAUUUCUCGUUUCUUAGAAAGAUUAAUGUUCUUGACCUCUCCGGAAGAUAGUAGCAUGUCCCAUCCUGCUGUUAUUUUGUCGUUCCAAUCAUCCAUAAAUGAAUAUUAUUAUGACCAAAGGAUCUGAUAACUUCUAUCGUAAUACCAACAGCGAGAAAAAUACAAGUAAACAGAGUACUAUCAUCUUCAGAUAUAUAUAUAUAUAUAUAUAUAUAUAUAUGAAGCUGAUAGUGCUGAAGCGAUUAGUACUGUCGCUUCAGUACUAUCAUCUUCAUAUACAUACAUACAUACAUACAUACAUAUAUAUAUAAGUACUGAAAGGUAACAGUGACACCUUAUAAGAUUCUAGCACCAUUAAAAGAUAAAAGCCCACCAGUCAGUAAAUAGAUUGAAUAGCCAUCAUCAAGUGAAGUAAUUCUACUAUCCACUGAACUUCUCCAACAGUUUAUUAAGACUGCCCAUUCAAGGUUCCAAUCGAAUAACUAUCUCUCGUAAAGAGCAAAAUCUAACAAAGAAGCAAGCUCAAUGAGUGAUGUGUUUCCGACUCUCAAAUAAUAUAAUUGAUGGUACUGUCUAUCUUUGCUUAAAAGCAUCAUUCCUGCCAUGAAAAGCAGAUAUUUUGCUUAUGAGGACUGGAACAGACAUUUCACUCAGAUUUUAAAGAAUGCUCUGCUUUACAAGAUUCUAAUUUUCAAGCCUUCAAAUUAGAAUUUGGAGCCAUGACGUAAUUACUGUUUCGACACUUCGUGAUGCAUACGUGUGCAACACAACUUGCUGAUUGACUUAUUGAGCCUCAAAAUCAGAAAUAAUUGAACUCAUGCUUUUAGUAUAUUAAACCUGUAAGGCAAGUAGACUAUUCUUCCCUUUCUCUCUCUCACUAUUUAGAGUUGUUCUCUCUUUUAUGUAGAGCUUUUCUCUACGCUAAUGGUAGUUCAACAAAUCAAACCCUAAUUACACCAUCACCCAUCCACUCUCGUAUCUUUCCAUGUUUCUCUCUCCCGCUUUUCCUCUUCAGCUUCUUCCACAAUUGCAGUCUCCGUUUGCCCGGAAUUGUGAUAUUUUGAUGAAUCAGUCUGUUUCCCUCACCAUUUUCACCCCCCGACAAUCCAUACCCAAGUUAUCGUCUUCCUUCACUGUUUGAUGGAAUUUCGUAUUUCUCUGUCUUAUCUCAACCCUCAUUGAUGGUUUAUCUUCAAUUGUUCGCCUUCAUUUUCACAGUCACUGGCCAAUCUUUUCUAUUCAAAGUCCACGAAACCUUUUGCAUGUACCUUCCCCUUCCGCGAUAGCCCCUCUGGUGCUUUGCUCUAUCAUCUGCCUUUAUGGAUGAUCACGAUUACGAUGAAGCAUCUUGCCUAGCUGCUCUCUGUUCCCGGCUGGGUCGCCUAUGGCCGGAGCAACGGAUUGCGAUUCAGGAUGAGCUGCCACCUGUGGAGAAAGUCGAAGAAUGCAAAUUAAUGCUGCUAGGCAAAAUCUUAUCUAAUCCUUCCAUCAAUUUUCAGGCCUUUCAAAGUACGUUGAGGCGUGCAUGGAAAACAGACCAGGUUGAAUUAUCUGCAAGGGAAGCUGGUUUAUAUGUUGCAAAAUCUGAUUCGGACAAUAGCGAGUUUUGGAUGGUGGUUCGUGGUUAUUCUCUAGUCACUUAGUGAUCUUUAAACCUUGGGUUCCCAACACACCGCUGCACUAUUAUGAUUUCUCCACUUGCGCUUUUUGGGUACAAGUCUUUGGUCUGCCAUUGGAGUGGUGUACUAAGCAAAUAAUAGAAAAGGCUGUUAGAAACAUAGGCACAGUUCUUGAGGUUCAGAUUGAAAAUAAGGAGGGAACAUCUCUGCGGGCUGGGAAAGCUAGGGUCGAACUUAAGGUACAGGAAUCUUUAAAGACAGGCUAGCUUAUCAGAAUCAAUGAUAAAACCUUAUGGCUUGACUUUUGUUAUGAGCGACUGUCACACUUUUGUUAUUCUUGUGGCCAACUCAGACACUAUGCAACAUAUUGUAAGGACUUUCCAUUCAAUGACGCGAAGAUGAAGGGAAAAGAAAAGAUGGCGUAUGGCCAAUGGUUAAGAGCGGAAGUGAGGGAGCAUAGCCCAUAUUGGCAAAUAUUCUACGAACCACAAGACAAGCCUGUUUUGCUAGAAGAAGUGGUACCUGAGACUCCUCUAGCAGCACCCCUCUUAGAACCAGUACAGCCUCCUAGCAAUGAUAUAAACAAGGGAAUGCAUCAACUGACAACUAUGCCACUUCCCCUAGGUACAGCUGAUAUUCCUCAGCAGCAGCAUUAUGCAGGUCAGCCAACAAAGACUCCAAUCUCAGCAAGGACAGAUAUAGCACUUGCACCAAUGAAAACUACUUAUGACCUAAGAGUGGGCUCUUCUAACUCUAAGAGACUAAAGCACACUAGAUUCAAUACGAAAGCAGGCACAACUAAAAAGUUGAAGCGUUGUACCCCUUAUGAAUCACGACUACAUCAGUAUGAAGAUAUUGACGAAACACAACUGAUGGACCCUCCCAUUUUCAAAACUGAUGAAGCUAGAAAAUGGGCUAUGGUGGCUUGCCCAAAAAAGCCACCAAUUGACAAAUGAAACUCUUGAGUUGGAAUUGUCAGGGAUUGGGCAACCCCCUGAUAGUCCGAUCCCUUACAGCCCUAGUGGCUAAGGAGAGGCCCGAUGUUAUCUUUUUGAUGGAAACCAAAAACCAGCAAGUCUUACUUCAACAUUUGCAAAAACGUCUCAAGUAUCCUAAUUCCUUUAUUCUUAAUCAUAUUGGUUUAGCUAGUGGGUUGGCUCUUUAUUGGAAUGACCAGCUAGACAUUACUUUGGAAAGCUCUUCCUUUGAGUUUUAUGAUGUAUUAUGUACUGAUCUUAUAAGUGGUGUUAGGAUGUGACUCACCUGUCUUCACGCUCCGGCCACUUUUUAGCAGCGUCUUCAGUUUUGGGCAACCUUACGACUCAUCAGCGCCUCCAAUGACUUGCCAUGGCUUUGUGUUGGGGACUUUAACGAAAUGCUCUAUCAUUGGGAGAAAGUUGGUAAGCAUUUGGCUAACUCACAGCGAAUGCAAUCUUUUAGAGAUGUUUUGCAUGAUUGUUCACUCAUGGACAUUGAGAGUAAAUGAUGUUCAUUUACCUGGAUGAAUCAUAAGACUGGUGAUGAAUUUGUUAAGGAAAGAUUGGAUAGGGUUCUCUACACAUUGCACCGGCGUCUUACCUUUCCUUGGGCUGAAGUGUUUGCUUUAUCGGUUGUGGGGUCAGAUCACAGCCCCUUGCUCUUAACUACUGAAGUCUUAUCUCAUCGGAGGCCUCAGCCCUUUGUAUUCAAAGCCUUUUGGACCCAAGACCCAGAAUGCCGAGACAUUAUAACUCGAUCAUGGAGCUCCAACUGUCCAGCAACCUCCUCACUUGUAUCUAAACUAAAGGUGGUUUCUCAUGCUCUAGCUAAAUGGAGUAGAUCAAAGUUCUCCAAGGGUCAUCAACAAAUUGCAGCAUUACAACAGCAGCUUCAGCAACAUGUGAAUCACACCCAUCACCAUUCUGAUGCACCAUUGAUGUCUGACCUGAAACAACAAAUACAACAAUUAUGGCAGCAAGAAGAAUAAUAUUGGGCAAUGCGGUCUAGGAUAAACUGGCUGCAAUGGGGGGAUAAGAAUACUAGAUUCUUCCAUGCAACUACUAUUCAAAGGAGACAACGCAACAGGAUUAGUAUGCUGCAAGAUGACAACCAGGUAUGGGUGCGUGACCCUCAGUAUUUAAGACAAAUGACAACUAAUUACUUCUCUAAUCUAUAUCGGACAGUGGAACACCGCGACUAUGGCCCUAUUUUGAACCAAUGUCCUUGUAUAAUCACUGAGGAAAUGAACUUGUCCCUGACAGCUCCGGUCACUAAGGAGGAAAUCCAAUAUGCUACUUUCCAGUUCGGAGUUACUAAAGCGCUAGGCCCCGACGGUUUAAAUGGUUUAUUCGUUCAAAACCAUUGGGAUAUUCUUCAGGAUGACCUAGUGUUAUUGGUGCGACAAUUCUUCCUAUAUGGAGUCAUGCCACUUGAUCUAAAUCGGACUAUCAUCUAUCUAAUCCCCAAGGUACCUCACCCUGAAAGGCUUGAUCAAUACCACCCAAUCAACCUCUGCAAUUAUGCCUACAAAAUCAUUUCUAAGGUGAUUGCAAACCCUACCUGUUUGACCUAAUAUCUAGGGAACAGAGUGCCUUUGUGAGUGGAUGAAAAAUACAAGAUAAUAUCUUAAUAGUGCAGGAGGUACUUCAUCAGAUUAAGACCAGAAAAUGCAAGCGCCAAUUUCAAGCUAUUCUAAAGAUGGAUAUGCAAAAAGCAUAUGACCGGGUUGAGUGGGAUUUCCUGUAAGAUUAUCUCUUCAAGAUAGGCUUUCAUGCUACAUGGGUACAUUGAGUCAUGCAAUGUAUAACGACAGUAUCUUUUAGUGUUAAAUUCAAUGGUGAACAUCUUCCAUUUUUCCAACCACCCUGAGGUCUUAGACAGGGAGAUCCUCUCUCCCCCUAUCUAUUUAUCCUUUUGGAGAAUGUUCUCUCUCAUCUUAUCAAUCAAGUAGUUACCAUGGGGCUUCUCACAUGCAUCAAAUUGAAUAGGUGGUGUCCUACUCUAUCUCACCUGUUUUUUGCGGAUGAUGCAAUUUUCUUUUUAGAUGGAAAAUUACUUGAAUGUCAGAAUUUGACCAACAUUAUCAAUCAGUACUGCUUUGCUACUAGCCAGGCUAUUAAUAGGAAUAAAUAUGUAAUCUUUUUUAGUAAAGAUUGCCCUCUUACCCUAAAGGAAAAUCUUGCUCGGGAACUCCCGAAUACUUGUGAUUGAUAAGUCUGGUAAAUAUCUUGGUAUACCAUCCAACUGGGGCAGAUCUAAGAGGGAGAUGUUUGCUCGGAUAUUGGGAAGAGUGAAUUCCAAAUUAGAAGGGUGGAAAGAAAACUUGAUUUCGAAGGGUGGUAAAGAAAUUUUACUAAAGACUGUCGUACAAGCAAUACCUCGCGGUAUGCCAUGUCCAUUUUUAAGAUACUUGUGUCAAUUUGCAAGUCCAUUGAACAGAAAAUUGCUAGGUUUUGGUGGCAAAGUGACGGAAAGAAAUCGGGCAUACACUGGAAGAAUUGGGAAGCUCUUAAAAGUAGCAAGAACAGUGGGGGUCUCGGCUUUCGUGAUCUUAUUGACUUUAACAAAGCCAUGCUUGGUAAGCAAGCAUGGAGACUUCUACAACAUCCAACUCCCUUAUGGAGCACCCUUCUUAAAGGGCUUUAUUUCCACUCACAGGACUUUCUACAAGCGGAUCAGGGUUCCAAACCAUCAUGGGGAUGGCGGAGUAUUCUUCUUGGAAGGGAUGUUACUUUACCUCACCUGCAAUGGUCUGUUGGUAGUGGACAAGCUAUUAAAAUUUAGGAAGAUCGUUGGCUCCCUAGAGGGGUUAUAGGAGGCCCUAUACCUCGCGAUGCUCCGCAGAUGGUAGCUGAUCUAUUCGACUCAGAUAAAAGCAACUGGAACACCCCUCUUCUUAAUCAGAACUUUGAUGCACCAACAAUUGCUAAAAUUCUUCCCAUACAGGUAAGCCCUCAUUAUACUACUAAUCAUAUUAUUUGGUUAAAGACUCAAAAUGGCAACUAUACUGUCAAAAGCGCUUACCAUACCAUCAAACAAUACACUUCCAGCAACCAACAGAACCAAGCAUCAUCAUCAUACAAACCCCCCAAGCUUCUUUGGAAAUCCAUAUGGACUGUCAACUUACCCCCCAAAAUUCGGCCUUUCUUAUGGUCAGUUUGUCAUAAUGCCCUAGCUACGAAAGACAAUCUUUUUCAACGGCACAUCACAACAAAACCAACAUGUUCUAUAUGUAAUCAAAACAAACCAAAAACCACAUAACAUCUUUUUCUUUUACGUCCAUGGACGCAUUGUAUUUGGUCAUAUCCACAGAUCGGCAUUCACAUUACAUCACAAUUAGUCAAAUGAAUGGAUGAAUGGUUACAACACAGCUUGAACGCCGGAGUAACUUACCUAGUGUGGAGAUCAUCGCUGCCUUAUUAUGGCAGAUCUGGAAAUCUCGCAAUGGGUUUAUCUUCCGCCUACAACGGCCUAAGUCAUCAAGGGUAGUCAAGGAGGCUCUCGCUCAAGUACAAAUCGCAUCGCUUUCAUUCCAAUCAUUGGUGCGUACAACCCGAUCUACUUCACAUUCCGAUCUGCUGUGGCGGCCACCAGAUCCUAGCGAGGUAAAAAUCAAUAUUGAUGGAGCAUCUCAACAAAUGAGUUCUAAAAGAGCAAUGGCAAGUAUAUUCAAAGAUCACACAAGAACUCUCCUCCAUGGCUUUACCUGCGAUUUCUCAGCAACUUCGGCUCUGCACAGCGAGAUCCAGGCGUUCCUCACCACUAUUGAUUUUUAUAGUUGCAGCACGGCAAGAAUCAAGACCAGCUUGUGCUUGAAUCUGACUGUCUUGUUUUGAUAGAUGUGGUUCGCCAUCCAUCAUCAACGCCAUGGGAGAUGCGCCCUUUACUUGCAGAAGCGGCAGCCAAGCUCCACCUUUUCCCUACCCUAAAGAUUCGUCACUAUAGACACGAAGCCAACUUUGUGGCUGAUUGGGCCGCUAAGGCCCAUUUUCAUGGCAACUUAUUACCAAACUGGGCUUUGUCUCCCUCUUUGCUUUCGGAUCUUCUAUACUCGGACGCCCAAGCUUCAGGUCGUUGUCCUCCUUUACAUUAGUGUUAUAAUACUUCAUAUUUCGAUAAAAAAAAAAAACCCUAUAAAGCAUGGGAUAAAAUAAACUAGUAAGCAAGAAACCAUUCGUAGGGAAAGCAAUAUCGCAUCACUUUCAACAGUACCCUUAUCGACAUGCAUUUUUAAGAAACUCGAAAAGUCAUGUCGUAUAUAGAUUCAACUGAAUCAUAGAGCUUCCUCCUAUGAGGCGCUCACUAUUUCUCCAACAAAAUUUCUGCAAUAUCCUCAAAAGGUAUAAGAAGUGAUCGGUCAUUCCUAGUGUUAAAAAAAUCCUUUAUGAUGUUUUGAAGAUGACAAAAUAAAUCAAAGGCUACUAACGUGUUUAAUGGUUAAGUAACAAACUAUGCAGAUGAUAGAAUGUAUAAAUGAUAUUGUCAAAGGUCUAUACUUGGAAGAUUCAGAAGACAGACUCUAUGCUAAAGCUGAACUUAUUUAAAUUGUGUCCAGACCUUAAGGCUAAAUCUAUUCAGAAGUAGAAUAUGUUCAGACUUACGUCCAGAUUGUAAAGUCUAUUUUAGUCUGAAGACACUCAGAAUCUACUUCAGUUUGAAGACUCUUAGACUUUACAUCCAAAACGAGACACAAGUUCAAAACAUAGCAGAUUCAGAUUGAAAUAAGUUGAUAGAACGUAACACAAGCCCCAAACAUAUAACGGUUAGUAAUUUAGUUUGGAUUCCACAUCAAGAUAGAUUUGAUUAACUUAAUCUAAUUUAUUGACAAUUGGAUAUUGAAGACAAGAAAUUUCUAAAGGAAGAAGCUUUAUUUAUGGAAACCAAGAUUUUGUUUUGUAUAGGUGAUCAAAAUCAAUAUGGGAUUCUACUUCUAUCACUCAACAGCUACUAAAUAUUCUAGAUACAGAUCUGUCCAAUGGGUAGAUUAGAAGACAAUCCUCUAAAUACUAUCCAACGGCUAGUUUGGAAGUGGAGGAAUAUUUAAAAAGAUCAAGGAUUGAUGAGCAAGAAAGAGACGAAGCAUAGAAUUUAUAAUUCCAAAGUCUGAGCGACCUUUGUUCAUACACUUGUCUUUGGUGAGCUUAAACGUUUGUGAUCGUGAGAGAAAUACCAAAAGAGUGAUUUAGUAAGAUAGUGUGAUCUACCACUAAGUGUUUGCACUCAAAGUUGUAAUCUCUUGUUGAUCAGAUAGUGGAAUCUAGCUAAAAGGCUAUUAGUGUGACAUCUUGAAUUUUAGGUUCUGAUUUCGAUUGGAUAAGUCGGGCCUUUAAUCGACGUGACUAUAAUGUUUUUCUCUAAAAUGGCCACUCAUGAGAUAACUGGUCUAUCAGGUGAAGCCAUUAAGGGAUUUUAACGCAAUAAACUUGAGAAUUCGACCAUAAAUCGACCGUUCAAUCGUGCUAGUCUCCAAGGGUAAUUACGAUAUUGUCAAAAUUGAUCAGAGACCGGAGAUAUGUCAAUUUGACUAAGAUGUGUGAUCAAGUGUGGGUGAUUCCACCUGAUUGCAAAAUUCUUGUCGAUCGACACUAAACCGAUUUUCUGUCGUUUUGGGUACUAUGUGUCCGUAUUUGAAACCUCGAUAUUUUCACGACCACUGAGAGUUGCCAAUGUGUUGAAGAGGUAUGUUGUGGUUCGAAUAAAAUCGACCACGGGUCAAUUGUACCAAAAAUUCCUAAAAGCUACUCGAUAGACUAAAUUAUGCUAAAAUCGCGCCAAAUUGAAAUUAACUGCGAAUUUGAACCCGAUUUCAAAAAUUGAAAGUUCUAUCAUGUCACGAGUAAUUUUAGGAAUGUUGACUCAUCUUUCGAGGAAUUUUCGAUGAGUUCGGAAUUUUUACGGAAAAUCGAUUCGGACGAUUCGAAAAUCAACGGAAAUUCGGAUUGGUUAAUUUGAAGGGAUUUUUGGCCUCCGGUGUGAGUUACUUGGUGAAAUGAGAUUGUGGGCUUUUUCUUUAACAAAAUUGAACAUCAAUCGGGGAGAUUUGUUAAGAAAUUGGAUUCUGAGAAAAAGGAAAUAGAAUUCGAGAUUGAAAGGAAUUCGUAGACUUGAGAGACUAUGACGUUUUGAUCUUUAUUUGACUUCAAUUGGGACAAUUUGGUGUUGAAAUUGGCCUUGGAUGACCAAUUAUUAAUGUUGUGGGAAGUUGUGCUAAAGUUAUUUGUGUUUAAUUUUUUUCAUUCCCCUCCAUCGAACCCCCUCCUCCGUUCGACCGUCCGCCUCUAUUGCAGUCUGCAUUUGCUUUUAAAAUUCUUUGGCUUUUGAAACACCGACUGGCUUCCCCUUCGAUCUCUCUCUUUCUCUCUCCCUUAGUCACACGUUUCUUUUUCCUUCCCCCUCACAACCGACAAGCUCCUGUUGCCUUAUCUCUUCUCUUUCUCCUUCAAUCCUUUUCUCUCUAGCCUCAACAGCUUCGUCGAUACCCCAUUUGCUUCUACCUCUCCUUCACUUUCAAUUUUCCUCGCAUGUCCUCUACCCCAUAGACUCCCCCACCUCCAUCGAAGUCUGUAGCCCCACGUUUGCCCCCAUCGAAUUUCCUUGCGGCACCACACGUGUUCCACCAGCCCACAUUAACCCUUGCAUCUUUCACUUUCAGUCGUUUUCCUCCUCUCACGAAGCUAGCCCAUACUCCAUUUGAACACUGAAGCAGCCCAUGAUCUUUUCUCCAUAGAUCUCAGCCCAACAGCAGCUCCAUUUUCAGCGUUCCGUGACCACCAAAACCAUCCUGAGUUGCGCCCGUUUAGCCACCAUCCUUGUCUUCACAGAACUGAAGUAGCAAGACCAGCCUAUCCGCGGACUUGCAUGGCCGAUUUCGGCCCGAUUCGGGCCCCCGUUAGUGCCACCGCUUUGGAGUUUAUCGGCCGCCGUUGCGUCACCGUCAUCGUGAUCCAGUAGGAUCGUUAAUCUAGUGAGUUUAAUUCACUAAUCCUUGCUUAGUAAGUUAAUGACGUUUAAGAGUUGAUUAAUUUAGACUAAGUAUGGAUUAGGUAGAUAGUUAGAUUAGAUUAGCAAUUUAAUUAAUUGUUAUUGCAUGUUAGAUGGUUACAGUAGUAUAAUUAAAGCCUAGAUAAGCUCUAGUAUUUAUUUAGAGUGGUUCGGAAAUUUUUCGAACUCGAAUCGGCUUUUAAUUAGUCUUUACAAGCCUAAGUGUGCAUUUUUACUAUUUAAUAAUUAAUUUCAGUAAUUAUUUAAUUAAUUAUUAUUUUCCGAAAAUUAAACCGGGAUAAUCGAUGAUCAAAAUUUUAUGUUGAUUACAUUGGUGUGAUCUGUUUAUUUAAUUGAUUGUUAUUUUGUGCAAAUUGAGUGUGAUUUGUGAUUGUGGGUAAUUAUCUCAAAAUUAAUUAAUUUCAGUAGUUAAUUAAAAAAUCACUGGGCAUCGGUUUACAACGCCAAAAAGGAAUUUGUGGACUAAUGAAAUUAGUGGAAUUUUCAAAUGAGAAAAUAUCAUAUUUUGGCUAAGGCCGACCGUGUACCCAUACACGAGUAUUUUUAUCGAGUAUGAUAAAAAUGACGAAUCGAUAAAAAUGACGAAAUUGUUAGAUGAUGAGGAUGGUAUAUUAUAUCAGCCUACGGGCGAUAUGGUGGCAACUUCUGGUGAGCAGUAUACCUAGUAGCUUCUAGUGAGCAUUAUUAUUAUACUAUAUCAGUAUACCUAGUAGCUUAUGGUGAGUAUUAUUAGUAUACUAUAUUAGUAUAUAUGGCAGUUUCUGGUGAGUUAUACUAUCUACUAUCAGCUUAGAGUGAGCAGUCUUGAUUAUGAUCGGAUUUUAUAUAUAGUAUUGAUUAAGAUGACUAGGAGAUGGUCGUGAUGACAUAUAAUCGAUUGAGUCGAUUGAUUGAUGAUUCAAUCAGAUUGAUUGAAAUGAUUGGAUGGUUAUUCAAAUUGUAUUGACUUGUAGGAAAAGACUGAGGCUAAAGUAAGUUCUCUGACUUGUGUUUGUGCUUAGGCAGCCCUCAAGGCAUAUUUUCUUCCUAAUCGGGUCUUAGGAGGUUGAACUCACUGAGACGUCAUCUCACUCUGUUGUGAGAAAACAUUUUCAGGAUCUUAGAUGGCGUACCCACCCGGAGCAUCACGGCCGUCUCAUGAGGGUUACUAAGCGGAUUUCUAGUUACCUCGAUCUCGGAGGUUUUUGGGUUUACGAGCUAGUUGUAACCACUAUCUAGGUCGAAGAAUUUCCACAUUAGAAGAUACCUAAUCGAUUCAAAGCAUGGUUCCGCAUCGCUCCCUAUGGCGUCAAACUAGGUCCCCUUAGGACUUUUGAUAUUGCCUCUGUGGUGAUUAAUGGUGUCUAGCUUACCCUCUUGAUGGUGUCGUGGAGGACCCACCGUCUUGCCCUAACCCUAUGGACUUUGCCGAAUGAGAGAACGAGUCAGACUAGCUAAUCAUCGGACAACUUGUUUUGGAGAGUCGACCUUUUUGUAGAUUUUGUAAAUAUCGGCUAGUAAUGUAUAUAAAUUAGUCUGAUAUGUAUAAAUGUGUGAUUUGCUUUUCAAAAAAAUGUGGCCCUACUUUUCUAUCCCACCUUGUUGUUGUCUGAGGAUUAAUCUAUUUGCUUCCGCAUGUGCAUUAAAAAGAAUGGGUUGGCGACGUGUCCGAGGAUGUCGCUAGUUAAUCGACCGCAUAGGGAUGGGUACAUGCUCAGAGGAUCGGGGCAUGACAAUUAACGUGGGAGAGUGGAUGUAGGCUUGAUCUAAAACGAACCACUAUAAAUUAUGUGUUCUUAUUCUCUUCCUUGAACUCCUUUAUUCUAUUUGUAGUUCUAUUUACCUGUUAAAGUCCGAACUCGCUCAAACUCUGUUGUUUUUCAGACACAGUUUCAAAAGGCUAUUAUUCUUCAUACUCAGUUUCGAAAGAAAAAUAUUUCUACUGUUCUUUUGUGAAGAUUUUUGUUCACCUAUUCACCCCCCUCCAAGUGUUCAUACUAGCCCCUUUAAUCUUGAAAGAUAUUAUUGCAUAUUCAUGGAUACUCUUGCUAUAUUUUUAGAAGAUAUUUUAUAUCUAGCAAGUUUGAUCCGCAAAUGAGAUGAAGGUAUUAUAUGAUAUUUUUGCAAGGACUGUUAUCUAUUAUACAAGAAUUUGCAGGUAGCAAAAGAAUCUUCCGUAUGGAUUUUGGAAAGCUCGAUCGAAAAAUUAUGGAGAUUCUAUACUAUUUUCUAGAGGCUCAAAGAUUCUCUUCCUCGUGCAAAAUUUUUGCAAAUUAUUGAGAAAAUCCCUUAUGUGACGUACGAAAGGGAGAAAGUGAAUCCAAAAGAAAUGGAAAGAGUCGUGAUCACCUCUAAAAGACAACUAAUUGAGGGGGAGCAUUGAUCAAUUAUGGAAAAAUCUUUUUAAUUCGAUCGUGAUCUUGAUUAUUAUGAAAUGAAGGAAAAGAUAAAUGUGUUAGAACUUACCAAGUUCUACGAAAUCCGGUUAGUGCAUUUUUAUUACCUUUUGUCAUUAACAAAUCUCUUAUUGAUAUUAUCAUUUUAUUAUGACAAAAUGGGUGAAGUGAAUUUUAUAUUACAUCCAUGAUUUUUAUUGGAUAUUUGCUGAUACAUAUGAUCGAAGUGAGCUACAUUGCAUAUCUUUAAUAUUCAACUUACUUUGUAAAUGUUGAUUUUUUUUUAAAUAGUGUCUCAUGCAAGAUAUUUGUCAUCAUUUUAUAUUCUCUACGCGAUACUUUUUAUCGCUUUUUGAUUAUGACAAAAAAUGGGAGAUAAUAUAGAUAUGCACAUGUGUUGAUUGGUUGAUAUUAUUUAUUGCAUAAUACUGAGCUGCGAUUAUUUUUCUAUAUAUUGUUAUGCUCAAUCUAUUUAUCUUCUGCUAUCUUUUGAUUCGAAUUAUAUUUUAGAAAAGUGUGAUUACACAUCUGCAUAUUCAGAGAUUUUUUUGUCAUCAUAAAAAAUGGGGAGAUUGUUUCAUUUAUAAUGUUUUGAAGAUGACAAAAUAAAUUAAAUGCACCAUCGGUCGUGGUGGCUCCACUGGAUAAGAGCUCCAUUGAUCCUUCCCCAAAGGUGAGGGGUUUGAAACCUAGUGGAGGCACUUGGUGUCUUAAGUGUGAUGCCGGGGUGGUGGGUUGUCACGCCCCGAACCCCGAAGGCGCACACAUCCCACUACGGUCAAUCAAAUAUGCGACAUCCUAGGGUAUGUCAUCGACCCAUUCAUUUAUUUACGCAUGCGGAAGUGAAACAAAUCCCCUGACAACAUUUAACUUGGGAUAGAAAAGCAGGCAAUCAAUCACAAUACCAAACACUCAUUUACAAACACAAAGGGUUUAAAUACAACACUAAACUAUCUACAAAAUAGACCAGCUCGACAAAAGGGGAACUAUCCUAAAACCAACUAUCAUGAUACGUUCUCCAAUCCUUAUGACUUCACCUCUGCAACUCCUCAAAGCCAACCAAAGCUAUUUAGCCGCUCCGUCCACCAGGGACCUGAAAUUGUAAUCCCCAAACCGGGAUGAGACAAUGUUUCAGCAUGUUCAACCCCCUAAACCCCUAUUAGAAAGAAAAUACGCCCCAGGUGGCCUAGCCACAUCACACAAAGACUUACCUCGCAUUAGUCUUCAUCUGCAGGUUAGCACGGUUUAUAUAAUUCAACCACGUGCAUUUAUGAUAACCAAACAACUGCGGCACAAUCACAACAUCGGAACAAUUCAACCACUUGAAUCGUCUCAACGAUCAAUCGACUCGGCCGAUUACAUGUCAUUCUAGCAAAUCAAUCAUUGCUCUCAAUCACGGCCCUAUAAAAAGGUUUAACAACCAGUGACAAUCACGGCCCUACUCAGCAGAAUUAGAAUUAAUGGCAUCACGGCCCCACUCGGCAUAACCUUUAAAAGGUGGUAGAUCCCAGCCCGAUGGGCACGACCUCUAAUAGGUGGUAAUUCACGACCCCAUUUAAGCGCGACCUUUAUCAGGUGGCUAAUCACGGCCUCACUGGACAUAACCUUUAAUAGGUGGUCAAUCACGGCCUCACCGGGCACAACCUUUAAUAGGUGGUCAAUCAUGGCCUCACUUGGCAUGACCUCUAAUAUGUAGUUAAUCACGGCCCCACUGGGCACAACCUCUAAUAGGUGGUUAAUUACGGCCAAUUUCCCAUCAAUUUCCACACUUGGGACUUAUAAAAGAAUCCCUAUUUAUCGCACUCACACUCAAUUUGACACAAUCAAUCCCCAAAUUCAAAUUCUAAAUACACAGCAACAAUCGAUACGAAAUUCUGAGAGAAUAAGGUCCCGACGAAAUUUUCGGAAUUUAAUAAAUAAUUAAAUUUAUUCUGAAAAUUAAUUAAAUAAUAAUGUCCAUAUUUUUUCGCAAUCCACACUCAAUUUAUAAUAUCCAAUCAUCAAUUUCAAAAUCUGAUUACACAGCAGCGAUCAACACUAAAUUCUAAGCAAAUAAGGUCCCGAUAUAAUUUUCGGAAUUUAUUAAAUAAUUAAAUUUAUUCCGAAAAUUAAUUAAAUAAUAAUAUCCACAUUCUUCGCAAUCCACACUCAAUUUAUAAUAUCCAAUCAUCAAUUUCAAAAUCUGACUACACAGCAGCGAUCAGCACGAAAUUCUGAGCAAAUAAGGUCCCAAGAUAAUUUUCGAAAUUUAUUAAAUAAUUAAUUUUAUUCCGAAAUUUAUUUAAAUAAUAAUAUUUUAAUAAUUUCGAAUAAAUAUAUAUUAUUAAAUUAUUUAAUAAUUUCGGAAUACUUAAAUAAAUCAAAAAACAAAUUCCUUUAAGUCACAUCAAAGCUUAUAUUAAUAUAAACAUUUAUUUAGCCUUAAAUUAAACCCACUUUAAGUUAAUCAAGCACAUUAAUAUAAUCUACACUUAAACAAAUUAAACUAACCACCUAAUAACACUUAACAUAAACUAAACAUACCUAAAUCAUCAUUAACCCUCUAAUAAAGGUUUAGUGAGCUAAACUCACCCGAUUAACGAACCGAGCAGACCAAAACAACGAGGAUGAUGCGAUGAUCGACUUUCCUCAAGGCAGGCCGAGCAUUUGGGCUCGGGAAGGCGGCCAAAACGAGCCAAAACCGGGCUGGCAUACCCAUUUUCUGCAGCUGCUGCUCACGAGCGGAGGAGGGCCAAACGGCGGCUGGUUCAGGUCAGAAUGGGUGGAGGAGGGCGGCGGCAGCUUGUCGGUGGCUCAGACGGUGGCACACGGUGGCUAGGCGGGCCUCCGGCGGCCUUGACGAUGACAAACGGGCGGCUGGACGGUGGAGGGACGACGGCUGGGUCGCGGAUGAAGCAAGGAUGGGAUGGGCGGAGCAGCUCGCGAGGCUGCGACGGCGAGCGUGAACGGAAGACGGCGGCGAGCGGGCGGAGGCGGUGACUUCUUCGGCUCCGCUGGUCUGCUCGGUUGCGUCAAACAGCAAGAAGAAGAAGAUGGAGGAGGAAACCAACGGGAAAGGGAAAGGAAGAAGAGAGAAGGAGAGAGAGAGAGAUGGGACCAUUCCCUUUUCUUUUUUCUUUUUCUUUAAUCCCACAAAAAUGGCCCACCAUGACCUCAUGGAUGACAUCACACUCCACUAUCUCCCACAACCUUAUUCCAAUGGUUGCAAUUCCAUUUUCCGCCGGGGCAUAAAAUCUUGUACAAUAAUUUCUUCAAUUCCACUUGAUUCUCUUCCAACUGAAUCAAAUUGAAGACCAUAAAAUUAAUCCAAUGUCACCACACUUCAAUUCACAUAAUCACUUGACCAUAGAACCCUCUUAGAUCUCAAAAGUAUAACCAAAAGUGGGCCUACCAAUUUCUCGAGCCAAAUUAGCCAUUCUUUGAUUAAUUUGUCGACAAAACUCAACUUGCAUGAAAAAUCUUCCAAAGACGAGUCAAUAUUCCUAAAAUGAUUUGUGACACACCCAGACUUCUAAUUUUUGAAUUCGAUCUCAAUUCCACGGUUAAUUUCACUUUGGCACGAUACUAGCGCGGCCCAACCUACCGAGUAGCCUUUAGAAAUUUUCAUGCAUUUGACAUGUGGUUGAUCAUCUCAAGCCACAAUGUACAUUUUUGAAACAUUGGCGACUUUCGGUUGUCAGGGUAAUCUCAAGGUUUCAAAUACGAACACAGGGUACCCAAUCGAUAGAAAAGUCGGUCCAGUGCCGAUCGACAAGAAUUAUGCGAUCUGGUGGAAUCACCCACACUCGAUCACAUGCCUCUGUUGAGUCGACCUAUCUCCGAUCUCUAAUCAAUUUUUAAUUGUGCCGUAAUGACCUUUGCAGUUCAGCUCGGUUGAAAGAUCGCUUCCUGGUCAAAUUCUCGAGUCUGAUGCAUUAUAAUUUCUUAAUGGCUUCACCUGAUAGGCUAGUUUUCACAUGAGUGGCCGAUUCAAGGAAAAGAACUAUACGCGUACCAACGAAAUACCCGUCUCAAUUUAUUGAAAAUAGAAUUGGAAAAUCGGGAUGUCACAACUUUUCCCCUUUUAUAAAAAUUUUGUCCUCGAAAUGUAAACAUUUAUCAAUUCUUAAACAAAAAGGUGGGAGUACAAUUGUCUCAUCGAAUCUUCAAUUACCCAAGUUGCUCCUUCAGUACUAGUGCUGCCAAAUCACUGAUAUCUUGCCCAAAGCACUUUGGAUCCAAAAUACUAAACACUUGCCCACUUAAAAUUCCAAAAGUCUUCACUACAAAAUCUGCGAAAUUAAACUGGCGAUUAUGAGCAGUCUCUAAACUGUCUCUAAUAAUUGCAAUCGAAUCACUGAUUUCUGAACCAACUCUGGACCUGCGAUUUUCUGAUCUCUGAUCUCAUCUCAACCGACUUAAGUCCUGUACACUCUGCUCUACACUGACUAAAAAGAAACUAUCUGACUGAUCUGCUGAAACUGGGAACCUCUGGUCAAGAUCUGAUAUAACUCUGACAUUGAUCUCGGCCUGUGAUCUUUUUUUCCCUGACUUCAUCUCAGUAAUUGAAAUUCUGCACUCUCUGCUAUGCGCUACUUAAGAAAGAACCAUCUGAAAGCUCUGCCAACUUGGAUCAUGUGAUCUAGAUUUGAAAUACAAUUCAUCCCUGGCACUCCGUGCAGAUAAAUUAUAUGAUAUACACACUUCGGUAUACCUAUUAUAAUCAAGAUCUUUUCGUGCUACACUAAGGCGAGCUGACUCUGUUCAUCUGUCGACCACAACCCCAAAAGGAAUCAAUACUCUUCCCUACUCCUUAAUAAGCUGUCAUAACAUUCUAUCAUGCUAUACUUUCAUUCCCACACAUGACUCUCUCAAGUGCUUGAAAAAGCUUUCCUGGUUUACAUUACAAAAUUCUCACUUACUGAUACAUCCAACAAUUACAACGUGUUCAGUGAUAUCUAUCUUCAUACCGAUCUACCAAUCCUGAUGAUGUAGAUUCUGACUCAUCUCUGUACUGUCUAGACAACGCUGAAGUUGCUAUGAUGAGCUUCCCAUAAGAUCUCUUCUUUAAUCUCUGUAUCGUCAAUUACACACAAUCGUCCUCGAAACCUUAGCGUUCUGCCUUCAGAUAUCUGAAACUCAACCUCUCUCUCAUCUACAUUCGCUUAUAGAGUCUUCUGAAUUUCUGAAUCUGUCCACUGAAGCGAUUUGAUUCUAAUCUGUACUCUCGGCUCAAUUAUGAGGGUAGUCAUAAGAUUCGAAAGGUGGCCUACCUUAGAUUUGAAAACCGAAUUUCGAGUUUUCUCAAAUAUGCUCCAAUCCUUGAGUACCAACUGUGCAACUAAGGACUCUCGACUCAGUGCAUCUGCGACAUUGCUCACCUUUCCAGAGUGAUAUAAAAUAUCAUAGUCAUAAUCAUUAAUGAGUUCCAUCCAUGAAUGUUGUCUCAUAUUCAACUCCCGAGGUCUCAACUGAUGGGACACAUAUGCAACAACCCUAUCAUGCUGUAUCAACACACCACCCAAUCCUUUAAACGAUGCAUCACUGUAGAUCUCAUCACUUCUAGGACCAGAUGGAAUAGUCAGCACAGGUGCGAUAGUCAACUCUUACUUAAGCUCUUGAAAACUACACUCGCACUUUCUUGUCCAUACGAACUUCUCUUCCUUUCUCAGUAGUCUUGCCAACGGUAACGCUAAUGCUGAAAACCCUUCUACGAACUUUCUGAAAUAUCCUGUCAAUCCUCAGAAACUUCUGAUCUCUAUCACUAUAGUCAAUAUCGGCCAACUGAUCACUGCUUUAAUCUCGAAUGAGGUCUACGUAGCUUCCUUUUCCUGAAAUCACAUGACCUAGGAACACAACACGAGUCAUCCAAAACUUGCAUUUGCUAAACUUAUUGUAAAAUCCAAGAGCAGUCAAGGUCUGAAGUACCCUCUCCAAAUAUCUCUAGUGCUCCUCUGCACUCUUUGGACUCACCAGGAUAACUUCAAUGAAAAUGAUCACAACUGAUUUAAGUACCUUUAAACAUUCUGCUCAUUAGACCCGAACAAAUAGCUAAGGUGUCCAUCAAACCACUCGGUAUUACAAUGAACUCAUAACUGCCAUAUUGAGUGCAAGAUGCUAACUUCGGUAUGUCUUUCUUCCUAAUUCUCAACUAAUGAUACCCUGAUCUCCAGUUGAUCUUGAGGAAUAUCGAUGUACAAACAUAAUGAACCAACUUUCUUCUUCACGAAUAGAACGGGUGUUCCCCAAGGUGAUGCACUGGAACGUAUGAAUCUCCUACCCCACACGUCCUACAUCUGCACCUUCAUUUCUUUUAACUCGGGUAACACCAUCUGGAAAGGAGCCUUAGGGACUGGCUCUGUUCUGGAUGCUAACUCAAUCACGAACUUUAUUCCUCUUUCUGGCAGCAAACCUGACAAUUCUUCAUAAAAUACCUCAGAAAACUUCUGUACCACGGCUAUGUUCUCCAUAUUCGACUCCUCAAUUGACGCAUCCAUUACAAUUGCCAUGUAGAUUUGGCAACCAACAACUAGACCUAAGGUCGUCUUCAGUGACGAAUAACGGGGAUCGAAGGUCCUUUCUGACUUUUAGUAAUUCAAAACUUCCAUACGCUAACUGAACAAACUGAAUCAUAUCACUGCCACGAUUCAUAACAGCAUAAAGCUCCUAAAGCCAAACCUUUUUAUAAAUGACUUCCAAGUCAUACUUAAACAAAACCCCUUCAAGUACCACUAUACUCAGAGAUUCGCAUUUCUAUUACCUUAUUACCACAACGAAAACCCUACAACCCUCACUGAAAAUUCUGCUACAUUACUCUGAUAAAAACAUCUCAAAAACAUUCUUCCCUUGAUCGAUGCUUGGUUGACCCAUUUAUGCUCUUUCAACCAUCCUAGUGCUCGGUCGAAAGAUCGCUUCCUGGUCAAAUUAUCGAGUCUAAUGCAUUAGAAUUUCUUAACGGCUUCACCUGAUAAACUAGUUUUCACAUGAGUGGCCGACUCAAGGAAAAUAACUAUACGCAUGCCAACGAAAUGCCCGUCUCAAUUUAUUGAAAAUAGAAUUGGAAAAUCGGGAUGUCACAUGGGUCCUCCGCUAGCAUCACCCUAGGUUUGCUUGGCCGGCUGUCGGUUGUACGGGGUUCCUAGGUCAUAAAAAAAAAUAAAAAAAAUAAAAGGCUACUAAUGUGUUUAAUGGUUGAGUAACAAACUAUGUAGAUGAUAGAAUAUAUAAAUGAUAUUGUCAAAGUCUAUACUUGGAAGAUUCAGAAGACAGACUCUAUGCUGAAACUGAACUUAUUCAGACUGUGUCUAGACUUUAAGGCUAAAUCUGUUCAGAAGUAGAAUAUAUUCAGACUUACAUCCAGAUUGUAAAUUCUAUUUCAGUUUGAAGACACUCAGACUCUACUUUAGUCUAAAGAUUCUCAGACUUUACAUCUAGAACGAGACAUAAGUUCAGAACGUAGUAAAUUUAAAACGAAACAACUUGACAGAAAGUAACACAAACCCCAAACAUAUAACGUCUAGUAAUCUGGUUUGGAUUCCACAUCAAGAUAGAUUUGAUCGACUCAAUCUAAUUGAUUAACAAUUGGAUAUUGAAGACAAGAACUUUCUAAGCGAAGAAGCUCUAUUUAUGGAAACCAAGAUUCUGUCUGUAUGGAUGAUCAUAAUCAAUUUGGGAUUAUACUUCUAUCACUCAGUGGCUACUAAAUCUUCUAGAUAUAGAUCUAUCCAAUAGGUAGAUUGGAAGAUGAUCCUCUAGAUACUGUCCAACGGCUAGUUUGGAAGUAGAGAAAUAUUUAAGGAGAUCAAGAACUGAUGAGCAAGAAAGAGACGGAGUGUAGAAUUUAUAAUUCUAAAGUCUGAGUGACCUUUGUUCAUACAGUUGUCUUUAGUGAGCUUAAAUAUUUGUGAUCGUGAGAGAAAUACCAAAAGAGUGACUUAGUGAGAUAGUGUGAUCUGCCACUCAAAGUUGCACUCAAAGUUGUAAUCUUUUGUUGAUCACAUAGUCGAAUCCAGAUAAAAGGCUAUUAGUGUGGGAGAGUAGAUGUAGGCUUUGUUGGAGAAAUUCCUCUUGAAGUGUUUUGAAGUUGACAAAACGUUUCCAUCAGUCUAGUCUGAAGGAUUGCAGACUCUACUAUUUAAAGUCUGAAGACCUCCGGACAGCUAGAUUCAAGACUCAAAGUCUAUCCCCAUUGAUAGUCUCUAAUCCGUUGAAGAAAGGCUAUCCAGAACUGGAUGUUUCAUUAAGGAUGUGACCUUAUCGACUGGAGAAGGUCUCUUGGCUGGAUGUGACAUAACGGAAUUCUUUAUUUGAUCACAAUUGAUUCAAAUAUUAAGGAUCCGAUGAUUGGCAAAGUUUACUUGGAAGGUUCUACUUAUGGAAACCGAGAUCCUAAUUGUAUGGGCGAACAGGAUUGAUGGGCUAUCGUCAUGUUCCUUUAAUAGCUCGAAUGAUCUUCCUAAUUGAUUCCGUCCAACGGGUAGAUUGGAGGAAUUCCUUUUGUAAGUGCCAACGGGUAUGAUGGCAUGAAGGAGUAUUUAAGGAAGACAUUCUAGUCGUUCGAGGAGGUGUACGAGAGAAAAAUUCCAAAGUCCGAAACUCCUUGUUUCUAGUCAAUUCAUUUGUUGAGCAUAAUCGUGUAAACAAAAGAAAGUCUAUAUUCGUGAGAAACCUUGAAGAAGUGUGGUAGAACAUCUACACUGUGGAAUCAAGGAAAAGUUAUGCUAUAACUUCUCUUUUGUUCAUAGUGAAAUCCAGCCGGUGGGCUGUCAGUGCGGAAGAGUGGACGUAGGCUUGGAAUAAGCCGAACCACUAUAAAUCUUGUGUUCAUUUCUCUCUUCCCUAUCCUUUACUUUACCUUGAUCGUAUUUUCCUUUCUAUUGAUUGCCUAAAAUCGCUUCCGUAUCUCGAAAAUUUGUUUGUGCACCUAUUCACCCCCCUCUAGGUGAUUAUACUAGCUAUCUCAAGCUUGAUCUAAGCCGAACCACUAUAAAUUAUGUGUUCUUAUUAUCUUCCCUGAACUCCUUUAUUCUAUUCUAUUCAUAGCUCUAUUUAAUUACUAAAGUAUGAACUCGCUCAAAGUCUGUUGUUCUUCAAGCUCAAUUUUAAAAGUUUGUUGUUCUUCAGACUCAAUUUCAAAAGAAAAAUAUUUCUACUAUUCUUUUACGAAAAUUUUUGUUCACACCUAUUCACCCCCCUCUAGGUGUUCAUACUAGCCCCUUGCACCCAUCUUGUUCUACAUAUUGCAAACCAAGCACAACAAAGCUGAUCAUUGCAGACAACACAUUGCUCAUGUUAUAAACUCCUCUGCUCCUCGCCUCAAAAUCCCCAUCCAAACAGAGAAGCAUAGAUUCUCAAAUACAUCGGUAAGAAGGAACAACUUAUUCCCACCAAAAAUUGACAAGAUAAAAAGGAAAAAGGAGCAACCAAUACAUCUAGUACCAUAAAAUUCAAGUAACUAAAAUAUUUAUUGAUAAGUUGGAGCUCAGCAAGGGAAAAAAAAAAGAAUUAGCGACCUUAUAACUACAGGAACACAGUAAUUUAAGUGCACUGUCUAAGCUUGCUUCAGUUAAGCAGGAAACAAAGGUAACAACACUAAAAUCAGAGGACUGAAGCAGAAAAAGUCUUCUUUCAAGGAUUGGAGUAGAGUAACGAAAGUAAGAUUAAUAAGAGGAUAGAAGGCAAUUUGACUUGUGAUAAUAGUGCCUUCAGCCAAAUUGAACAAAGAUAUUCGUAGCUGAAACUAGAAAUUCAGGGAACAAAAUAUAUUUAGAUCAGAUAGAUUUACUUCAAAAGUACAUCAAGGUAACCAUUGAUUUAUCUACGCGAUGAAAGAUGCAAACCUUGAUGUGCACCAACUAUUGAACCUAGCUUAUGUGUCCUAUCAAUGAAUGGUUAAAAGACAACAGACUGCUCCCAAUUACCAGAUGUACAUUGGGAAUUCAGAAGAGAUUGAAAGCUUGAUAUGGAAUAGAACUUAAAUCCUAAAAAAGGAAUCCUUGACAAACUCAGUUUGCUAUAUAUAACAUUUUAUCAUCAGUAAUCCAGUUCACUUGCUAAGGAUUGGAUUCCAAAAAGCAAUACAUCCAUCAUCACCAACAAAAGGAAAACAAAUUCAUCGAGGCAACUCCACAAGCACUCAGCAUACAGUAAAAUAAACAGCAAAGUAAAUAUCUAACGUACCGAAAAAAAAACUACCAAUGGCAAAUUUAAGUGCACCUGAGAUGGAACAUCUUCCUUCAACAUCCACAAAAUCUUAAGCCAUGAGGUAGACGGCUACACCAAGCUCUGACAGUCACACUAAAUGACUAUAUAAUCAUCCUACAGUAGAAGCGUUUGUAACAUGCAUUUGAGUGAUAGCAACAGAAAUCCAAAUAAUUUAGCGGGAGGUUCUGCAGAACAUCUUACAUGGCCGACUAUUAAUUCUGGUUCUACAGACGCUGGCAAAAAUCUGGUUUUCAUUUCAAUAACCGAAAGAAGAAAUGGCAUUGCUUGGAAAGAGCGAGCAUAUGGCUGGACUACUCUCUCAUUUGCCCAGCUUACAAUACAUAAGUAAACCAUCAAUGUAUCUCCCAAUCAAACCUUUUUUGAACAUAACUGGAGGAAAUGAAAACACCAGAUAACAAGCUUGUCGAAGCCACAAGAUUCCUUUUUAUUUAAAAAAACGAUGUUGUCAGAUGAAUGAAGAAUCAAGUCUCGACAGAAAUUUCCUCACACGAAUUACUCCUAUUCAGAACCUCGAUAAAAGGACAGAAUAAAGCCACAAUCAUCUUGCCGUAUUUUCCGGUAAUGCUUCAAGAAUCGAGAAUUGAAUCGUAAAAUUCAGGCAAAAUAUGAGUAUUCUUGUGUCACAAAAUACCUAAAUUUACAAAUGAAAAGAAGUAUCAUACAGAAUGAAAUUUUGAGCAAAAUCCAUAUUCCACAGCAAAAAAUCAUUAUUUCGAGUUCAUUUUACCAUCUCUAUAAAUAUGUGUACCCUUUAUUUUAUUAAUCUACGGAUUACACUUAAAAAAACAUGACAAAUCUUUAAAUGUUAUCUCAUUUAUGAAUGGAUUGCAAAGUACAAAAUAUAUUUGCUUGCUAUGUAAUCAUCAAAGUAUGAAACACCUCUUAAAUAAGACAAAAAAAAAAAAAAAAUUGAUCCAUUGCAUCAAUGGGUAGGUAUUGGAUCCUAUAUCUGCUAGUGGUGAAUUGAUAAAUUCGCUUGUACUUCAGUAUACUAAAGAUUCAUCUGAUAGAUGCAUAUUGUUUAGAUCUGACGAUUUGAAACUUCGAGAAAUUCUGAUAGCUACUUUUAAACAGAUGCAAUUGCUUUCUUGAUAAAAUUCUCAGGACAACAAAAAUUAGGGAUUAUUUGCUUCUCUAAGGUCCUUGCUACUAUUCUGGGAUCAGUAGCUAGCACCAGAUGAAGUCAGAGUAGGAAAAGCCUACACAGAGCAAACAACUGAUUUUGGGCAAAAGGGGACCCUUUUGGACAAACAACUUAAGACUCCAGGACAAACAAUAUCUUAAGAGGACCCUUUUGCCCAAAAUCAACUAUCAGUCGCAUCUGACAUAUUUGGACACUUGAGAAAACAGGUUCAAGCGCGAACCAACAAAAAAAUAACGAGGUGAGAAGCUGUUAAGGAGGGCUGUUGAGACUUGCUCGAGAUGGAUCUGGAAGAAUCUGACGAAGGGUUCACAGAAAAGAUGCAAUUUUUGAGGUAUUCGAGCAAUCAUUCAAAAAGGAUUCUUACCUGAAGUUGAGGUUUUGGCGAAGGAAUGAAACGUGCACUAAAGUUUUUUUUAACAGUGUAUUGAGCAGCUAAUGAAUUUGACAUGAAAAUCCAACUUUUACUCAGAAAAAUCUUCUUCAGACGCCUGAUAUUACCUCGAAGAUGUAGGUCGCUGAGGCGUCUAGCUUGCAUAUGGUUAGAGUGGUGACUUCCAUUUCCAUAUAUUGGCAUGGAUCCAUAGGACUUUGGUUUUAUACAUUGAUGUAGGUGUAUCAUCUGGUUGACAUGUCAUGGGAUGACCUAUUGUCUCAUCUCAAAUGGCAAUAAGUCAUAUAAUAAUAUGUCAUGUCAUGUCGCAUAAUAUCACAUGAUGUUGUGGAGUGUCAUAUGACAACACGUUGUGAUGAAGUAUUUUUGUAUUAGAGAACAUAUUGUGUAAUGAUGUGUCUCAUCAAAUGACAAAAGUUCAUGAUGUGAUGUGCAUGCAGAAUCCAAGUUCGAUGUGUAAACAUUUGCAUUACUUGGAUGUUUUAAUUUGCAUUGAUGUAUAUACAGCAUCUUGGAUUUUACUAAUUAGGCUUGCUAGCUACAUGGCAUUUAGUUCCCAAGAUCUUCUCAAAUUUUAGGUUCAGGGAUCUCGCAAUAUGAGACCCAUUAAACUCGUAAAAUCAUAUUAGAGUUGGCAACAAUCCAUUUAGGGAAAAACCGAGUCGACUAAAAAGUAGUGUCAAAGAAGUCAAGCUAUCUAGGUGCACGCGUAAAGAAUUUGGUCUAAUGAAUCCUAGAGAUCUUAACAUCCCAUACGCCCUUUUCAGUAGCGCAACCCCAGUUGAAAGGCACGGGCCAGUCUUGCUCCAUCUCUAUCUUUCUUCCGUCAAAUGCAAAAUAAAGCAUAGCAGAGCUGAUAGCUGCAGAAAAAUCAUUGGUCGUCGGAUAAACUCCUCUGCUCUUCACCUUGAAGUUGCCAUUCAAACGGAGACGCCAGUAGAUUUUGAUAUACGUUGGCAAGGAAGAACCACCUAUUCCCACCAAAAUCAACAACAAAAGAACACAAUAAAUGCAUCCAGCAGGGUAAAAAUCAAGAAACCACAAGGAUGAUUGAUAAGCUGGAGCUCAGUAAGGGGAGAAGAGGAAAAAUCAGUGAGUUACAGUGCAGAGUUAAAGCUUGCUUCAAUUAAUCGCUGGAAACAAACUAACAACACUAAAAUCAGAGAACUGAAGCAAAAUAUGUCUUCUUGGAAGGGUUGGAGUAGAAUGACAGAAGUAAGAUUAAUAGGAGGAUAGAAGGCAUUGGACUUAAGGUAACACAAUGCCUUCAACCAGAUUAAACAAAGAUAUUUGCAGUUCAAAGGAGAAAUUUGACGAACAAAACAUGCAGAUCAAGCUUGAAAGCACAUCAAGGUAAAUCUAGAUGUGUAUCAAGUGUCGUGUCCCUAACUUAUGUGUCCUAUCGCUGAAAUGGUUAAAAGUCAAUCGACUGCAAUCCUGAGAUAUUUUGGGUACCGAGUGCCGUAUCCCCAGCUUGUGUGUCCUGUCCCCUACAAGAAACCGUAGACGGAAGGCAUUUGCUAGAACUAGCAGUUGAGCCUCCCUAACGGAAUAAUUUUUUACUCGAUCAGAGACUAUCCGUGGACGGAGCAAAGUAGCUAAAUGUGUCAUCACGUCCACAGCGCAAAAGCUUGGCUACUUGCUUCUUUAAGAAAUCCGGUUUCUUUCUGGGGUAAGCGCCCAAGUUCAAGAUUUGAGAGUCAAGCCGAUGAGAAUGCGGUGCUUCCCAAAAGAUGCAGAUUCAAAACAGGGAAGGUACGAGGCAGGUUGACGCUGGGUAGCAAAAAUCAGAGAGGCAGCCUAUGCGCAGAGGUCGUCACCGAAACUUUUGUUCUAAAGACUUACGCCCAGAAGCAAAAAUUGUAGUGAAUCUCGUAGAAAGGAUCGCGUGCAUUCUUGACGAUGGGAUGACACCGCACAACGUGGCGUUGAAGACAAGGAGACUUGCUACGAUUAUGGAGAGAGUAUGCAAAUGUCCAUUGCUCGAACCUAACAUUGCCAGUCCUGCUUAUCAUCAAUGCCUUCCUCAACAAAGAACCAGCGAGCACAAAAGAACAUCAACAGAAUUGUUUUGAGGGCAAAAAUGGAACACACAACUAUCAGAGAGGACAAUAUUAGAAAGAAAAAAAAAAGUCAUUUCCCUCACAAUAGCAUUUCCAAAAUGUUGAAAUUCCCUACUUGCCUUGGGCUUUUAGCUUUUCCAAUGUUAGCAUUUUGCCAAUGGGAUUCCAAAAAUACUUAUUAAACACCUCAUAUAUUUCCCAUGGCCAAAAUCUGAACGCAGCAGGACCUUAGACCAAUUGCCUUGCACAUGCCAUCUAGUUGGUUUAUUUGCCCUAAAACUACAUAGACAUUCUAGGUGUCCAAUCAUCCUAACUUAGAUAAAUCGAUUAGAGAGGACUUUUUUUUUUUUUUAAUUUACAUAAUAGGUGUGAUAACCAAAUUAAACCAAGGAUUUGGGAAGGUCCCCUAAAUCGGGGGUGCUAUGGACUGGCGGCUCCUGAUUGCAAGAUUCAAGGUGCUAUAAAUGACGUAUGGCAUUUUCAUUUCUCUAUCUCAAAUAGAAAAAAAUGACUUUAGUCAAGCCCAUUUGGGGUUGAAUGUUUCCUUUAUGUAUACCUAGUCAAUGACCAUCCCCCACACGGGGCAGGGGCAUGACGAUCUUUGCCGAAGGAGCGAUCAUUAAAUUCAAAAUAUCUUGUAACUAUUUGUAUUCUAGUUUGUUGGACAUCUAGUCCCAGAUCAAUGUAAAAAGUGUGGUUUUCAGACAAAAUCAGAGCAAAAGGAUAAAACGAGAAUUGAGUCAUGACGCGAAAAAGAAGCGCCGCGACCACAUAAAAGCAACGGCUAGUGUCGGAGGCCUUCAAAAUCUGCAAAGUUGCUCAACCCAAGGUGGAUUGAACAUAGAAGAUCAUCCAAAAAGCUAAGACGGGGAUUUGACCUCUUACUGACAUCAUGGGUGCGUGUGAUUUGGGCCGUGUUGAAUCUCACGGCCCAGAUCAAGGUCCAACCAAAGUAAGAAAUCAGUUUGAUAUAUAAAAAUUCUCGAUUAUGAAUUUAUACAGGAGAAGUACAAGGAGAUACAAGAAGAUUGAUGGUGAAAUGAUCACCAUCAUGUUUCGUUUGAGCCUACUUGAUAUUUCCCGCAAAGGAUCAAUCCUUAUCAUUUCUCGUCCUAACUUAACCCGCUUUAUGUUUAGAAAUUUAUCCACAUAGUCUCAAACCAAUUAUAUAGCAGUCAAUUCGAUCAUAAACUUUUUAAUUUUACUAAUUUAGUUCUAAAGCCAAUUUAGUAAUAAGCCUUUUAAUUGUGUCAAUUUAGCCUAGCCCUAAACAUUUUGAUGAUUUGUUAAUCAAUCAUAAACUUUUUAACGAUUUGUCAAUUUAGUUUUUUCGAUCAAUUUUAACCGAAAAUCACUAACAUAAUGGUCUAGUCAGCACUAGGCAUUCUAUGUGACUUUGCCAACACUAAGUUGGAAAAUUUUUGUAAUGUCUUUAAUUUUUCCUUUUUUUCUUUUCUUUUUUGUCCUUUUUUUCCCUCCAACGACCAUUGCCAAACCACAUUGAUGGUUAGCAACUUGCUAGCCUCAAGUGAGAGACACCCGCACUUGGGCUAGCAAGGGCUACCCUUGCGUGAGGUUGCCAUAGGGAAAAGAAAAAAAGAAAAGAAAAGGACAAUGAAAAAAAAAGAAAUCAUAAAAUUACAAAAAGUGUUCAUAUCAACACUAGUCAUAUCUUCGACUAAAAAAAAAAAGGAUACUCAUAUUAGUGAUUUCUCAUCAAAAUUGAUCGGAAUGACUGAAUUAGCAAAUCAUUAAAAAGUAUAAGACUAAAUUAACAAAUCGUUAGUUGGCUUAGAACUAAAUCAACAUAGAUGAGAAAUUUAAGACUAAAUUGGUAAAUUGUCAAAAAGUGUAAGACUAAAUUAAUAUAAUUAAAAUGCUUAAGAUUGAAUUUGUCAUCAUAUAACAAUUUUCCCACUUUAUAACCUAGGCAAGAGAGUUCAUUAUUUUCAUUUUUGUGUGGAAAAUAUAGUUUCUUAGACAAAAGAGUCUUUUGAGUGAAAGCUACCUUCCCUUGGUCUAAAUUAGAAAUCAUAAGUAACGUUUUUUUUAUUUAAAAAAAAGGGAUAAUGAUUCAAAUGUUCACUAAACUUUAAUCAAAUAUGAAAUGUGGUCCAUAAAUUUUAGCCUAAUGAGUAAUAUCAUCCCGAACCUUUAACUUAUUCAAUUUGGUCCAUAAACUUUUGGUAUAUUUUCAAUUUACCUUAAAUUGUAUGAAAUAUUCAAUAUUAUCCUCAACAGUGGGUAUUUUCAUACAGUCCAAGAAUUAAGUUGAACAUAUGCCAAAAGUUUGGGGACCAUUUUGAACAAUUAAAAAAUUUAGUGACGAAGUGUGACAUCCUGGAUUUUUACAUAUGCUUUCAAUUAAAUUAAUCGAGCUUUUCAUCGAUGCGCCUAUAGUGAUAUUCUCAAAGCUGAUCACUCCUAAGAUGACUAGACUAUCUAGGGAAGUCAAUAAGAGAUUUUAAUGCAUUAGACUUGAGAAUUCGACUAGGAAUCGACUACUCGACCGUGCUCAUCUGCAGAGAUCAUUACGACAUAAUAAGAUCGAUUAGAAAUCAAAUAUAGGUCGAUUCGACUGAGAUGUGUGGCUCAACGUGGAUGAUUCCACUAAAUUGCAAAAUUCUCGUCGAUCAGCUCUAGAUUGGUUUUUCUGUCAUUUUGGUAUCCUGUGUCCGUAUUUGAAACCUCGAGAUUUUCACGACAAUAGAGAGUUGCCAAUAUGUCGAAUAGGUUCAUUGUGACUCGAAGAAAAUCGACCACGAGUCAUUUGCACUAAAAAUUUCUGAAAGCUACCUAGUCACCUAAGUCACGCUAAAAUCGCACCAGAUCAAAAUUAAUUGCGAAAGUUUUGUCAUGUCACAAGUCAUUUUAGAAACGUCAACUCGCCUUCCGAGGGUUACUCUGCAAAUCGAGACUUUUUGGGAAAAAGUCGAGGUAUUGCCGUUUUUGUCUAGAAAAUUCAGAAGACCAUUUUUUAUUGCGAAAUUGGGAUGCAAGUAGGAUCAAUUGGCGAUGAAAAAUGCCAAUUUGAUCGAGGGUGUGAUGGUUGAAUUUAUGGAAGUCAUUUUGGGUUGAUUCAAGGAGGAAUUGAAGUCUAUUUAGGGGAAAUCAAAUGAAAUUUGUAUGCCUCCCAUGGACCUAACUUUUGGACCACUUCAAGCUUCUAGAAGAUGGCUUUUUUGUCUAGAAAUUCACCAUGGAGGAUAGCUUGCUUGGUGGGCCAUGUUGGGGAGACAAAGUGAUGAGAGAGAGAGAGAGAGAGAGAGAGAGAGAGAGACCAAAGGUGUUCCCCCCUUGGCAGCCGAUUGCCUCUCCCUUUCCUUCCUCAUUUCCGUCGAGCCCUCCCUCCAUUUGCAUACCAAAGAAGUUCCAGCAAACCUAGAAAAUCCUGCAGAUUCCGAGCCUCCCUCCUCCGUCGACUAUCGAGCAAUGGUCGCAUGCUCGAAGCUCCACCAUGUUGCCAUUGCGCCUCACUCACGAGCCGCGCAUCCUCCGUGCAAGCUAGCAUCCUAGCCGCUUUGUCCCUGCUUGUCCAUGCAUCCAAAGGUCCCGACCUGCUCCACCAGCCACCAUGCGCCGUCGUCUUGCCGCCGUGAGGCUCCUCCUGUCCACCGCCGGUCCUUGCUAGCUCAGCCAGCCGAUCGAUCCACCUCUCUCGACCUCAACCAGCACCAAGCAGAAGUUGGGUCAAGUGGGUCUCUAGGCCACUGUUUGGGCCGUUUUCGAGCCGUUCCUGACCCCGUUUGACAGUCCCGCUUUGGAGUUUCUCGUCCCUCGCCGCUUCCUCGUCAUUUUGAUCCGAGUGUAUCACUUAACAAGUGAGUUUAACUCACUAAUCUCUGCUUAGUAAGUUAAUGAUGUUUAAGGGUUGUUUAGUUUAAACUAAGUAUGGAUUAUGUUUAUAGUUAGAUUAGAUUAGCCAUUUAAUUAAUUAUUAUUGCAUGUUAGGUGGUUAGAGUAGUGUAAUUAGAGCCUAGACAUACUCUAGAUAAAUAGACAUGCUCUAGUCAGGUCUUAAGGGGUUGGACUCGCUGAGAUGUCAUCUCACCCCGUUGUGAGAUAACAUUUCAGGUCCUUAGAUGGUAGCUCCUCUAGAGCAUUUUGGUCAGCCGAGGAAAGUUACAAAACAUACGUCUUACAUUCCGUUGCAUGGGAGCCCUAGGAGCUGGACUUAUGAGUUGGUAAGGUCCAUAGUCUAGGUUGAUGCAGGCCUAUCCAAAAAGAUACACCAUCGAUAUAGAUCCUAGUACCGCCAGGUUCAGGAUGGCCAGAGAGAGGGUCUCAUACCGGAAUCGGAGAUACCUUUGUAUGUGCUGGAGGUUGCUUUUGAAAAUGGCACUGCAGACCCUCUAGAUGGUUCGGUGGACCUUAACCUUGAAGAUCCAGGAUCUCCUGUGUAUUCAACAGUAGGCUUUAGUUAGAGUGUGGAGGGAGAUGACGAGGAGGAUGAGGACCUGUAGUUGUUUGGAAACCCCCCUGUUUUGUGGACAUAUAAAUAGAUCAGCUGGUAUUGUAUAUAUAACUUGGGUUGUUAUAUGCAUAUAUUGUGAAUGUUGGUUUUAAAAUUAUGGCCCUACUUUCCUAUCCCAUGGUGUUGUUGUUUGGGGAUUAUAUUUUUGCUUCCGCAUGUGUAUUUAAAAUGAAUGGGUCGGCGAUGGGUCAUGGAACGUCACUAUCUAAUCGACUGCAAAGGGAUGGAUACGCGCUCGGAGGAUCGGGGCGUAACACGAAGUUACAUAUUGAGUUAAAGUUUAAGGAUUACAUCGAGCAAAUUUAAAAUUCAUGAAUCACAUUGCAAAUUAAAUCAAAUUCAAAGAAUCAAUUAUUUCAUUUGGCCUUUUUAAAAAUGAAAAAUUGAUUGUUUUUGCUUUCAAAAUGAAUUCGGCAAAAGAGUAGUAUAUCUCCAGGGAGAAGAGAAUCUUCUAAGCAAUUCCAGUAAAAAGGCCCUCAAAGGAGGCACUGAGAUAAUUGUACUUCUGACUAAACAAGAAAACAGAAGUACAAUUAUCUCAUAAUACUUCACAGUUUUAUUCUCCAUACCAAACGUAGCUAUGAGAGACUAUCAUAAAGUACACACCCUAGGCCCCAAACAGCACCUUAAAAAAGUCUCAGAAUGAGGAUACAUGCAAGUCAAAUGUGCUAAAUACGAGUGAUGUGCAACUUCACACGUCUAUUCAAACAAUCAAAUAGGUGCAAACCAUGUCAUACUUUGUCAAUCAAAACAAAGAAGACUAACUAAUCAGAAACAAGCGCAAGUAGAUACAGUAAGUCAAAAGCAACCUAUUAAAAUGAUACAGGCUAGCAGGAUUCAACUCCACCAGUUGAACUUUUCAGAACUACAAUAUUGACAUAACAGAAUAUCUGUGGUCCCCGUUUGAUCUUAUUUCCCAUUUCAACCAAUAAAAAACAGGGAAGUCCAUAAACAGCGAGCCUAGUUGCCGUUCUUGCCUUUCGCAGAGAAGAAUGUGCUGAAUCCCCUCAUUUGCUUCUCCGGCAUUGGAGAAGAAGAAGACGAAGAACCUGAUGAGGUGGCUCUGUGUUUCGGAUGCUUGGAAUUGACAGAUGUGCUACCUGGGGAAUCACACAAGGCUAGUGCAGAUUCGGAACUCUCUCUCUGCAAAUUAUAUGAAGUGACACUGUCCACCUCAGCACAAUCGACACUUUGCAAUUGCGUGCUAGUACUUGUUGGUUCUUCCUUAACAGUUCCUUCAGCGUCUUGACUGAAUUCAUCUGUUGGCACAGUGUAGAGCUCUGUUUGGGGACAUAAAGCUUGCAACUGUUUGCCGAGAAGAAAUAUGGUCACUUGGCACUCUGCUAGCUUUUCUGCUGCCGCUCAUAAUUCUUUCUCCUGUGAGAAUGAAAAGAAGUUUUAAAUUCUGCACUCAACAAUCAUUCAGUGUGUAAUGAGUCCCCAACCCCCCCCCCCCCUCUCUCUUUCAUACACACAAAUUGUUUGUGCAAAAACCAAUUCGCGUAUUUCCCCCGCAUACAAAUGUAUUAUUCCGCAAAUGGUGCCAUGCCCCAGCUCCGUGGCGAACACAGAACGAGAUGCUCUUUUGCCUUAAAAGAAUGUAUCGAUGCACAUCCUCAAUUUCAUAGUCCGGGUUGAUUGACUUCAUUUCACGACUCGAAUGAUUUUUGAAGGAUUCUAGGGCAAUUUUUUAUAUAUGAAAUCAUGGCAGUCAUAAACACAUGAAUCGACUGCCGACAUCUCUCCCUGUUAAGGCAAACCUGUAAACAAAUAAGAUCAACUUGGUUACUAAGUUUAGUUUGAAUGAUAAGCGUCUAUUCUUCUCGCAACAUAAGAAGCGCCCCCUUCAUGAAUGGCCUGAAAGCCACUUGGAAUGCUCAAGAAUGUACGGAACCACCAGAGAAAGUGACUUGGACGAGAUGCAUCGACUCCUUUUUUAUCGGUAGAUGAUGGAGCGUCAUAUCCCAUAAUUUAAGGAGCUGUUCUUCCAUUUUCUCUACCUUUUGGACGAUGGGGACAUUGUUUCAGCGCGAGAUGGUCCACUCAACUUUACACAGUGAUAUCAUCUCCACCCCAACUUUUUAUCUAAAUUCUCUCCGUGCUCAAUCCCAAUAUUUCGUAGCCAAAAGAAACUCUCUAAUUCGAGCACCAGGGAAAAAAACUGCCAUAAUCCUCUCAAAUAUAAGGCUCUCGUUUUCCCGAGAAAAUUGUAGUUUCCAUGAGAAGUGUGGUCGUAGCUCCAUCUUCAUCGUGUUUGUAAGGCCUCUCCUGGCUUCUCUCUCAAGACCCAAUUCUCUAUCCACAAUCACCUCCGAUCCUUGCGCGCAUCUCUCCCACUCCCACCAUCAUCAUUGCCAUCACCGUCGUCUUCCUCUCAAACCAAGCCACCCUGGCUUCACCACUCUGACAUGGCCGCCUGUGUCAACGACACGCCAAGAACAGAGAAUCGCAAAUUUCCCCGCAACCCAUGCUUAGGCGAGCGCGGAUACAGCCUCAAGUUCGCGAAUUUGUUCCGGCCCAAAAUUUCUAGCCCCCUUUCGAGCGUACCCGUUUUGCAUAACUGAGGAAAGACCACGCACAUCAGGAAGGUCGUCAACGACUUAGACGAAGACAAACAAGACGUGCGGCUCUGGAUGCGAGAAGAGGCCCGCUCGGAUGUUUCUCAUGAGCCCAUACUGUCCAACUACUAUGAAAGCUCAAUACUUUCUUAGGAUUCGCUCGAGAGCGCGUUGGCUAGUCAUUUGUCGAUCAAGCUAAGCAAUUCGAGCCUUCCCAGGGGGACUCUAUGCGAGCUAUUUCAUGGGGUGCUCGCAGAAGAUCAAAAAAUUGUCAAAUCUGUGAAGGAAGAUUUGAGAGCAGUGCGCAAGAGAGACCCUGCUUGCGUGAGCUAUGUGUCACACCCAAAAACCAUCAUGAAUGGGGAUGAUACGACCCUCCUUCCACUCAAAGGACGCAGCCUCAAAGCUCCCAAAAUCCAACCACAUCCAUAUCUAUCUUGUACCUAUUCAUCGUUAGUCAAGGAACCUGAAAAAGAUUAGAAAAUAGAGAGAUGAGCAACCACAGCUCAUUGAGUAGUGCAUUUCUUUUAAGCGGAUCAAGCACCCACUAUGCAUAUUUACAAAACCAAACUACAACUCUUUUAACUCAAAUCCAGGAUAUAACAAACAUACAAUAAAAUAAUAAGUACAUACGCUUCAACACAACUAUAUUUAUAAUAGAAAUAAUCAUUUCACAAUAAUAUCAAAAUAAACAUCAAUGAUCUAAUUCAUUGAUCAAUCUCAUUAAUUCACACACCAAUGGUCUAUUCCAUUAGUUAAUCUCAUACCACAUAUUAAUGGUCUAAUGAAAUUAUAUGUCGAUGGUCCAUUCCAACGACUAAUCUCAAAUUACACGUUGAUAGCCCAUUCUAUCGACCAAACUCAUAUCACAUGUCAAUGGUCUACUCCAUUGACCAAUCCGUUGCUCAAUAUCAAACCAUGGUCACGAUACAACACCUGGUGACGAGGCGACCAAGAUUCCCCCUUUAGCAAGGUCUCCACCUAUUAUUAGCCAGUGACUCUGUGACAUCCUGGAUUUUCGUUUUUAUUUUCUACUAAAUAAAUCGGGCAUUUCAUCGACGCGCCUAUAGGGCUGUUCUCAGAACCGAUCACUCUUGAGAUAACUAGACUAUGUGGGGGAAGCCAUUAGGGAAUUUUAAGGCAAUAGACUUGAGAAUUUAACUAAGAAUCGACUUCUCAACCGUGCUCAUAUUUAAAGGCCGUUAUAGUAUAGUUAAAAAUUGAUUUGAGAUCAGAGAUAGGUCUGUUCGACUAAGAUGUGUGGCUAAUCAUGGGUGACACCACUCAAUUGGAAAAUUCUCAUCAACCGGCCUUAGAUUGAUUCUUCCGUCGUUUUGGUACUUUGUGUCUGUAUUUGAAUCAUCGAGAUUUUCACGAUAACCAAGAGUCACCAGUGAGUCGAGUGGGUUCAUUGUGGUUCAAAGAAAAUUGACCACGGGUCAUUUGCACUAAAAAUUUCUGAAAGUUAACCAGUAGCCUAGGUCACGCUAAAAACGCACCAAGUUAAAAUUUACUAUGAACUCAAUUCCGAUUUCAUAAAUUGAAGAUCCUAUCAUAUCACAAUAAAUUCUAAGAGUGUCAACUCAGUCUUAGAAGAUUUUUCUGAAACCCUAAACUUUUUGGGAAAAAGUCAACAUAUGACCGUUUUUGUGCAGAAAGAGCCAAUGAUCAUUUUUUAUUUCAAAUUUGGGAAGCAUGAUGGAUGUAUGGGUGGGGAAAAAUAUUGAGAUGACCGAUGGUAGGUGGAUUGAAUUGUAUGAGAGCCAAUUGAGAGUGACUCAAGAGAGAAUUGAUGUCCAAUUGAAGCCAUCCUCUCCCAAAUUCGUAACUCCCCCCAUCCACCACCAUUUUGGACCAUUUCAUAAGUUGUUGGGUAGGCAUUGGUGGCUCAAUAGCAGCCAAGGAUCCAUGCAUGGCCAAGAAAGGUCAAGGGGAACAAACCCUUGGAAAAUUUGGCUUGGUGGAGCCCUUGUUCCCCCUUAUCUCUAUCCUCUCCCCCUCUCUCUUACUUAGCCGGCCAAACCCUCACCACCUCCUCUCCAUUUUUGAAAAAUCCUCAAGCCAGCAAGAAGCUAGCGGAAGGAGCAUGCCGUCCACCAUCGCAUGCCCAUGCCGCCGUGGCCAUUCACGCACGCUGCCUUGCCGCUCGCUGCCCUGCACCGGCCCGUUGCUGCUCCGCCUCCACCGUGUGACUCACGCCGUCGUAGCCCCUUAUCGUGUGUCCCAGGAGUCCCUCCAAGCAACCCAAGCCACCACCGAAGCUCCCAUCACCGUCGGUUUGCCCCGAUUUGACCUCCUCAACUCAUUUUGAUCCAUUGCCGCCCCAAACCAACCUUAUUUCCUUAUGUUUUGCAACUAGAACAAAGAGUUGAGAAGUGGGUUUCACAGCCACUUCUAGGCCUGUUUUGAGGUGGUUAUAGGUCCCGAACCCUAGGCUCGCUUUGGAGUAAAACGUCCCCUGCGAUAUUCCUGACGUUUCAAUCCAAGCGGAUCAUUAAACGGGUGAGUUUUGCUCACUAAUCUCUCAUUAGUAUGCUAAUGAUGCUUAGGGGUUGAUUAGAUUUAAUUAAGUGCAAUUAGGUGAAUAGAUUAGAUUAUAAUAGUUAAAUUAGGGAUUUACCUAUGUAUGUUAGGCAAAUGGUUAGUGCAAUUAGCAAGUAAACAAGCCCUAUUAUUUAUUGAACGAACCUUGAAAACUUUCCGAGUCUGUCUUGGCUUCCAAUUAGGCAUUACGGGCCUAAAUUGGAUUUAUUGUAUUUAUUUAAUAAUUUUCGUAUUUAUUUAUUUAUUUAUUUAUGUUUUGGAAAUUAAGCAAGUAUAGCCAACGACCAGAAUUUUAUGUUGAUUAUCGUGGUGCAGUCUGUUUAUUUGUUGAGCGUUAAUUUGUGCUGAAUUAAAUUAAAUAUAAUUUUGGGAUUUUAAUUCUAAGUUAUUCAAUUUCAGUAAUUGAUUGGAAAUGACCGAGCGUGAGUCUAUAGCGCCAAUAAUGUUUUGAUGAGCUAUAUAUAAAGUGAUAGAAAAGAAAAUCGUAUCACGUGGCUCGGAGACCAAGAAGGUCAUCCUGGAGAAUGCACGUGACUCACAGAUUAAAUAAAUCACCUAUGGAUAGCAUGUGGCUUGGUGAUUAGUACCUCGCCUUGGCGUAUAUGUCGCCUUAGAGAAUGCACGUGGCUCAGUGAUUUGGUAUAUCACCUUAGAGAAUGCACGGGGCUUGGUGAUUAGACAUGUUGCAUUUGAGAUUGCACGUGGCUCGGUGACGAAGCAUGUCACCUUAAAGAAUGCAAAUGGCUCGGUGACUAGAUAUAUACCAUCUGGGAAAAUAAUUAGAAUGAAUUGAAAUGACCGAGAAAUGGUCUGAAUGACAUGUAAUCGACUAGGUUGAUUGAUCAAUGAUUCGAUAAUGUGAUGUGAUAGUGUAUAUUUAAUAUAUAUACCAACUUACAGGAAUGGAACUGAGACCAAGGUAAAUCCUUUGACUCGUGUUAUGCUUAGGCAGCCUCUAGAGUGUAUUAACGUCCUAAUCGGGUCUUAAGGGAUAUAACUCAUUGAGACGUAGUCUCAUCUCGGUUGUGGGAUCACAUUUCAGGUCCCUAGAUGGCAACAUCUCCACCUCAUUGUCCUCCUAUGCAUUUCGGUAUACUCGAAGAAGUUACCAAGAUAGAAACCCACUUUCCGAUACACCUUCAUCCGGAAGGACUAGAGUACGUCCUGGUUAAGUUGACCAUUUGGGUUGAAGUGGGAAAAGAUGACCUGAGGCUCUAUGAAUAUCGGUCGUGGUACCAUGAGUAUCAUGAUGGGCAAAGGGAUGGUCCCAUGCCAGAAGGUGAUGUACCUCUAUUCGUUUUAGAGGAAGCAUUCAGGGAAGGAACGGUAGAUCCCGAGGAUGGAGCAGUGACUGAUGCUAAAGAUCCCAAGCUCGAGAGUGACACCGACUCUCCCAAGCAAUCAGCAGUAGACUGCAGUUGGAGUAUGCCAGAAGAAGAGGUUGAUCAAGAAGAGGUGUGCCCAUAAGAGAAUUGGGAGGAGGAACUCGAGGAGGAGGAACUAGAGGAGGAAGAACCUGAAGAGGAGGACCCUGGUGAGAAUUCGGAGGAGUCUGAAGAAGAUCUUGAGGAUGACCGAAGUACGACUCGAAUAAGGACUGAGAUCCUAUCCUAUUUUGCAAACCUUGAGUUGUGAACCUAUGGGUGAUAGACUAAACUUUUGUGAAUAGUAUUGUGAUAUAUACUAUGUAGUUUGUAUUGUAUAAAAGUGUGGUUACGAUUUUUCAUAUUCAAAAAAUAUAGCCCUACUAUUCUAUUCCAUUGUUUUAUUGUUUGGGAAUUAAUUAUAUGCUUCCGCAUGCAUAUUAAAAUGAAUGGGUCGACGAUGCGUUUUGGGACGUCGCUAUUAUAUCAACCAGAUGAGGGAUGGGUGCGUGCCCAAGGAUUGAGGCGUGAUAGACUAAGCCCACAAGGAUAUCAUAAACUAGUAUACGUAUACCCACAAGCCCCUCACUAGACUCACAAUGAUAUUGAGCAUUAAUAUUAAUCCAGAACAACACCAUCCACAAUUCACAAAACCGAAUCCAUAAAUCAUUUUAUAUAUCACCAAAAGAUUUCGUAACUCAAUUCAUCCGCCAAAACCAUUUUUCAUAAAACAUUCUCAAAUAAUUUCAAGAUUCGCCUCAUAAAUCAAUUUUACAAACCAAAUCAAAUCAAACGUAUUUUAACUUAUCACAAAUUGAUAUCUAUAUAACAUCCCAUAAACCAUCUCAAAGUCGAUCUUUUCGUUAGAAAUGUUUCACAAAUCUAAAACAUGUAAUAUUUCUCAACUUUGUUCAUCAAACAAAGUAUAUAUUUCCACCAAAAAGUUGUCACACUAUUAUCAAAUACGAAAACAUAGUAAUUGCCCAAUCCAAAUUUUAUGCAAUAAAUAUGCUUCUUCAUAUCUCGUAAAAUGUCAAAUAUUUAUCAUUUUGAAGACAUGAGUUUCUAAAUUCUUAGAAGAGAUAGCACCACUCACUUGGGCAAGCCGAAAAUCAACAUACGUGGUUACUUGAGCCAACGCACUCGUAUUCCUAUUAAUAAAUCGAAAACGAUAUUAAAACCAGGUAAUAUGCUAUUCUCCAACUAAUGACUCAACUAAAUUAUGCUUAUUCAUCAAUAAAAUGACACCUACACACUAAUAAAUCGCUCAACCAAAACAAUUACUCAAGGCUGUCCAUAGUGAAGCUUGAGCACAAAACUUCAUCAUGCUAUAAUUUUUUCUACCGAACUCCGUUUCAAGCGUACUUAUAGUCGAUGGAAAGCCCAUCCAACAUACUACAAGAACCCCAAUUUAGCGAACCCAAAAUCAAGCCAAAAAUCAACAAAAUGUGGCCCUAAAGUCCUGGUCGCGCACUGUUCAUCACACACGAUAAAUUUCAAAUUUUUGUUUCGGGCAAACCGUAAGCUCAAAUCACGAUAUGUAAAAUCCUACAGCUCCACAACAUCCCAAGCUAUCAUUUUUACAAAAAUAUGCAGCUCAACAACUCAAAAAUCAUACUUCACUGCUCGAUGUUUUCAAAAUUCCAAAUUUCAAGCCCUAGGUCCGAAAUUACUCCGAUUAAACGAACGGGUGGCACAAGCACUUACCGGGCAUUGCGUUACAUAGUUGAGGUGGCUUGGUGAGGCUCCCAUGAUGAAAACGCACGAAGCCCAUUUUCUUCUUUUCUCUUCUUCUUCUUCUUCUUCCUCUCUUUAUUUUUCUUUCUUUGUGCCCGAGCUCUCUACCAUCCCUCUCUCUCCCCUUCUUUCCUUCUCUCUUUCCCUUUUAUCUCUCCUUUUUCUUUUUUCCUUUCUUUCUUUAUUUCUUUAUUUUCUUCCUCUCUCUCUUUCUCCUCUUUUCCCCCUCUCCUGAAAACUCUCCAUUCCUCUCUCUACUAAAGCUUCUACCUUUUUCCUCUACCUUUGACUUUUCAACCCCUUAUUUUACUUUCUCCCCUCCUUUAAAAAAAAAAUCCGUCCUCGAAAUUUAGACAUACAUUAAUUACCAAACAAAUGAGGAUAUUUGUGUCUUGCCUCCUCCUCGAGCUCCCAAGUGGCCCCUCUCCCGAUAUGAUUUUGCUAUUGAAUCUUCAUAUAUGUCAUCAAUAUUUUCUUGUUGAUGAUGUGUCCUAUCACUAACCUAAAAUUCAUGAAUCACUCCAUUUGCUUUGAUCAUGCUACACUUUGUUGUUUUUGUCAUUAGGUGUUACUCCACAAUUUUUCAUCACUCCAAAUAUGUUUUGUUACCUCAUUAUCAAGCCAUUCAUUGCCAACCCAAGAAUUGUAACAUUCCAAGUGGAGACACAUUUGUCCUCCAUUAACUAGAAAACAUCAAAUGCAUUUUAAACACACCGACACUUCAUGUACAUGUCCAUCAAGGUUGUACCCAGAAUAACAUCAACUUUAGAACAAAUCUUCCUAAUUUUCGCAUUAACCAUUUUCCUUGUUCAAGGGCAACCAAGUUCACCAAAAUGACUUCAUCGUACUACAUCUCAAUAUAUGUGACUAAUUCCAUAUGCCUCAAUGAUGGCAAUCCAGGUCCAAAAACUUAGAUAGGGAUUGAAAUAAAUAUGGAAUUUGCAGUAAGAAGUGACUGACGACUUCCAUACACUUUCAUUAUUUCUAAAGAAACGAAAGGGAUCGCCCCAAUCCCUUUUUUUUUAUGAACUAUAAAAAUAGUUUCUUCAAGUCACUUUGUCUUUAGCAAAUACGCAUGAACCUCUCAACCCAAUCGUCAUACCUAUCAAUAGUAGGAUUUUUGUCAAUAUAAUUGAAUUUGGAGCAAUUCCCCCCCCCCUUUUUUUAUUUCUUCAUCGCAAAAGAACAAACCACAUCUUUCACAUCAGCAAAAUCUACUUUUAAGCUCUCUCCUUAAAAGAAUUUUCUGCACUACCGAAAAAUGUAGCAUUUUUUUUUUUUGUCAAGAGACAUGAACCUGGAAGUGACACCUCCACCAAUGUAACAAUUUGAAUUGCCACAACUAACAAUCUUGUUUUGAAAAUAGGUUGGUUGAACUUGAGAAUUCACUCGUUGAAAUUGAAUAAGUAAACAAAAUCGAAUUGGAUUCAGUUGUGUGGGUCUUUUGUCGAAAUUAAAUAGCCUUCCUUUUGUUCUUUUUAAUUAUUAUUUCUCGUUAUGGAAUAAUUUUUAGAUGUAUUACCGCAUCUCGAAUUACAAAAACGAAACUAUUCAUUUUGAACAGCAAAGAGCGAUUAAUCAAAUCCGACAACGGGUUUUCCAACAAGCAGGACUAAAUUCCUAUACUUCUGCUCUCAGCCAUGAGUCAUAUCUCCCUGGUUUAUCUAGAGGCAGCCCCGAUUCCUCAUAAGGUAUUUCUUGGCAAAAAGUAGCAUAGUGCCCAAUACAACCACAGGAAUAACAAAAAUGUGGUAGCCUUUCAUACUUGAAAUCUAACCAUCAUUUCUUACCACCUAUAUCCACUACAGUACCUAUUUUAAGAGGGCUCAAGAGGUUCAGGUUGACUUUUGCCCUGCUGAUUUUGCGUAAACUGUUAUUUCUGGCCUCUAUUUUCACCUCCUCCACUCUUCCCAUUUUAGAAGCUAUAUUUCGAAUAGAGUCCUCAUUCAUUCUAGCUCUAGGUAACCCCAAGAUAUAGUGUGUGUGUGAACUAGUAACAAUGUUCAGGCACAUUAGGAUCUCCUUCCAACAACAUAAGAAGAUUACUAGCGAAAGACCAUGGACCCGUCUUUAAAACUCUUCUUUUAUCCUCUACUAAUUCAAACAGAAAGGAGAAUAAACCUUGUUCUAUACUCUCGCAUUUGACAAUCUCAACUUUCCAUGCCUUCUUCAUACCACAAAAUGCUUGGAAAUUGACAUUCGGUUUGGCAUAAAGCUUUCCAUAGAGGAUGAGUUCACUUUCCUGUUUUUCUUUCUCAAGAAUAGUUGGCUCGAGCUUCAGCACAUCGUCUUCUAACCAGAGGUCUCCCAUUUUCCUACAUAAUGCCGCCAGUCUGAUUUGGUUUUCUUGGGAUCUCUCCAUUUUCGAACAAGUUCCUCAAAAUUUUGGCUGUUCAAAGGUGUAAUUAAUGUCAUUCAUGAGAUAAUUGAACCAAUUUAAAUCAAUUGAGAUUUGGUAAAAGGUUCAUUGAUUUAAUUAGGGAAAAUUUAGAUUAUUUCUUUUCAACUUAGCCCAUUUCUCUUUUGUUUGAACAAGAAUUCUUUACGAUUAGGCCCUCCAGAAAUCUAAUUUCACACAUUUUUGGCCAAAGAUUGAUCGAAUCGGCAAAACUGAUUCAUAUUGGUCCAACCGACCUCCGGCAGUUUUAGCCAUUUUUCGACCAAGUUUUGACAACUGGCAACUACCAAGCCAGCCUUCUGGCCAACCACCCCAUACUCUUUUUACAUGAAAUUACACAAAUCCCCUAGUGAACUUACAAAAUUUCCCUCGAGAUAGGAAAUUACUAGAAUUCCCCCCGAUUAAUGACUAAUCCAAAAAAUCAAUCUUGACCUUUUGUUGGCAUUUUCAUCCUAGCCAUCCAAUAUGAAAUAUGCUUAAUUUCCCUCUAAUCAUAAGAAAGCUUAGCCAUUAAGCAUUUUUUUAUCUCAUUUUGGGAGAUCAAGCCUUACAUCAAACCAAGGACUAGGAUCUCAUCUUAGGAGGAGUAUAUAUGCAUUUUUUCCUCUGAAAGUUGGGGCUCUUAUUUUCAUAACCAAAUUCUCUCUCUAGCCUUCUCUCUUUCUCUUCAUUUUUCUCUCCCUCUCUUUAAGGUUGGCCAAGCAAAGAAAGGUGGAAAGAAAAAGUGAAGUUAAGAGAACAUUAGAAACAUAGUAAACUAAAUCAAAUCACAUUUUACCACAUUAAUUCUAAAUUUCCCUUUAGUGCGCUUCUUUAGAAUAUGUUUGUAUAUUUCAAUUUGAAAAUAUGCUUGUUUGGGAUAAUCACUACAAUGAGGAUAGCUCAUUAUGGUCAAUCUUCUAAAUUUCCCUCCCAAUUUUUUUGUACAAUUAGCUCUUCCUGGCAAUUGAACAAUACAAACACAUUCUAAAGAAAUGCACCAAAGGGAAAUUUUGAGUUAACAUUGUAAAAUGUGAUUUGAUUUAGUUUACUAUGUUUCUAAUGUUCUCUUAACUUUGUAACUCUCCAACUUUUCAUAGCAAUUAAGAGCUAAAUUUUGUAAAAUCGGAAAGAAAUAUUUAUACCUCAAAAUAAAAGAUCCCACAAAGAAAGUUGGGCUGGAGAUUAAGAAAACAUGUGAGGUGAGGAUGAAAGAGAAAAGGAAAAAUUUCUAAUUUUCCUUUCAAGUGCAACUCAAUGAACAACCUUCCUUUUUUCCUAUUUCAACAAAUCUAAUAGUUAGUUCCAAUUGGAGUGAAAGUGAUAGUUGAAAUUAAACUGCUAUCUUCAAGCAAUGACGGCAUUGUUAUGCUAACAUUGCUCUUUUCUUAAAGUUAGUUUUCCUUUAUCAGAAAUUGAAGAAUUUUUUUUUCUGAUGAGGUCUCUUAUCGGUGGGUACAUACAUGGAAAUUAUCCAUAUUAACUCAAAGUAGAUUUUCAUUUAGGUGAUUUUCAUGCUUAGACGUGACGAUUGGGCAAGAGAGGACACGAUGGUCGAGGCUUGGACCUAAGCAAGCACAUGUCAAGAAAGAUUUUGGGCCCAAGCCUUCUUGUGGAGAGAUUUCCUUGCCUAGAUCCACCCAAAUGAGAUUUUUUUUUUUGCGCCCUUUUGUGUGUGUAAAAUAUGGAUAAUAUUUUAAUAAAAAAUGUGAUUUAAGUUAUUCUAAGAAAUAUGUUGUAUUAAGGUUAACAAUACAACCUAGAGAGGGGAUUGAAUAGGUUGAAUGAAACUACUAUAAACUUUCAUGAACUUUGUCACAAGAAUUAACAAGCUAGAUGAAUGAGACUUUCAUCAGCUUGUGUGAAUAUUAUGAUCAAACAUAGCAAAUAAUGAGCAAUAAGAGUAGAUCACAAAGCAAUUUAUAGUAAUUUGACUUCAUUCCCAAGUCUACAUCCAUUCUCUAGCUAAUAGCUUUAAUAUCAGUCGAAUUCCACUAGUAAUCAACCGUGCAAGUUACAAUCGCGAAGUGUAGUUCCUUUCACACAAUAGAUCACACUAUCAGGACCAACUAUUGCACUUCCACUAGUAUGCAUGAUUAUCUCCUAUUACAAUGCUACACCUUUAUAAAGAGAUAUCAAAUGAAGAACAAAGAAAAUUUCUUGCUCAAAGUACAACGACAAUAUAUUUCAUGUCCAACCUCUUCCAAAUAAUGAGCAAUAAGAGUAGAUCACAAAGCAAUUUAUAGUAAUUUGACUUCAUUCCCAAGUCUACAUCCAUUCUCUAGCUAAUAGCUUUAAUAUCAGUUGAAUUCCACUAGUAAUCAACCGUGCAAGUUACAAUCGCAAAGUGUAGUUCCUUUCACACAAUAGAUCACACUAUCAGGACCAACUAUUGCACUUCCACUAGUAUGCAUGAUUGUCUCCUAUUACAAUGAAGAACAAAGAAAAUUUCUUGCUCAAAGUACAACGACAAUAUAUUUCAUGUCCAACCUCUUCCAAGUUUUGCCAAGUCUUCAAUCUAACCGUUGAAGACCUUUAAGGAGUCCCAGCUAGCUAUUUGAGAGUAGGCAGAGACCUUUGCUAAAAUCAGGAUUGCCCAUACAAUCGUAUCCUUUGACAUUAACAAAUUUCUUAAGAUGAAGUCUGUUGUAGUUGUCACUUCACUAAUGUAGAUACUUGUCAAUUGCUAUUAUGAUAUCUUUCCUAGUUCUUCAGUUAUGAAACCCAAUCUUGCAACAGGUCUUUUUUGUGCUAUCAAUGGUCAGCUUCCUUUGCAUGUCAAUACUUAAUUGUGAUGUUGUUGAUGACUUGGUUAUCGACAUACAUCUUAUAUGGAACCAUCCUUUUUUGGCACAAGUAGGCUGGAACAAAAUAAGGACUCAUACUUCCCAUACAUAUCCUCCUGUAGUAAGCUCAUCGACUUGUUGCUACAACUCCUUUAUUUCUUCUGGAUUGCAUUGAUAAGCAGCUUUGCUUGGUAGAGAAGCACCUGGGAUAGAAUCAAUUUGAUGCUCAACACCUCUUAAGGGAGGUAAUCCAUGUGGUAAUUCCAAUGGAGAAGCAUCUUUAAACUCAUCGAUCAAGGAUUGCAUUUAGGGAUGUAGGGUCCUCUCUAUUUCACUUUUUUCGAUUUUCAACCAUAAGCAAAGUAAAAACAUUCUUUUACUUGCUAAUGGCCAUCUCCACACAUGUCUCACUCUAGAAAAAAAUUUCUUUGCUAGUGUUUCCCUCCCUCAGUUGAUUUUUGUAGAUCAUAAGUGGGCUUAAAGGUGCAAAUAUGAUGAGUUUUUCCUCUUUCUAGAACGAGUAAGUGUUUUUCUAUCCAUCAUAAACAAAUUUCCUAUCAAAUUGCCAAGGCCUUCUCAAUACAGAGAUAUGAUUCCAUCGGAAUAAUAUCACAUAGAACAUGAUCUUUUAAUAGACUCCUAAUUGAAAAAGAAAAUCCAAGCUUGUUUAAGUACCUGAAGAUUGUCCCCUUUUUUUUAAUCCACUUCAAUUAAUAUGUUCAAAAGUGUUUGAAAGUAGGAAGAUCCAAUGUGUUGAUUGGAGUUGUCGAUACUAUGUUGGUGUAGCUUCCACCAUCGAUGAUCAAGUUAGACACCUUCCCAUUACUCAGGUUUAAAAACUAUUCUCAUUUUGCUCGUUCGCUUUUGGAGCGAUUAUAGAGUCUCCUGAUAAUGAGCAAUUCUCCUUCGUUUGGCUGCUCUCGAUGAUUACAUCUUUCUCCUUAGAUUCGACUCAAUUUGUUCAUUGCCUUGCAUAGCUUCUUGAAGCCCCAUGUCAAUCUACUUGAUUUCUUAGAGAGUCACAACUCUUCAAUUAGGACAAUUGGCUUUGAAGUGUCCAUAGCCAUUAAAGUGCUUUUGAAUACUACUAUUAUUGGUCUUUUUGGGGAGUUCUUUGACAGGCUCUGUGGCUUUCUCCUUGCCUUAAUUUUUCAUCUAUGUAUUCUUGGCCUUGCUAGAAGGAAAAUGUCCCCCUUGUUGAUGAUUUAGUUGACAAACUUUUGCCACACUUUAGUUGUUUCUUCACUUUCAUGGCUGGCUUACAAACAUUUUCGAAAGACCAAUAUGGUUGAAAUUCAACCAAAUCGAUAAAUGUCUCUUUUCAAGCCACAAGGAGUUGUUCAAACUCUCUAAUGUAUUCUUCAAUGCUCAUUAUGCACUGCUAGAGGGAAUUUAUUUUAAGGAAAAGGUCUUGUUUGUAGUUGUCAUAACAAAACCUCUUCUUCAUAAGUUUCUUGAGUGUUUCCCAAGAUUUGAUUCGGCUUUUUCCAUCAUGGACUCUCUAGUUCUUAAAGUUUUCGCACCAAAAUGAAGCAUAUAUAUUCAACUUGAGAACAACAAUUUCGUGACACUUCAUUUGAUUAUUUGUGGAAGUCAAAUACUUAUUAGAUAUCAUGAAGUCAACUGACAAUAUCAUCUAGGUUUUCUAGCACCUCCACUUUUAUUUCAUGAUCAUUGUCCUCGAGCCUUCCUCUUUUACUCUAAACUUGGUAAUCCAAAUCAUUAGAGUUGCUUCCAGUGUCCUUGAAUUUAUUGCCUGAGUUUUGAUGGGGAUGUGGAUUGACAUGGUGUGGUCGCUUAGUAGGGUGAAUUGAUGGUGCCUCCUACCUCGCUCAAUUCUCCAAGAGAUUGAGGACAUGCCUCAUUUGUUGUUGAAGCUCCAAUAUGGCAUGGUCAUGCCUUUCAUUAUGUACUUGUUCCAAAAUCAAACCUUUUGAAACUGGAUCACCCUUUUUUUAAGGAAAAAAAAUAUGAACCAGGGGAAUAGAAAGAAUCAUUCAAAAUGGGUUCAACUUUGAACCCUAAUGCGAGAUUGAUGUAGUUGCGAGGGCAUGCAAUUGAUGUUUUGAAUGAUGUCGAGAUAAUCAAUGACAUAUAAAAGUGUAUAGGGAUGUAAAUGCAAAUGCAGGAUAGAAGAUUUUGAUUCAUCAAUGUUGAAAAGAAUUGCUCUUGCAAAAGUAGACUUUUCAAUACUAUUACAUUCCUUAGAAGCAUUGGUACCAAAAAAAUCUUAAACAUAUUAUAUUGGUACCAAUUCUGUUAUAAACCUUUGGCAUUUAUGUUAAUGGAGUCCAUUGAUCAAUUUUUCUAGAAAAUCGCUAACAUGAAUGCCAAUUGUUUUAUAUGAUACGAUCAACACUGACAUGGACAAUUUUACAAUCUUUAAUAUUUUUUCUACUUAUAUAUAUAUAUAUAUAUAUAUAUAUAUAUAUAUAUUACCUUCAUUAUGGUUGGCAAGGGUCACCAGCAACUAUCACUGGCCACCGAGCGAGGGCCUACAAGCCCUUACCAACCGCUGGUGAGUGCUAAGACCGUCGCCCAAGCCACAAGUGUCAAGCCCUUGCCAAAUCUCUGUCAAGUCAAUCAACAUUGUCGCUUACUUGAUUGUGCCAUCGGUUUCAUCUCUACGAUUACAACCCAAAGAAGAAAUCAUUGUGAUUCAUAGCCGAGUGAAAACAAUAGAUGGAAUUUGGCGGCAAGGAAGCAGUAAAGGCAACUCCUGAACCAACAAAAGUAGGCCCAUUUCAUGGUCGACAAGGGUCACUUUCAUCGGAUUUGGCGAGGGCUCAACCCUUAAAGCUUGGGUGAGGGCUAGUAGACCACAAAGAAUAAGAGAACAAAUAAAAAUAAAAAUAAAAAUAAUAAAAAUUUGUAAAAUUUAUCUACGCCAGCGUCAAUUAUGCUAUAUAAGAUGGCUGAUAUCCAUGUCAAUAAUUUUUCGAUCACAAUUCACCAAUGGACUCAAUUUGUACAGAUGUAAUAUAUUUAAGAUUAAAUUUAUAUAAUUAAAAGGUUUUAGGACUGCUUUGGUAUCAACGCAAUAGGUUUAUUAUGAUUUUUUUAUACUUAGGUUUCAAAGGCUGUAAAGAAAUUUGGGAAAGCAUUUUUUUUUUUUUUUUUGAUCUUGUAUUUACGGAAGAUAAGAGGUAGCGUGGGAAUUAUGUGUUUUUGGAUCACAACAUAAUCGUUGUUAACUAAAUCUAACAUGACUAACAUCAAUGCUGAAGCAAUCCUAUAAUCUAAUUCUUAAUGGUGAUCGAACUUAAAACAUAGGAAGUAAGAACGCUCCUUGUUCGUGCACAACCAAGAAAAAGCGGAAACAUAAAAAAGAUUUGAUCUUGAUUGUGGGUCUUGUUGAAUGGCCGAGGCAUGUUAAUGUCUUUGGCUGUUAGGAAAAACCUUCGCAGUCUUUUCCAAAGUUUUCAGUGACGAGAGAACUUUCCAUCCAAUUAUAUCAUGGCUUUUCUCCCUUUUUCUCGCUUUCCUUUCGUGGAAAAAAGAACAUAAAUCUUCGGAGCACUGAUGGUCCACUUGGAGGUUUGAGCGUCGAUUCAUGUUCACGUGUUGUUUUGUAAUUCGUGUCAAUUUAUAUCCAUCUAAUAAAAUAUAUUGAUUUGGAUUCCACACGCUAAAUGCAAGAAUUAUGAUGAAAUCGAGUUAAUUCAUAUUAAUUAGUGCCCUCAUAUAGGAUUUAGACAUGUCAUAUCAUGUUACAUUCAAUUUUUACUUUGUAAGUAGUAUUAAUCUCCUUUUUGAAAAUGGGUCUCCAAUAUUGCCAAUCUUACUUGGAUGCAAAUUCCUCCCUCCCCCUUUUUUCCAUUGAUAUCAUACUUAGUUAAACAAUAAAAGGAAUGUACAGAGUUCAAAGUAUCACAUUUACGAGAUGCUGCGAUUGUCGUCUUUCGGUCUCUCUCUUCCGCCAUGGAAGGAUUCCCCCUCACCCGGGUGAGCUAUUUCCCUAUCCCCAUGGUGAUAGUCAGCACACAAAAUCCCUUCCCCUAAAACCCUAACCCAAAGCUCUUCGUCACUUCGCCUCUUCCACCCACGAAUUUCAAGGCGCAUUAACCCACAUUAAAACAAACAUCUAGGUAUCUUAGGUACAAAACCCUAGAAACCCAACACCACUUCAUUACUACAUAAUGUAAUUGUCGUAGCCUCUGGUAAGAGCUCCCUUCAUUCCCAGAAACUUGAAGAUUCGAUGUUCCCCUAUCACGCCAGGUGGAAGGACCCAUAUCCCAGCAGCUCUUGGAAACCUCUCUAAUAAGAACCCCUCUCCUAGUCACAGAAGGUGGAAGGGACCCUUGGAACUUUGUUGGUAACGUUGCAAUGAAUGAGGGAGACGAGAAGGAGAGAUGGCUGGCAGCCGUCUGUAGAAGUUUGGGAGAGUUGUGGUCUGAGGAGGAUGUGCUCACAAUUAAGGGAGAUGUACCUGUAGAAAAAAAAAACGUGAGUGUGAAUUAACCCUUAUAGGCAAACUUUAUUCCAAGCCAAAUGUGAAUCUACAGGCUUUCUUCAGCACAAUGGAAAGGGCGUGGAAAACAGAAUUGGUGUCGUGUGAUCUAAUAGGACUAGGGCUAUUUUCAUUCACUUUUAUGACUAUAGCUGGUAAGAACAGAUCUCUGACUUCAGGCCCUUGGUCAUUCUCUAGUAAUUUGCUAAUUUUACAGCAAUGUGAUCUUGAUACCUCGGACCAUUCUUAUGUUUUCACACAUUGUGACUUCUGGGUACAUAUCUUGGGGCUCCCGAGAGAUAGAAUUACUAAAAAAAAAACAGUCUCUGAUAUUGCUACAAAAAUAGGAAAAGUGCAGGAAGUGAAGCUAGAAAAUAAAAGCUUUGGUAAGUCAAAUGUGGGGAAAGCAAAGGUGAACCUAGACCUAUCUAAACUCCUAAGGUUUGGGACUAUUGUUGACCUGGACAACAAGAAAAUUUGGGUGGAUUUUAAAUUUGAAAGCCUUCCACACUUUUGCUACUAUUGUGAACGUAUAGGGCACUAUACGACCUACUGCAAGAUUAUCCCUUACGAACAACAUGGGCUAGAAGAAAAUAGAGUGGGCAAGUUUGGUAGCUAGAUUAAAAUAGAAGCAAGAGAAAACAGCCCUUACUAGAAAUUUUUCAAUGGAGAGAUGACUCCAGAACUAGAAACUGAUGAAAUAAUACCAAAAACUCCAAUUCAGAGCAACAUAGAGGCCACUUUUCAGCAAACAAAAUAGGAGAACAUAAACCCACUAGCUAUGGUCAUAGUGCCGGAGAAAAAUGCCCUAAAACAGAAGAGGGUCAACAGCUUGGACCCAGAUUUUCUUGGUGUUGAACUCACACAUCAGGAGAAACAUCUUAUGUUAAAUGAGGCAUCCAUUCCCAUGGCACCUGCUACAUUUCUAAAGAAAGGAAAGAGUGGGAAGAAAGCUCACACGGCAAAGAAAUUGAAACGAUUUAGCCCCUAUGAACAGCAAGGCUCCCUCUCUCAAUCCAUCAAUGAGGGGACCCUUCUAGACACACCGAUCAAAGAAGCGAAAGAAAUGGAGGAGUGGGCUUUGGUGGCUAGCCCUAAUAAGCUACCGGGGUUUAAAUGAAAAUUUUGAGCUGGAAUUGUCAAGAUUUGGGCUCUCCUCUGACUUUCCAGAACCUUAAAGCCCUAGUGGUGCAAGAAAAGCCUAGUUUAGUAUUUCUCAUGGAAACAAAAAAUAAGGAACUCGAAGUGGAAAGGGUAAAGAAGCGCUUGCAAUUUCAGCAUUUGAUGGUAGUUGACCCAAUCAGAAUCGUUGGGGGGUUGGCUUUGAUGUGGAACAAUAUCAUGGCGGUGGAACUUGUAUCAAGCUCGGGAGAGAUGCUCGGAGUAAAAUGUAAAGAGUUGAACAGCAAUAUCAAAAUGAGGGUUUCCUUUCUACAUGCCCCUACAAACUACCAGAAAAGACUCCAAUUAUGGAAGAAACUCAUAAUGAUUCAUGCGAGAAAUGAUCUACCCUGGAUAUGCAUUGGAGACUUCAAUAAAACUUUGUAUCAUUGGGAGAAAUAUGGUAAGAGGGAGACAGACUAUUAUCGAGUGGUGGCUUUCCGGGAACUGUUAAAUGAUUGUGCACUCAUGGACGUCGAAAGCAAAUGAUGCGCCUUUACUUGGGCAAAUAACCGAGAUGGGAAGAAGUUGGUUAAAAAGAGGUUAGAUCAGGUUCUCUGUAACAUAGAGUGGCGAGUUAGGUUCUUACAUGCAGAAGCCUAUGCUUUACCGGCCAUUGGCUCAAACCAUAGUCCCAUAUUAUUGUCAUUACUUCCGCCAUUGAUGAAAAGGAAAAAAGAAUUCAGAUUUGAAGCUUACUGGAUGGAGGAUGCUGAAUGUCGAGAGAUAGUACAGUCCGUGUGGAAAGAUCAAAGAAAUUCACUGUUGAAUUUGCCUAACAAACUAAAAGAAGUUGCUGCAACUUUAGCCAAGUGGAGCAAGGAGAAUUUUCUAAUGCAUUUAGAAGGAUAGAGGACCUCAAAAAAGAGAUAACCAGGAUAACUAAUGAAAAGGAAAGGGGAUUGAGAAAGGAAGAAACUCAGCAAAUAAAGAUGCAAAGUGAACAACUAUGGAGACAGGAAAAGAUGUAUUGGGGAAUGAGAUCGAGGAUUGAGUGGCUAAAAUAGGGAGAUAAAAACAUGAAGUUUUUUCACACUACAAAGGUGCAAAGAAGGCAACGAAAUAGAAUAACCAUGCUGAAACUUGAAGACCAAAACUAGUGCAGGGACCUAGAGCUAAUUAAAGAACACAUUGUGAACUUUUAUCAAGAUCUUAAUGGCACGGUUGGCCCAAGGAAUUUUCAGCCGGUGCUAGAUCAAUGCUCUUGCAUAGUAGGAGAUGAAAUGAAUGAAUCUUUAACAAGGCAAAUCACAAUGGAGGAAGUGAAGGCAAUAGUGUUUCAAUUGGGGGCCACUAAGGGCGCGCGUGAUAAAAUUUCUACUUCUCUAUUUCUCUAUUUCUUUGUUCCCUACAACAGGUUUGGAACAGAAAUUCAUUUGGUAACGCAAUUUGAUUUUUCUAUUUCUGAAACAAAUUUCUAUUCCAUAAAUAGAUUUGAAGAAGAAAUCAAAAGCUAAAAUUUUUAACUUCUCAAUUUCUGGCCAUAAAUCAAUUUAUGUUCCAAAAAUUUUGUCAUGCGCACCCUAAGGCCCCAAGUCCAAAUGGGUUUAAUUGAAAGUUUUUUCAAAAUCACUGGGAGAUAGUUCAAAGAGAAGUGCACAAAAUGGUUGAAGACUUCUUUGUGUCAGGUACUCUAGACCCCUCCAUUAACAAUACUCAUAUCACCCUUAUUCCAAAAGUGGUUAUCCCUAAAUCUAUAGCACAAUAUAGGCCCAUCAAUUUAUGUAAUUACAGCUAUAAGAUUAUCUCCAAAGUAAUGGCAAACAUGUUGAAACCAUGGUUGUCCGAUCUGAUUGAAAUGGAGCAAAGCGCCUUUAUCGGUGGACGACAAAUUCAAGAUAACAUAUUAAUUGUCCAAGAAGUGUUGCACCAACUCAAAAUCAGGGAAAGAAAAAGGAAGUUUUAGGCGUACUCAAAAUCAAUAUGCAAAAAGCAUACAAUUGUGUGGAAUGGGAUUUCUUGUGCGAGUGCAUGACUAAGAUGGGCUUCAGUGAUUGCUGGGUUUCUUUGGUCAAAACAUACAUUUCGACUGUCACAUUCAACAUCAAAGUCAAUGGACAACCUCUCUAACCUUUCAGACCGACUAGAGGCUUAAGGCAAGGGGACCCCCUCUCUCCCUACUUAUUCAUUAUUAUGACUAAUGUGCUAUCUCCGCUUAUACAUAGAGCACUAAGGGAUGGAAGUGUGAAAGGAAUUAAACUAAACAGAAGCUGUCCAACACUAACGCACCUAUUACUUGUGGAUGAUGCGAUAUUCUUUUUGGAUGGAAUAGUUAAGGAAUGCCAAAACUUGGCAAACCUUUUGAACCAAUAUUGUUACGCAUCAGGUCAAGCAAUCAACCUCAACAUUUCCGGCAUUUUUUUCAGCAAAAGCAACCCACAAUGAUUAAGGAGGAAUAUGGCACAAGAACUUAGAGUGCCUAUCAUAAAAAAAAACAGGGAAAUAUCUUGACAUUCCAUCGGAUUGGGGACAAACAAAGAAAGAAAUUUUUGCGUGGAUUCUAGCGAGGGUCAACAUGAAAUUAAAGGGAUUGAAGGAAAACAUUAUAUCUAAAGCAAUGAAGGAAAUCCUCAUUAAAAUAGUUGUACAAGCAUUGCCGCAAUAUGCUAUGUCCAUUUUCAAAAUCCCAAUAUCCAUUUGUAAAGCAAUUGAACAAAAGAUUGCUACUUUCUAGUGGAAAAAGAACAAUGCAAAAAAGGUAUACAUUGGAAGAAAUGGGAGGUGCUAAAAACUUGAAAAGACUGUGGGGGCUUGGGUUUCAAAGACCUUAUUGCUUUUAAUAAGGUCAUGCUGGGAAAAUAGGCUUGGAGACUUAUACAAACCUCUUCAACCUUAUGGAGUCAAUUGUUAAAAGGCCUAUACUUCUCAUUGGGAGAUUUCUUGAGGGAAAAUAAGGGAGCUAGAUCAUCAUGGGGAUGGCAAAGCUUAAUGCAAGGAAGAGAGGUAUUAGGAGGGCAAAUUAGAUGGAUAGUCGGGGACGGAUCGCAGAUCAGGGUGAAAGAAGAUAGAUGGUUAGCUCAUGGAUGCAUUGGAGGACCUACAAACCAAGGUGAACCCCAAUGUGUGGUUGAGCUAAUUGACCAAGGGUCCAAGCAGUGGGAUGAGCAUAAACUAAAGAAAUUAUUUGAUGAAGAUUUAGUUAAGGAAAUCCUUGCAACCCCACUAAGUCUUACUAUGGAGAAAGACAAAAUCGUAUGGAUGAAAAACAGUUCCAGCACCUACUCAGUCAAGAGCGGAUACAACAGUAUACAAACAGUUGCCAACCACAACAAUUCUCAGGCAUCCUCAUCUUAUUAGCCCCCCAAAAAACUAUGGAACUUGAUCUGGGAUCUCGUGGAACUUAAUCUGGGAUCUCCACACCCAUCCAAAAAUCAAGUUUUUUAUAUAGAGUAUAUGUGCUAAUGCGCUACCAAUGAAGGAAAACCUCUUUAGGAGAGAAAUGAUACCUGAUCAAAGUUUCCCGGUCUGCCAUCAAAUGCCAGAGACACCAGAACACAUUUUCCUCCUCUAUCCAUGGACGAAUGAAAUUUGGUCAAACCCAAAAUUGAGACUACAUCUUUCCCCAAAAUGUAUCACAAGAAUAGAUAAACGGUUUUUCGAAACCCUUACCUCUUGUAACAGGCCUCUGUCGAAGGAGUUAGUAGCUAGUGUCCUUUGGCAGAUCUGGAAAAGAAGAAACUCCAUGGUCUUCAAAGGCGAACCUCCGAACCCAAGCGAAGCUGUGAACCAAGCAACCAUAGAUCUAUAACUUUAUAACCAGUGGAACCCAAGAAAUCGAAACCGACACCAAGAUCCCACAGACUCACCUACGGAGUGGGUCUCUCAUUGAAGGGUUCUCUAAAAUAUAAUGUUGACGGCUCAUGGAAGGAAGAGCGGUGAGAAGGAGUGAUGGUCAAGAUUUGUAGGAAUGAACAAGGGAUCCUCAUAGACGGUUUUGCAGAGAAAAUCGAUGUCGAUUCAGCCCUAAAAACGGAGGCUUUGGCCCUUCGUGCGGCUUUGUUGAAGUUAGUGGAGGCAAGAAAGAGAAAUGAGUCUUUAGCAGGAAUAGGGAAAAGUCUUCAACUUUGCCUGAACUAACCUACAAGUGUGAAGUACACUCUGAUAGCAAAGUUGCAAUGGAAAGUUUAAUGGCCUUAAUUCCGAGCCCAUGGACGGUGCAAGCAAUUAUAGAAGAUACCAAAGUGUUGCUGGCCCAACUUCAAGGAGUCCAAGUAUCUUAUGUGCCAAGAGAAGCUAACAAGCUUGCCAACUGGGUAGCAAAAGCAUAUCGAGACAACCGUCUUCCUCAGAAUUGGGUUUUAUAUCCCCCCUAUCCACUUUCAGUUUUAUUAUGUAACGAUCUUGAACUUAGUUGCAGUUCAACAACAAAUUAGUAAUGGUAAGUGCUUAAUCGACCCAAAAAAAAAAAACACAAUAAAAGGAAUAGCAUAAAAAGAUUCUCGAGAAUUUCUAUGCUCCAGCAUCCAAUCCUGAAGCCAAUAUGACCAUUGGAUAAAAAAAGAAUAAAUUCAAAAUGGUAACAACUCGCCAGAGUAUAAGGAAAUUCAAUGACUAUAAAAUUGUCAAAGCUAUAAUUGAGGUACAAAAAUUACGACGUACAAGAACAAUUACUUGUUGAUAAGUUCUUUAGAUUCGAUGGACUGUAGAAGGAGUUUUACAAUCAUUAGGGAAAUUCAAUAAGAACAUGAAAAAGAGAGAGAGAUUUCAAUAAGUACCAACAAUUCUCAUGUCAAUGAACUCAAAAAUCAAAUUAUUGCCAAGGGAAAUACGUUAGUAAUUGUAGAUGCAAUUGAGAUUUCGACAGCUUCAAAUAAAUUACCAAAAAUUGAAGAGUUCCAAAGGGAAAAAGCUAUUAAAAAAAACCAAUAUAUACCUUGAACUUUAUAUUUAUUGCAAUACAUUUAUCCUAAACUUUUUCUUGUGACAACAAAAAAAAUUCCAAACUUAUACCAACAUAAUACUUUUACCUACUUCAAGGUUCCGUUAGAUAAUUUUCAGCUAAAAUAACGUUGUUUUUAUUUCACUUAAGUCACAUGGACGCCAUGUCAACGUUGUUCUCUUUUUUACAUCCAUUUAGAUAGAUUUUUAACGGUUCUAAUUAACAGAACUUUAAUAUAGAGUAAAUAUAUUAUACAAGUAAAAAUUUGAGAUUUUUUCUAUAUAGAAAAAAAAAUAGAUAAAUGCGUUGAAAUGAAUAUAAUUUAGAGUUUGUGGUGACUUUGGUAUUUUUCCAAAUGGGAUGAACGGGAUCAACCCUGCACAAUUUUGAAUUUUCGACACCGGCCUGGAAAAGCUUCUCCGGAAAGACACAGAAAAAGCAUGCGAGGUUUGCGUGAUUCAGGACCUUUGUCACUGAAAAACGACUCCUUUUCUUGGAAUUGUUAUGGACAAAAUGUUUAGGGAAUGCUGAUCUAUGAAACCACGUGCCGACGUUCCUUUUGUUUAUUCCGACGUUGAUUUGAAAAAAAGGAGCUCACCUCAGUACUUUCCAGGCAAUGAAGGCCGAAACUUUGCUCCUCUCUGUCCUUUUUAUAUUAUAUUCUUGUCCGCCUCUCCUUCAAUGGCCAACCAAAAAUGGUGGCUGUCUCCGUCUGCUAGGCUUGCGCCCCACGUUAACCCUUGCCCAAGGCAAAACCCCAUUUUUGACCACUUUUCAACACGCGAGUGCAUGAAUGGCGACACAUCGGUAGUGAGUCGGAGCUUCGAGUGAAAAUUUCGAGACCUCGGAGGUAUAGAAAUUGAGACUAUAAGUAAGGCCGUAGUUCCUAAAAUCGGUGACUUGUGAAGUGGAUUCUUAGAUAUCUAAAGGGGACAACUUUGUAGUGUAUCGAAUGAAUAGCAAUAGCAAUAAGACCGCUGGCUAUGUUGAUUCAAAUUGCACUAGUGACUUGGAUGAGUGCAGGUCUUUUGUAAGAUACAUAAGUGGUGGUGUUAAUUGGAAAGCCUAGGUUGUCUUCGAUUGAACUCGGUCCUUGCGCGAUGUGUCGACAAAACCGAGGACGUCACGCACGUUGAAUCCCACCCUUGCGCAUUGCAUCAUGAUCGUUUUGGAUGGUGUUCUGGUUAAAGUAACGCCAGAAAGGGGUUGGCUUUUCACUUGCUUCUGCUGCCAACUCGUGUUCGAGCCCUACUUGAACGAUCGUUUUAUCAGCUAAUUCGCGUAAUGUUCUCGUGUUUACAAUAUCCGGUGACGUGUGUUCGUUUGGUUUGUGGAUAACAAAAAGACGGGAAAGAAUGUUAGUAGGGGAAAAUCCCGAAAAAUAUGAUCUUUUUCGAAAUCGUGCAUGCAGUUUUGAACCUCUACAGUCAAAUGUGUUGAGGGGGUGAUGGUUUCCUCUGCUUUCUUUUACUCGUGCUUUUUCAACCCGUGUGAUCUUUGUUACCGCUCUUCUUUGCAUGACAGGUUUCGGGCUGGCUAAGGAUGGAGCUAAGCUUGACUUGCGGGAGCAUCAGGAAGAGGCCUGCAGAUCAGGCGAUGAAUGAUGGUGAUAUCGACAGGAUAUAUAGAUUCGCCAUAUUGUUGCCUAAUGGGACUACCGUGGGAAUCGCAUUAAGGGAACCCAACCCGACCAUGGCCUUCCGAGGUUUCAUGCUAAUGGCCAAAGAAAGGUACAAUCGAGCCAAAGCGCAAGAUCCAUCACUAAGUUCGAAGCGUCCCAUCGCAUGGGAGAGUAAUGAGUUGCAUCUCGAAGAUGCAAAUGGCAACUGGAUUAAAAGUCGAAUUAUUUUCGACAACUUUAAGCCUCACAAGCGCCACAUCUUGCGUCUUUGCAUGAGUAUUGGGCAAAAGUCAUAUGUUGUUCGCUUGUUGUGUCUUUUUUAAUUUACUGAGAGUGUGCAUAUUCACUUUAAUGGCUGUACUUAUUUUACUGUUUGUUUGUAUGUAAUAUCUUUUUCCAAUUAGGAUGGCUCUGGCAACACAACUGAUACUUUUGAGGUUAGUAUUUUAUUCCUUUUCGCACCGUACCCAGCUGUCGAUAUAUUCUCAAGAAUGAGUGUCACUUGCCUUUUAGGAGUUCUCUUGAUGUCCUCACCAACCGACUCCAGCUCCGACGAGGGCAGGUCUUUUGGAUUGAACACCAUCCAAAACAACCACCCCUUUAUGGUUAUGUUGAUUUGAAUUGCUGAUUAAACUCAGUCCUUCAAUUGGCAUAUGUAAAGAGUGAGUGUUCAUUGGGAUAUUGAGAGAAUAAUAUAGAUGAUGAGCAUUGUGACCUAACUUUAAAAUUCGAGUCAAGGUCAAUUGUUAAAUUACAUCUCGAAUUUGGCUUGGUUUACGGAACCCGAUUAGAUUAAACUGAAAGGGAAGAACUCUCGGUCACUACAUGGCAAAAUAAGGGGCUCAUAUAUUUAUGAAAAUUUAUUUAUUUAUGGGGUAGGAAAGAAGUCUUUGUCUAGGAGGAAAUAAAGAAGCGGACGUCGCUUCUUUCUUGAGUAGUGAUCGGUCAAUAAGGGUUUGAGGAGAGGGACCCACAUACAUAUAUUAUAUAUAUGGCCUGCGGUGGCAGCAUACGUUGUUUUCCUUAAUCGAAGAGCUGCGCGGUGAAAACGUUAGAGCCGCUGUACGAAAAACGAAAAACAACGUUCAGGAGUCCUUGUUUAUCCGCCGUACGUAAAGCUGUUUCUAUAAGCUUGAAAACCGGAGAUUUUGUUUGGUAAGUUUACACCUAAUUAAAUUAGUUAUUUGUAAAUAUUUUGGAUUUAAACUUAUUAGGUGGGUGAAAUAUUCGAACAUAUCCAAAAUUAUAAUUCUGAUUUUUUUUAUUGUAAUGAAUUAUUUAUUGCCGACCCUCCUCUUAACUACAUAAAUCUCUAAUGUCAUUUAUUUCUUUGGUUCUCUCGGAUUAACUUAACAAGAAAAGUGAGUAUAAACUAGAUAUAUGGUUCUCAAUCAACUAAAGUGGCUUGUUGAUAAAGCAUAAAUAUCAACACUUUAAUUCAUACAUAGUUUCUACUUAAUUAGUUGAAAUUUGAAUAAUUUUUUUAGAAACUUUUACGUAAAUGUAAAAAGUUGCUUUUUGUUUUCCUAUUUUAAAUAAAAACCAAUCAUUUUAUAUAUGUAUGACAAUUGUCUGCCAAUGUAUGUUACAAUGACCCUUCGAAUGCAAGAGAGCAAAGGAAAGGUACACCAUAAACUUUUUGGGCCUUGGACUCAAUUAGACCUUCGGCGAACGGGAAUGAUGAAUCUCGGGUCAAAAUUGCUCAAAUAAUUUAAUUUGUUAAAGAUAUCUCAUAAUUCUGUUGGUUCUGGAUGUAUAUUUUUUUUUAUUGUGUAUAUAUUAAUUGAUAAAUAUUACGUUAGAUUGCCAUAUCAUAUGGCAGUGUACUUCUAUUGUUACAUGUCGAAAUAUUCUGAAAUUUUUCAAUUAUGUUUUAACCCUGUUCAUGGGCAUUUUUAGCUGACCUUUCCCACUAUGUCCGUUCUUCGCCACUCCCGUACUCCCGUAUUAUAUAGCCUCCCUUCUCUCCUUCAUGGAAGAAGGCGCAUGAAAACACAGAACGUAGACAUCCAGUGAUUCCCCCGAAAAAAUAUGGAUCCUUUCGAUUCAUCAAAGCAGGUGCUUCAAAACUUCCUCUCGCACUCCUCCACUCUGAUGUAUACAGGGGGCGAUUUUCUGCUCAACACCACGUUUUUACGUGGCUUCUCUGGUUCUCUUCAUUUGGUUUUGUUACUUGGACUCCUGGUUUCAUGGACGGGCAAGAAAAUAUGGGCACAACGAAAUGGUGUAGGCUCCGAACAAAGCCGCAGAAGAAGCAGAAUUUGGUACUAUAAGCCCACUCUGUUUUGCUGUUUAGGCUUAUCUCUGUUUAAUCUGGUUUUGUGUGCGGCGAACUACUUUUAUUGGUAUGCAAAUGAUUGGUCGGAAGAGAAACUGGUUUCUCUUUUGGAUUUAGCACUGAAGUCUCUCGCUUGGGGAGCUCUAGGUGUUCGUUUGUACGGCCAAAGCUCCGAUUUUGGAGUAUCAAAGCUCCCUCUUUUUUUGAGAGUCUGGUGGGGUUCCUACUUGUCCAUUGCAUGUUAUUGCCUCGUCAUUGACGUUGUUCUGUAUGGAAAGUGUGUUCCGGUGCGAACCCAGUAUUCCAUUUCUGACGUCGUCUCUGUUGUCACCGGUUUCUUCUGCUGUUAUGUGGGGUUCUUUGGUAAGAUUGAGAUUGAUGAUUGUCUGCUCGAAGCGCUUUUAAAUGGUAACUCGGUUACAAGCAAUGCCAAAUUAAACAGAAGUCCAGGAAGUGAAACUGUGACCCCGUAUUCUAAAGCGGGAUUACUGAGUAUAAUUAGUUUCUCGUGGCUGAGUCCUUUAAUGGCUGUCGGGAAUGAGAAAACACUGGACCUAGAGGAUGUCCCUCAACUUGCUCCACGGGAUAGGAUAGCAGGGGCACUUCCAGGUUUCAAGGAAAAGCUCAAGUCAGAUGCUGGUUCCAGUAAUGGAGUGACAGCGUUUAGGCUGGCGAAGGCUCUGAUCAUGUCCAAAUGGAAAGAAGUAAUUUCCACUGCUGUGUUUGAGCUUCUUAUAACCCUAGCUUCUUACGUUGGUCCAUACCUUAUGGAAACUUUUGUUCAAUUCCUAAACGGGCAACGCAAAUUUGAAAGUAAAGGCUACCUUCUUGUUUCAGCGUUUUUGGUUGCACAGCUUGUCGAGUGCCUUUCCUCUCGGCAGAUGAUAUUUAGGCUAGAUCUUGUUGGGAUUAGGACUCGCUCAUUGCUGGUUGCACUAAUAUAUGACAAGGGAUUAAACCUUUCAUGCCAGUCUAAACAGGGGCAUACUAGUGGGGAAAUCAUUAAUAUCAUGUCUGUAGAUGCCGAGAGAAUUGGUGAUUCUUGCUGGUGCAUGCACGAUCCUUGGCUAGUACUUGUACAAGUUGGGUUAGCCUUAGCGAUUCUGUAUAAAAAUCUUGGGCUUGCGGCUAUUGCAGCUUUUGUGGCCUCUGUGCUUGUUAUGUUAGCUAAUAUUCCUUUGAGCAAGCUCCAGGAGAAAAUUGAUGAAAAGUUUAUGGAAUCAAAGGACAAAAGGAUGAAGGCAACUUCCGAGAUCUUGCGAAACAUGAAGAUUUUAAAGCUUCAGGCAUGGGAGAUGACGUUUUUGUCCAAGAUUAAUGAACUGAGGAAUAUUGAGACGGGGUGGUUGAAAUUUAAUUUUUACACUGAAGCAAUGACCUCUUUUGUCUUCUGGGGUGCCCCGACAUUUGUUUCCGUGACUACAUUUGGUACAUGCAUGUUAUUGGGGAUCCCACUAUCGUCAGGGAAGAUCUUAUCUGCGAUCGCAACAUUCAGCGUCCUCCAAGAUCCCAUCUAUGAAUUACCAGUUGUAUUAUCCGUGAUAGCUCAGACUAAGGUCUCACUUGACAGAGUAGCAUCAUUCCUGCGCCUUGAGGAUCUCCAGAAUGACGUCAUUGAAAAGCUUCCUCAGGGCACAAGUGAUAUGGCAGUCGAGAUCAAUGAGGGGAAUUUCACGUGGGACUUGUCUUCCUCUGAACCCACAUUAAAGGACAUAAACUUGAAGGUCAUCAAUGGCAUGAAAGUUGCAGUCUGCGGUACUGUGGGUUCAGGAAAAUCGAGCUUACUUUCUUGCCUCCUGGGAGAAUUGUCGAAGAUAUCGGGAGCCCUCAAAUUAUGUGGCAGUAAGGCUUAUGUUGCUCAGUCUCCGUGGAUACAGAGUGGCAAGAUUGUGGACAACAUUUUAUUCGGCAAGGAGAUGAACCGUGAGAGAUAUGAAAGUAUCCUCGAAGCCUGCUGUCUGAUGAAGGAAUUGGAGAUUCUCCCAUUUGGCGAUCAAACAAUUAUAGGCGAGAGAGGGAUAAAUCUGAGUGGUGGACAGAAGCAAAGAGUGCAGAUUGCCCGUGCAAUUUAUCGAGAUGCAGACAUUUAUCUACUUGAUGACCCUUUUAGUGCUGUCGAUGCGCAUACAGGAUCUCAUCUGUUUAAGGUUAAUUGCUUUUUCCUACGUUUCUGAUUAUGCACUUACCGCCCCUUAUUUUCUUUACAUUGCCAAUUAUGAAGCGCAGGCUUCUUGAUGGAAAAACAAGUUUGAAAUAAAUAAUUUUAGAUGCUAACAUUUUCUGUGCAAGUCUUGGAUUUGAGUUAUUUUCUCGAUUUCAUUCUUCCUCUCAUGAAGAUUACUAACUGAGUCUUUAAUGUGAUAGGAAUGUUUGCUAGGACUUUUAAGUUUGAAAACAGUGAUCUACGUUACUCAUCAAGUAGAGUUUCUACAGACAGCUGAUCUAAUCGUGGUGAGUAAUUACUGACCUAUGAAUUGGUUUUCCUUGGAGUCACUCGUUAAGUGGUAAUACGUAUGUUUGCUAGGUCAUGAGAGAUGGAAAGAUCACAGAAUCUGGAACAUACAGCGAGAUUCUUCACCUCGGAGCAGAUUUCACAGAGCUAGUUGGUGCACAUGAGGAAGCUUUAGCCAGGCUUGGUUCCCACCAAGCUGGGCCAGAUUCUGAAGCAUCUGGUAUCAACAAUGAAGAAAGUCGAACGGAAAAUACUGUGGAGAAGGAAGAAAACAGAAAUGUUCAAGAUGGUGAAGUAAGGGUAAAAGGGCAGCUUGUUCAAGAAGAAGAGAGGGAGAAAGGUAGAGUCGGUUUUCUGGUGCACUGGAAGUACCUGACGGCGGCAUAUGGAGGAGCUCUCGUGCCUUUCAUAUUACUGGCCCAGUUUCUAUUCAUGCUCCUUCAGAUGGGAAGCAAUUACUGGAUGGCAUGGGCGACCCCAGUGUCGGAGGACGUGGAACCUGCUGUCCCGGGAUCAACACUGAUACUUGUUUACGUGGCUUUGGCUGUUGGAAGCGCCUUAUGUAUUCUUUUCAGGUCUUCACUUUUGGCAACUGCUGGCUACAAGACAGCUACGAUACUCUUUAAUAAGUUGCAUCUCGCAAUAUUUCGGGCCCCCAUGUCAUUCUUUGAUGCCACUCCAAGUGGACGAAUCCUAAGUAGGGUGAGUCCUAAUAUGGAACAUCACUCGAAUAGUUCAAAGAGAUUUAUCUCUGAACACAUAGUGAAGACAGAUUAUGCUUUUGUCGAUUCAUGUCUUGUUUAUUACAAUUACAAUUUCUUUCCUGUACGAGUCAUGGAUUGCAUUGUGACACGAUGCUUCCUUUCAGGUCUCAAAAGACCAGAGUGCUGUGGAUUUGGACAUUCCAUUUAUAGUCGCAGAAUUUGCCUUCUCAAUGAUCCGGCUACUGGGAAUUAUCAUUUUGAUAACUCAGGUUGCAUGGCAAGUUCUUAUAAUUUUCAUCCCUGUGAUUGCAACCUGUGUCUGGUAUCAGCAAUAUUACAUGCCAUCUGCUAGAGAACUGGCACGGUUGAUGAGUGUGAGCGAAGCUCCAGUGAUCCAGCACUUUGCUGAAACAAUUUCAGGAUCGACCACUAUUCGUGGCUUUGAUCAAGAAUCAAGAUUUCGGGACACAAUUAUGGAGCUUUCCGAUGCAUAUUCUCGGUACAUGUUCCAUGUUGAUGGGGCAAUGGAAUGGCUUCGCUUUCGCUUGGAUAUGCUAUCCACGGUCACAUUUGGAAUCUCUUUGAUCUUCUUGACCUCUAUUCCUGAGGGAUUCAUCGACCCAGGUAACAACGUCCUGCCUGAGAUCUUCUAAAUGGUGCCCUCUCUGUAUCGAUGAAUAUGUUAGUCAUCUAACCUCCUGUUCUUCUCUCUGAAGCAAUCGCGGGCUUAGCUGUGACGUACGUACUUAAUUUGAACACGAUACAAGAAAUAGUUAUUUUUAGUUUGUGUAAUAUGGAGAACAUAAUUAUAUCGGUUGAAAGGAUAAUUCAAUACGCUGGCAUCUCAAGUGAGCCCCCUCUUACAAUAGAGGAUGAUUGCCCCUGUCCUUCAUGGCCAACAUGUGGAGAGAUCGCCAUUUCCGAUCUGCAGGUGCUAGGAAAACUUUAUGUUAUGCCAAAACAAUGUGUCAGCAUGUUUUGUCCAGUCAUUAGGACAUAAUUGACCUUUCUGACAAUUUGGGCGGAAUGCCAGGUCCAGUAUGCUCCACACUUGCCGCUUGUUCUGCGAGGCAUCACGUGCACUUUUCCUGGAGGGAUGAAAACGGGCAUCGUGGGGAGAACGGGCAGUGGCAAAUCGACUCUCAUGCAAGCACUUUUCCGCAUAGUAGAACCUUGUGCAGGUCAAAUCCUGAUAGAUGGCAUUAAUAUCUCCUCAAUUGGGCUGCACGAUCUGAGGUCGAGAUUAAGCAUCAUCCCUCAAGAUCCAACCAUGUUUGAGGGUACCGUGCGAAGCAAUCUAGACCCUCUUGAGGAGUACUCUGAUGAGCAGAUUUGGGAGGUGCAUUCAUUUCUUUUCACGAUUGAAGUUCCUUUUCUAGCUUAUAUAAUGUGGAACUAUAAUCAGCUGAUCCAUCCUGCAAUUGUAGGCAUUGGAUGAGUGCCAACUGGGGGAUGAAGUCAGGAAGAAAGAAGGGAAACUGGAUGCAGCAGGUUAUCUUCUGUACCCUUUCACUUGACCAUCCAAGAAGUGUUUUAACACAUUCUAGGACGGAAUUUGUCUCAUCUCUUGCUCUAUUAUCUUUGACCUGCAGUUACUGAGAAUGGUGAGAACUGGAGCAUGGGACAGAGGCAGCUUGUGUGCCUCGGUCGUGUGCUGCUCAAGAAAAGCAAGAUCUUGGUACUUGACGAAGCUACUGCGUCCGUUGACACAGCCACUGAUAAUCUGAUUCAGCAAACGCUGAGGCAUCACCUCUCGGACUGUACUGUUAUGACCAUUGCACAUCGGAUCACCUCAGUUCUUGAUAGCAACAUGGUUCUUCUUCUAGAUCACGGUAUGUAGUUUUCAACACGAUCUCAUCUCAGCCUUCUCAUUCAGCUUAUGCUUCAUCAUUCUCUUCUUCUUCUUUUUUUUCACCACUCUCUCUCUCUCUCUCUCUCUCUCUCUCUCAAAUCAUGUCCAGGCCUUGUUGCUGAAUGUGAUUCUCCAAGAAGAUUGCUGGACAACAAAUCCUCAUCGUUCACGCAGCUUGUAGCAGAGUAUGCAACGAGGUCUAAGUACGGUUUUGGAAAUUGAUGAACCACCUACUUCAAGUUGAUCAAGAACUGCUACUUCUAAAGAUGAGAGGAGGUGUCAGAGUAAUUCGUCCAGCCACGUCAUUGCCAGUAGCUCCAUAUUGGCUUAAACAUAAUCUGAUGCAAUUAAACAUGGACCACAAAGUUGAUAACUCUUUCUUCAGAAAACGAGACGUAUUGUUGCAAUACUUAUCAUCCAAAUGCUGGAAAAUUCUCAUCUAUAGGAAUAAACAUGCUUUGCGCAUUCUGUUUGCAUCAUUCUACUUUGAACAUCAUAUGGCAUAUGCGGCGCAUAACAUCGUCAUCCCUCACUUCCACCCAAAUUGCCUUCAAUCGGCCUUAUCCAGAUUCAUGUAAUUCAAUCCUACAGAACACAUAUGUCCAUUAGGUCCCCCAAACUCCCCAUAACUACCAACCCUUCCAUGAUCACCCACUAUAGUUUUGCAAGAAUAUAAUGUUAGUGAAAAGCUCAAGGUUAAGAUUCUAAAAAUUGUUUUAUUCUGACAGAGAAGCAGUUGUUUGUUAAAAAAAAAAAAACAAACUCACUCCCUUAAACUGCUCCGCAUUCACCGUUAUCAUUUAUUGGGCCGCCAUCAUCGAUUGGAGAUCGCUCAUUGAUCAACAGUAGUGCAGCUGGUCACUGAAGCUGCCCAUGGCCGCCGCCCAACGCAGCGCCUCGAAACACCUGUUGCUAGACUCGAAAAACAUCCCACCUACCGCCUGCCGAUUACCGCCGCGCUUGAAGACAACCAUUAUGGAAUCAAGCACCACCUUCACCACAAUCAGAUUCGGCCCCCACAGCCAACUUCACAGUUGACUGCCACCGAACUCAUCCUACCACCACAGCUAGCACCAUAAGACGCGGCCGCCAUCGCCAAACUCCCCCACCACCAUCACCAGAUCGGGUCGCCACCGCCACCACCAUGCUCGCGGCCACGGCAGCUGGAGCUUCGUUGAGCUAGUGGCCACGGCUGCUCAAGCUUCGUCGAGCUUGGGACCAGGGUCGCUUGAACUUCGUCGAAUUCGAUAAAUCACGAACCAAGCAAUGGCCAGUAUCAGAAAAUCGAGCGCAUCUUCUCCUACAUAUAUCACAUAUCUAUCCAGUAAUGGAAGAAUCAACAAAUAACAGGUUAGAGAAAGUUACUGGAGACGGACGCAAGCAAGAUUUGUUCCCCCUGUUCUUCGUGUCCCUUUCUCUUCCCAUUUUCUUUUUUUUCUUAUUUUCUUUUUUCAGUUUUCAGCUUCCUAUUUUUUAAAUUUUUGAGCUAUUUUUUAAUGCAAUGCCUCGUGGGCGCCAUGUGUCUCCAAAUUAUAAUAAAUUCUGGGUCAUCUUUUUUCUGUCCAUCAAUUUUGCCGGAGUUAAAAGAGGAACUCAAUUGCCUUUUUUUUCAAAAUAUACUACUUAAUUGCACUUUCACUACAAAUUAAAUGUAUUAAAGAAAUCUCGCAUUGAAUAGUUGGUGUGGUUUGAAGCCGCUAAUGUGUAUUAGUUGAUCCAUAAGUCAUUGGCUUUAGUGUUGAAGUAAAGAUUAGUCCAAUUGAAUAUGUAUGUAUUUUUUUUUAUUGAUAAUUGGAUAUGUUUGUUGAUUGGUUCAGAUUUUGACUCUCUCUUGAAUAUCUCCCCAACUAAAGAUACUGGACUUCUAAUUAUCGACCCAACAUUUUCCUUGCGCAUGCUUUAUCAAACUCAUAGAACAUUGAUCAGCUUGCCUAUACUUAUAGGAAAACUCUUGUACAAUCACAAGGCACCUUUCCCUAUGGACGGUUAAGAGAAGGAAAUUGUCUUAUGGGCAAUUUAGCAGGACCCUGAACUCCCAAUUCACCACUUAUUCCCACCGAUCAUAUAGUUAUCGGUCAACUCAAGAAACCUCCUUUCUCUCAUCCAUGGGAGGCGUAUAGCUCCCACUUACUUGACAGAAAUCCCAAGGAGCUUACCGAGAAUGGAGCUUUUCGAUUCACCAAAGCAGGUUCUAGAAAUCUUUUUCUCGAACUUCUCCACUCUGAUGUCUUCAGGUGGCGGUCUUCUGCUCAAGACCACGUUUGAAGGGGGUUCUCUGGUUCUUUGCACUUGAUUUUGUUGCUUGGGCUCUUGAUUUUAUGGGCGUGCAAGAGGCUUGUCCGUAUUUAGUCUGAUCUUGUGUGUGACAAAUUACUUUUACCGGUAUAGAAAUGAUUGGUUGGAAGAGAAAUUGGUGUGUCUGUUGGAUUUAGCGCUGAAAACUAUUGCUUGGGGAGCUCGGGUGUUUAUUUAUAUGGCCAAAGCUCCAAUUUUGGACAAGUUUCCGUCUUCUAUUGAGAGUUUGGUGGGGUUUCUACUUAUCUAUCUCGUGUUAUAUCCUAGUCAUAGACAUUGUUCUGUCUGCCAAGCAUGCUCCAGUGCAAACUUGGUAUAUUAUUUCUGAUAUAGUCACUGUUGUCACCAGUUUAUUCUGUUGUUAUGUGGGGUUCUUCGGUAAAAUUGAGAUCGAUGACAAUCUCCUCAAAGAACCUCCUUUAAAUGGUGAUCCAGUUACAGUUGGUGCAGAACUGAAUAAGCGCCGAGGAGGUGAAAUUGCGAGCCCUUACUCAAAAGCGGGUUUAUUUAACUUUAUAACCUUCUCGUGGCCGAGUCGUCUAAUUGCUUUAGGGAAUAAGAAAGCAUUGGACCUGCAGGAUAUUUCUCAACUUUAUUCUCGAGAUAGUUUAGUUGGCACGCUACCUGAUUUCAAGAAAAGGCUUCAGUCGGCUGUUGGUUCAAGCACUGGAAUGACUUCAUUUGGGCUGGCGAAGGCUUUGAUUUUUUCUGGAUCCAACCAUGUUUGAGGGCACCGUGCAAAGCAACCUUGACCCUCUUGAGGAAUACACCGAAGAUCAGAUUUGGGAGGUCGGUUCAUUUUCUUCCCCAGUUUGAUUACAAAAUUUCUGUGAAUAGAAGUUCUUUUGUAGCUCAUGCAACAUAAACCAUAGUCAGCAAAAGCUAAUCCAUCCUGAAAUUCUAGGCAUUGGAUCAGUGCCAACUCGGCGAGGAAGUGAGGAAGAAAGAAGGGAAACUGGAUUCGCCAGGUUUUUUCAGGACCUUUUCUUCAACUGUACUUGUUUGUGCUUCUAUUACCGGCAGAAAUUCUGCAGCAAUCCAGAAUUCAAAUUGUAGAAAAUUAAAAUUGAAAUUUCUUUUCUGCCAUAUUCCAGAAUUGUACUUGUUUUUGGCUCGCUCAUGAGACGCUUGACCUACAGUUGCAGAGAAUGGAGAGAACUGGAGCAUAGGACAGAGGCAGCUCGUGUGUCUCGGUCGUGUCCUGCUCAAGAAAAGCAAGAUUUUGGUACUAGAUGAAGCCACUGCUUCCAUCGAUACAGCCACCAAUAAUGUGAUUCAGCAAACUUUGAGGCAUCACUUCGCCGACUGUACUGUUAAUACCAUUGCACAUUGGAUCACUUCUGUUCUCGACAGCGACAUCAUUCUUCUUCUAGACCAUGGUUAGUAUUUCAUGACACGAUCUCAUCUCGGCCUUGCAUGUUUGGCUCAUGCUUCAUCAAUAUCUCUCUCUCACUUUGAAUCUGUGUCCAGGCCUUGUUGCUGAAUAUGACUCUCUGAAAAGAUUGCUAGACAAGGAAUCCUCGUUCGCGCAGCUCGCAGCAGAGCACGCAACGAGGUGGCGUUCAGUUUCAGCAGCUAAAACGAUGUGAAUUUUGUAUUUCUCCAGACAAAGAUGAGAUUUCAAAAAACUAAGUUGUAUUGAAUAGACAUUUCGAUAUCUGUAAGUAUGUUUCUUUUGAUUAACUAAUUAAAAGUUUCACUACAACAAACUGAAUCAACUGAAUAUUUCCAAUUAAGUCAUACUAGUUAUUGCUCCAAAAUAAGUAUAUGUCUUGCAUCACGAAAGAUAAAAUGAGUGCAUCUUAAAAGCAGAAAAUUAGAUUAAAUGAAUAUAAAUACUUUAUGUUUUGAAUAAGGUAUUAUCUUAAAUUUUUAUAUGAAGGUAUACUGCAAGUUUAAGAUAAAUAUUAACUCCUUCAGCUAAAAAAUACAGCAGUCUAAAUUAACUAAAAAGAAUUCAAUUUAUAAAUCAUCUUAAUUAUUGAUCCAAAGUAAGUGGAUUUGUUGCAUCACAAUAGAUAUACUUAAAAUAAGUGCAUUUGAAAAGCAGAAAAUUAAACUAAAUAAAAUGUAAGUAUGUUAUUUUUUCAAUAAAGUAUUACCUUAAUUUUCGUUAUUUUAAAGAUGUAAUGCCAGUUUAAGAUACAUAGCGUUUCGAUUGUAAGCUUGAGGUAACGGGGUUCUUGUUCUGUUUAAUUGAUAAAGUAUAUCUCAAUAAGCUAUCCUUUAUUAAAAUUUUAUUAUUUUUUAUUCAAGUAGCAAUAAAAAUAAUUUAUGUGUCAACUUAUAAAAUUUAACUACUCGAAUAAAGUAACUAUAUUUGUGACAUCCUGAUUUUCAACCCUGUCAUGAUAAUGUGAAUUGAGAUUUUCAUCGACGCACUUAUAGUCUUUUUCUCUGAACUAAUCACUCACGAGAUAAUUAAUCUAUUAGAUGAAGCUAUUAAGGAAUAUAAAGGCGAUUGACUUGAAAAUUCGAUUAGAAAUCAACUGCUCAACCGUGCUAAUUUGCAAGGGUCAAUACGUCAUCGUUAAAAUCAAUUAGAAACCGUAAAUAGGUCGAUUCGAUAGAGGCAUAUAAUUAAAUUGUGGGUGAUUUCACCUGAUUACAAAAUUCAUGUCGAACAGCAUUAAAUCGAUUUUUCUGUCGAUUUUGUAUCCUAUGCCCGUAAUUGAAAUUUUGAGAUUUUUACGACAACUAAGAGUUGCCUAUGAGUCAGAGAUGCACAAUGUGGAUUGAAAAUAAUCGACCAUGGGUCAAACGCGUUAAAAAUUCCUAAAAGCUACCUGGUAGGUUAGGUCACGCUAAAAUCACGUCCGUUUAAAAUUAACCACGAAAUCAAACUUGAUUUCAGGAAUCGAAAGUUCUGGCAUGUCACGAUUUAUUUUUAGGACGUCGACUCAUCAUUCGAAGAAUUUUCGGCAAGCCCGGGAUAUUUGGCGAAAAAUCAAAAUUCGACAAAAUUGAUUCAAGAAAUUCGGAGGGCCACCUUGGUGUGAAUUUUUGGCCUUCAAGUUGGAUUGUUUGGUGAUGGAAAAGGUGGAAAUUCAUUUGGGAUUCGUCCUCAACAAUUUGGCCAUCAAUUGGAGGUUAUUUGGAGUGAAAUUGAGUUGAAUUGGUGAGGGAAAUACUUGAAAUUCAUAGGCUAGGGGGGCUGCAACAUUUGGCCAUCACCUUGGCUUGUUGGAGAAGUUUGGGAAGGGAAAUGGUUGCUGGAUAGGGGCCGAAGACUUUAGGGGUUGAUACUCAAGUGUUUUGGGAUAUUUUGGGUGGACUUUGGAAGCCCUUUGUCCCCUCCUUCCCCAACAGUAGCUUCUUCUUCUUAUUCCUCAGUAUCUUCUUCAUUUCCUCUAGCUGAAACCUUCAUUUCCAGAGUAGCAAGACAAACCACCAGCCCCUCCAUCCUUACUGCUUCGUCCACUAGCCCUGCAUCGCCGUCCGAGCCUACCGUUGCCCUGGUAGCCGUUCGCCAAUCAUCCCGAGCCCAUGCGUCCAAAAGGCCAGUGAUGUCAUCCAACUCGCCAGCCGUCUAUGCAUCGUCCCUAUCAUUCUAUCGACUAGGCUACCCGUGCGCUUGCAAGUCGCUGGCGUCGCUCCAACUCAUUCCCGUUGCCGCCUAGUCCUGCCUUACCCGUCCCCGCUAGCCAAGCCCCUCAACUAGCCUUCGGUUCAACCCCAUAGAACCAAAGGCCAGCUCCAAGCCGUGGGCCUUGUGGCCUUUUCUAGCCCUUUCCUGGCCUCCUUUGGUGUUGCCGUAGGCCCAAGUCUUGCUUGCGCUCGCGUUGCCGUAGCCGUGAAUUGAUUUUCGCGCUAAACCAAUGAGUUUACCUCCCAAUCUCUAAUUAUGGUGCUAAUUAUGCUUAAGGGUGGAUUAGUGGCUAAUUAUGGGAUUAGUUAGGCUUAAGUGAGGUUAGAGUAAAUUAGUGAGUUUAGUUAGUUAAUUAGAUUUUUUAAUUAAGUUAAUUUAGCAAUUAGGUGGUUAGUGACUUUAGUUAGUUAGACUAGUAGGUUAGAUUAAUUUAAUUAAGUCCAAUUAGGUGGUUAGAUUAGCUUAGGUAGAUUAAUUAGUGAUUUAUUUAAUUAUUUUGCAAUUUAUUUAAUUGAAUGUAAUUUACUUAAUUAUUUAUUAAUUAGUGGAAAUUAUACCAAGAUAGUCGGUUGUUAGAAUUUUGUACUGAUCGUCAUGGUGCAAUUGGUUUGUGCAAUUGAGUGCUAAUUUAAGCAAUUGAUUGAUGAUUGAUAAUUUUUUAUUUAUUAUUUCAAAAAUAUGGAAUUUUGAUAUUUAAUUAGAAUAAUACCAGGUAUUGGUUUUUUAUGCCAAAAAUGUUUUUAAGUAUUAUAUAAAAUCGUGGAAUUUUUAAAAGUGAGGAUAUCACAUUUUAUGGUUCAAUCUGAUCAUGUGCCAAUGCAUAAUUAUUUUACUAAGUGUUUUUAAUAUGAAGAAAAUAAGUCAAGUACAUUAUUUAAAAUUGAGGCAUUAGAGUGCAAAGCGCGAUGUCCUUAGCCAGGAUUGGAUAUGCAUGUGAUCGUUAUGAGAACUCGUCACAAGCUUUUACGUUGGACGAUACUCCUUCAGGAAUGCCCCACGUUAACGGAUGUUGGUUGCAGUGGAGGCUGGGCCGAUGCUCCUUCGAAAUGUCAUCUAAAUGUAGACGUUGCUGUACUCGAUGGGAUGAGAUGACGCCCGGUUAUGCCGAAUGACCACUAACUGUUGAGUCGGCCGUGGCCGUUGGGUCGUAACUAAUUGAAACGUUUGACUGAGUGAUUUGACCUUGCCUGAUUAUUGGAUAAAAUUGUGUGGCACGGAAUGGGACGUGUCAUAACGAUUUGACCUUAUAAUCGGGAUCCCUGUGAUUGAUUGAUAUGUGGAAAGUGAAGUGUUUCAAUUAUUGAAUACAUUUACUAUAUGCAUAUGUUAUAUGAAUUGUACUAAUGUGCAAGAAGGUGCUGAGGCGAAGUAAGUCUUAUAUGUUGUGUGUUUAGGCUACCUCUAGGUAUAUUACCUUCCUAAUCAAGGGGUGUAGACUCGUUGAGACGUUGUUUCACCUCAUUGUGGUUUACAAUUUUCAAGUCCUUAGAUGGAGGUGCAGUCAGUUUGUUUUGGGUGGCCGCGAGAAGCCGAUACCGAGCGUACCAUCUUCCCUAUCCCUGGGAACCCUUAGACCUACAAGCUCAUUGUGACCACGAUCUAGGUCGAUGAGGGCCAACCUCAGUUGGUACCGCAUCGAUUCAAAGCGUGGUUUCAUCACAGGCCUGACGGGAUCCAGGAAGGUCCCGUGAAUGGUUUCAAUGGACUUGCCAUCGAGAGUGAGGGUGAGGUGGUACUCAACCCUAUCGUGGACGCCAAUAUUAUUGCAAAUAUCACGGAGAACCAGUUGCCCGAGGAUGAGCAGCAGCCCGUAGUAGAGGAGGUAGCUGACCCGCUAGACCUCAACAUCCCUGAUGGUGUCAUAGUGGACUCGGAUCCUAAGUAGGAGGAUCCAAGGUAGGGUUAACUUAGUAACCUUUUUGGAUCUUGACCUCAUGUAAAUAACUUUAUAGGGCUGACCUGGUUUAUUUAUAAAAUAUGUUUUGUUGAAAUUAAUUGUCUUGUUUUUUUAUCCCAUGUUUAUUUAUUGUCUGGAGAUUGUUAAUUCGCUUCUACUUGUGUUUAAAAUGAAUGGGUCGGCGACGAGUUCUAGGAACGUCGCAAUUUAAUCGACCACCAAGAGAUGUACGCGCGCUUGAAGUUUGAGAUGUGACAAUAUCUGAACAAUUUUCUUCUCGCUAAAACAUAUCCGUAAUGUGUUCUUUAUUUGUUUAAAUUUAAAUUGAGUGAGUUUCUCCCUUUGAUGAUUUUUUUUUCACCCACCAAAUUCGAACAAGAUAAACUAAACCUUAAAUUGACAAAGAUUUAUCUAUAAAUGACGUAAGUUUUUAGAGUGCAACUUGUACACUAAAUGAAAUCGGCGCCUUUACUACUUGUACUUAGACGUUGUGAUGAUAAUAUAUGCUCUUAAAUCUUUUUUAGUUUACUAUUAUAAUUUUAUGGGGAUCUGUCGAUAAACUUAUUUUAUCAUUUGCUUAAUUCAAUAAUCCGUGUAUAUCUAAACUUAUUCCGAAAAGAACCUCGGUCUCCCAGAGAAUUGCACGAAUACCCCCUCACAAAAUUUCUAUCUGCUUACAAAAAAGAAAGGCUCUUCAGACUAUUUCUUACUUCGGUUAUUUGUCAUCUCUCUUUCAAUUUUCAUUUUACGUUUCAUGAAUCUGAACCCAACUCAUUAAGUUGUUGCUGAAAUUGAUCUUUACUUGCUUAAAUAAUGAGCAGGUUGGUUCGAUCGACAAAACAUGAAUAGAGCUUGAGGGCAGAUCAAUAGAACCCGAUGCUCCCGCAUCAUGUGAUGAAGGCUCCAAAGAAAUCGCUGAAGAAGCAGACUUUGUCACUGCAAGCCAACUUGGAUUUGCUGCUUCGGCAUAUCCGUGUCCAAUCUGGUCUUGUGUGUGACGAACUACUUUUAUUGGUAUGCAGAUACUGGUUUCUCCUUUGGAUUGAGCACUUAUGACUCUCGCUUGGGGAUAUGCUAGUCGUCCAAUUCAUGUUAUUGCCUCGUCAUAGACAUCGUUCUGUCUGUAAAGCAUGUUCCGGUGGUAUUCCGUCUCUGAUGUAGUCUCUGUUAUCACUGGUUUAUUCGACUGUUAUGUCGGGUUCUUCAGUAACUUGGUUACAGGUGAUCCAGUUCUAAGUGAGCGUCACGGGACCGGAUCUUAACCACAUGCUCAAAUGCGAGUAUACCGAGUACAGUUAGUUUCUCGUUGUCGAGACUUCUAGUUGCUGUUGGUGCAUGCAAUAGAGCCACUCCAUAUAGGCAGGUGAAGGGUUUGGCUUUGUCGGAACGGAGAGAAAUUAUUUCCGCUGCAUUAUUUCUAAUUCAUUUCACGGAAACUUCUUCUGUUCAACUCUUUAAUGGGCAACGUGAGUUUAACAGUUCAGGCUGCCAUCUAGUUUUGGGCCUUACUAGUGGCAAAUCUUGUUCGAGUGCGUUCCCCAUAGGCAGUUGAUGUUCAGGCUACACAGCUUGUCCGGACUAGGGCUCGCUCGUUGGGCCUAGGGCUCGCUUGUUGCUGGCUGCAAACGGGAGAAGAACGAUGGAAAUGCAAAAUGCUAUGUACAUCACUCACUUUAAUAUGAAAAGUCCCUUUUAGAUUACUUUCUUUUUUUUGGUCAGUCCUACUCUAUUCCUACUCUACACUCACUCGCAGACUUGUGCCCUGCCGCUUGCAGGGCGUGGGAGUCGCAACCCACUUUCAAACUUACGCGUCCCUACUCUCAUCCCCCCUGAGAAUGUGGGGAUUUGAACUCCUCACCUCCGCCUUCCAUGUUGGAAGAGUGACCACUGGGGCGAACCCCCAGUGGUUCCUUUUAGAUUACUUUAAAAGAUAAUUUUUCAAGUGCUAACUCUCAUUUGCUUGGCCGGAAAUCCGACAUGACCCUUUUUCUAUUAACUUCUUAAGCCGACAUGGUUUAUCAAAGAUCCAAUUAGCAUUUAAAGCCAUAAAUGACAUUGUAUAGUAUUUUUUCCCCCAAAUGAAAACCCUAAAGCGCCAAAUUGAAAGAGAACCCCAAUUUCAAACCCUAACCAGUCAAUGAAUUGAAAUUCACACUUUAUUUCGAUUGGGUCACAAACCAGAUUUUCCCCUCACGAGCCCUAAUUUUUUCUUACGAACCCUAAUUUUUCCCUUUAAUUAAGCAACGCAAAGAGAAACGCACGUUCUUGCCAUGGACGACAAGCAAGGGCAAGAGUGCUAUAGCAAGUAAGUAAUGGCGAAUGAGUGAUAGGGAGAGAUGCAAUGAGGCCAACAUUUUUAGUCAAGUUCAAAGACAUCGCUUUUGCCAUGGAUGGCGCGCGACAUCGUCUUUUUCGUUACCUAGCCACAUUGGACUGAGCCGCAUCAUUUCACAUGUCCACAUGGAUAAGGAUUUUAAAAUUUAUGACAUAUCACUUAAAAAUUUUAUUAACAAAUGCCAUAUAAUCAAUUUGACCAAAAUUUCUCAUCGUUAAUGCUUAAAUAAUUAUUUUUCUCCAAUUUGGUACUUAGUGAGCUAGCGAAAAAAUUUUGAACUUAAAAUAAGCACCGUAAUGACAUUUGACAAUUCCAAUGUCCUUCCGAUUGCAAAUACAUAUGACAAGGGAUUAAGUUGCAAAGACUGUGUCCCCAGAUUUUUAUAGCUAGAAUGUAGAACACAAUAAUGGAGAAAUAAAUAUUUACGCAUCUAAUUUGGAAUCCAUCAUUCUUGAUCGUAGUAACAACAAUCCAGAGCUCAAGUGUUUUUCCUCCAUUACCUUCUAUAUCACUAGUUCAAUUAAACAACCCCUCAUGAAUUACGUUAUGUAACCACUUCUUAUGUGAUAUCUAUGCAUCCAGGUUGAAUAAGAGAGUUGAACACUAUUUAUAAAAAUUUUAACCAGAGAUCCUCUCAGUACAGUCAAGCUUUACUCAAUUCACACAAGCCAACUCCAUAUUAGCCUAAUUAAGAAUCUUUAUAUGUUACCUUAUUAAAUCAAUUAGGGCGCGUUUGGCAACAAUUCUGUUCCCGGGAGCUAAUUUUGACUAUAAAUGAUUAUUUUUUAUUCUGUUCCUGGAAACUAAUUCUAAGUAAAAAAGCGCGUUUGGUAAUUGUCCAAAUUUUUUUAUUCUGGAAUAGAAUUGCGUUUGAUACGUAAUAAUUGAUUCUAUUCCAAAUUAAUUUCUUUUGAUUUUUAAAUAAUUUUUUUGCUCUUUUCCUUUUUUUCUUUUCUUUUUUCCUUUUUUUUUCCCUUUUUUUUUCCCCCUUUUUUCCUAUUAUUCUUCUUCUUCAUCUGGCCGGCGACGCUCACUGGAGCGUCACCGGCCCUCAACGAGGUUGGCCUUCAUCGGUCGAGCCUCGCUGGCAGCUGGGCGAGGCUCGCCCAGCCCCGCCGAGGCUCGGCCUCGCUAGAUCCGCCGAGGCCGAGCCUCACCGGUGGCCAGGCUAGCCUCACCCAGCCUCGACGAGUGGCUAGGCGAGGCUCGCCCAGCCCCGCUGGUGGCCAGGCCAGCCUCGCCAAGGCUGGGCGAGGCCGGCCUAGCCACCAACGAGGCUAGGCCUCGCCAGUGGCUGAGCUUGCCUCUGGCGAGCUCGCCGGACCUCGCCCUGGCUUGGCGAGCCUCCGGCGACCGGCGGCGGAUGGCGAGCAGCGGCGGGUGGCAGCGGGCGGCGGCGGACGGCGGCGGGCAGUGGCGAACGGUAACCGGGAUGACAAAAGGGAAGAGCGAGGUUUCACCGUUUUGAUUCUUUUUCUGAUUCUCGGACAGAGAAUCAAAUUUUUUUUUUUUAUUCUCAAAUCUUGUCCAAAAUUGUUCUCGGGAACAAAAAUUUUACCAAACGCGAUUCUCGUUCCAAAUUAAUUCAGGGAACAAAAAAUCAGAAUCUGGCACUGUUUGGCACGUUGCCAAACAAGCCCUUAAUGUAGCUCUCAUCAUAAAAACUCUUAUAACUAACCCUUCCAUGCCGGUCUAAGCAAGGACAUGCUGGUGGAGAUGGAGAGAUCGCUCACUCUUAUGUCCAUGGAUACAAAGAGAAUUGAUGAUUUCAGGUGGUCCAUGCACGACCCUUGGCAAACAAAAUUCUAAUAAUUUUAGGCAUACUAAAAUCGAUCAAAUAAUGUGAUAAGGCUCUUCUUAGAUGCUUUCUCCAUCUACAACUCCAUGAACCCGGGAACUUGAAACUCCAAAUCUCGCAUCGAGAAUCCAUCCGAUAAUCAUGGGUUUUAUAAUCCCAAUUCUACGAAGCGCCUGUACUUUUGGAAUUCUAGUGGAGUAAAUUUAAUAUCUAAUUACUGUUUUCAUAAUCUGUCUUACCACAUCCAUCCAAUGAAAGUGAGUUAAUUCAUUAAGAUUUGCUUUUUAUGUAGCCCAUGCACGAGUGGCUAAUGAAGAGUACCGACAGUUGGAUAUUUUCACAUGGGAACCGAGGCCUCUUCAAAGGGAUCGAAAUUAGUCAAGACACGUGCAUGGAAAAUUCCGGCCUGUAGUUUCUUUUCUUUAUUUGCCGAGAUUGAGAUUGAGAGAGACCUUGCAUAAUUGAUUGAAGGAAAUAUCUCUUUUUUUUUUUUUUUUGGAUACGCCAUUUUUUGCGUGGUUACCAUUUCAAAGAAAUUUGCCCAAUAAAGCUUCUAAUUGGCGAGUGUCAUUUAUAGAUAUUGUUCACACUUAAACUCCAUUUGUUUCGCAGAAAAUAUAACAUUUUUAUAAAAUAUUUUCUAGAAACCAUUUUCCCUAAAAACGACAAUAUUUUUUAAUAUGUGACUGAAACCUGAAAAUGAACUAAAAUUUUCCUCCGUAAGGUAUGGAAAAUUUGAUCUGAUUUUCAUCUGUGCACUCCUUUUAAUAUUUUUAUUUCUUUUUCUUUAUUUAUUUAUUUUAAUUAAUUUUUUAAUUUUUUUCUUUUUGCAUUUUAAUUUUUUCCACUUUUUUCUUUUCCUCCUCCUUCUUCUUUAGUCAGUCGCCAACCCCAAUGAACAACCAAGGGCAAACUCAAGCCUAUGGUGAGGCUUGUGCUCACCAAUCUGGCAAGUGGCCAGAUUGAGCUCACCAAUCUAGCAAGCGGCGAGCUUGAACUCACUAGAGGCUAACAAGGCCUCAAGCCUCACUUGUGGCUGGCCAAGAAGAAAUGAAAAACAAAGAACGAAAAAAGGAGAAAGAAAAAAGAAAGAAGAGUGGACUAGCAAGGUUGCGUGAGAGUGUUCGAUAAGAGAGAGUGAGGGAGAAAAAUGAUUUCCUCUACUUGAAAAGCCAAAAACAUUUUCUCCUAUUUUAGAAAAAAAUUUCCGUUGACGGAAAAUAUUUUUCCUAACUAAUUCAUUUUCUAUAAAAUAAACGCUGAAAAAUUCAAAAAAAAAUAUUUUUUUUAAAGUUAUUUUCUAUAAACCGAACGAAACCUAGUUUAAAUUAAGUUUUUUAUGCAAGUGAUAUCCAUGCUCUUACUUAAAUCUAGUCACUGGCAAGGCUCUGGCCUAACCGUGGUAAAGUGCUUCGCCCCGCCAAAGUUCGAGCCCCUGAAAGCAACCCGUUAACAGGACCUUUUUAUAUUACCAUAAUUGCAAUGGCUCAAAUAGCCAAAUGUCACAUUCCCAUAUCCACAAAAGUUGUUAUUUCUCAAAUUGAAAGCAAAUCGUUGACUUGAUUACCUCAUAUAUCCUAUUUGAAAGCAUUAUUAUUGCAGAUUUAGCUUUUAAAUUUGCUUUUUUCCACAAAUUUCUAAAAAUACUUCCCUAAACUUUGAAACUUCAAAAAAGUUGAGAAAAAUUGGGAGGGUGCGACAAAAUUAAGGAUGCUCUAGUAAUUUAUUUAGAUAAAAUAUUAUAUCUAUCUAUACUGCUAUGAUAUGAGAGAUUUGCGAAACAAGCUCUCACAAAAAUGUUGACUUCUUUAAAUUCUCCUUCCUUCUUAUCUUCCACAUUUUGGUCCGUGCACGUAUUCAUUUACAAUUUUUUUUUUCUCUUCUUAUCUUCCACGUCUUGUUUUGUGCAAUUAUUCUUUUUAUACCUUUAAGCUCUGAUACAUGCAAGUUUCAUAAAUUAUUAUCGAUAGUAAAAAUAAUUUUUAAUGACUAAUUAUUUUAAGUGAUAUAAAUAAUCAUUUUUAAAAAAAUUCAAAAAAUUCAUUUUCCACGAAACACAUGAAGUCUUAGGAGAAACGCCAAAUUAUCUCACUUUUUCUGUUUUUUAUUAUAGCCGUUUAUUUUAUUAACUAUAGAUCAAAGAGGAAAACAAGGGAAAAUUGACCAAUAAAAAGGACAAGAAGGCGAAAGUACACAGAAGUUAACUACCCAAUUUCUUUAUAAAAAAAAAAAAAGGUGAACUUGGUAACAUUACUUAAUUGUCCUUAUUGUGAAAUCAGCCUCAUCCUUAUACUGUUGGAAAUUUCCUAUAAUAUAAGCUUACAUUAAUUAAUUGAUUUUCUAUUUUAAAUAAUUAGGUUAAUGGAUAUUUCAAUAUUUGUUGAAUCCUAUAGUGAUCUGAUUGAAUUUGGUAUUGGCAUGUAUUAAUAACGGGCUUAGUUGAGCAGUCAAGUGUAGGCAAUUGUGUUUAACUAAAGCCUGUAAUGGGAAGGGCCCAGUUGAUAUGAUGUUGAUUAGGGUUUGCUAGGUCCCCUCUCUAAUCUAUAAAAGGAUAGAUUAUACCUAUCAGUUGCUUUAAAUCCCAUUGAAAGCUGUUAUACUGAAACAAGUCAUAGAGAGAAAGAUCUGGCAUUCCGAUAGAUCACUGGUUAUCAGAUUAAUCUAUUUUCUUCAAGUGAAGCAGUGGCUUAAAUAGGUACGCUUUAAUUCCAUUGUAUUUAUUGAUCUCAGUGUUUUACAAUCAUAUAUGGAUUCAUUUUUUCUUGAUUGAUUAGUUGUUUAUGUGAAUAAAUUGUUUACAUGUGGUAUCAGAGCCUAUCAUAUAUAUCAUUGUAGAACCCAAAUUUUUUUAUGGAAAAAUUCGAAAUUUUCCUCUUUGAGCCGAAUAUGGGCAUUAUUUUAUCGUGUGGAUUUUUUGCUCGAUUGAUCUCGAAACCAUAGGGCUUUUGUUCUACAUGUCGAGAUCUUUCCAAUCAUAUAUAAUUUGUAUAAUUUCGUUGAGAAUUGAUAGAGAAUUUAAAAUUUAAAAUUCUAGGGUUUAUACAUGAAAAGUUCUAGAAUUUUCAAAUUACUUGCAAUUGAUUGAUGUUCAUUGUAAAUCGUUGCAUGGAUAUUGUUAUAUAUGUGUUUUAGCAUCUUUUUGUUGCAUUAAAGUAACCCCUAUCUUCCUCUCCGUUCUCUAGAUUUCGAAAUCCUAAUUUGGAAAACCAUUGCUUCAUGUUUGUUACAUGAUUGUUUUGGCAUGAGCGGUAGGAUACUUAUAGUUUCGACCGGUUGGCAUCAUGCUCUAGUUCUUUUAGAUACUGAUGCGAUAUCAGUUGCUUGGAGUAAUUAUGUGCAUAGUAGCAAUAAUUUGUCUAAAGUAUGUUUUAACCUUUUGUGUACAGCUACUAUGUUCACAAUGAAUUUAUCUCCGGAACUAGUGGCUGCCUAGCAUGUGUGGGUAUUGCUAGGAUUUAUGUACAAAAGUUGUCAACUAACUUGACAUGUGCAUUACACAAGCUGAGCAACGUUAGACGCACCUCUUUUUCUCUCGCUUAUGUUAGAGUUUUCUCUCGCGUGAUGUUCGAGCUCUUCACCAUGUCUUCGAUUUCCUCAGUUCCUUCUCUGAACUUUGCGGUCUUUAUGCACCGUCGUCGUUCUCCGCCCAUUUCCCCUUAGCUGUUUCUCCUCGUCCUUCCUCCUUCUGCAUGUGCAAAUUCUUCUAUUCCCUUCUUCUAUCACAGUUCCAUGGGUCCGUGGUUUUGUUCUCCUGCAAUCCGCUCUGCAUGUUGCCGAUCUGUAACAUGCAAUCUUGGCAACUUUUCGAUUUAGUCAUCUGUUCUUUCAAUUCUCCAUAUUAACGUAUUUCUAUUCCCUUUCCUAAUGGAAGACAGUGAUACUACCUCACGAAUUGCUUCCCUCUGUAAUCGCCUGGGCCGUUUAUGCUCAGAACAGCCGUUGGAGGUUUGGGAUAACAUCCCUGCGUCGGCCAAACUAACGGAUUGUCGUCUCAUUCUGGUAGGCAACAUCUUUACCAAUCCUUCUGUCAAUUUAUCUGCCUUUCAAGUUGCUAUGAAGAAAGCCUGGAGAAUGGAUCAUGUAGACAUCACUUCGGCAGAUACAGGGUUAUAUAUCAUCAAAUUUAGAACAGCAGUGGAGAAGCGUCGUAUUCUGGAUGGUAGCCCUUGGUUAUUUUCUGGUCACUUAGUUAACCUACGCCCAUGGCAACCUAAUACUCCAUUGCAACAGUAUGAUUUCAGAAAAUGUAGGUUUUUGGUGCAUGUUAUUGGCUUACCUUUGGAGUGGACUACUCCACCUAUUUUGCGUCGAGCUGCAUCCCAGAUAGGUAACGUACUGGAGGUGAAAACAGAUAUUUCUGCAAGAAUACGGAUUGAGUUAGAUUUGAAAGAUCCUCUGAAAAAUGGUAAACUUAUCAGUAUUGAAGGUAAAACCGUAUGGCUUGAUUUUCGGUAUGAGAGACUGUCUCAUUAUUGCUACUCCUGUGGCCGACUUGGUCACUAUGCAACUUCCUGUCCCGAGUUCCCAUAUGUUGAAACACAAUUUGAUGGUCGUGACACGAUGGUUUAUGGACCUUGGCUCAGAGCAGAGCUUAAGCAAUUUAGCCCUUACUGGGAUGCCUUUUACAAUCCUAAAAUACAAGGUGAGUCCAUGGAAGAGACAGUACCUGAAACUCCUCCUCAAAUGCAGCUUGCUCUUCCAGCUCUCCCUCCUAUCCCUGCUACAGAGGUUGUUACUUCGAACCCUGAAUUACCUCAAGGGGCUUCCAAACAAUGGCAUCCGGUUACCUCCACGGCUCUCACUACUGAUUUAGUACCUGCAGCAGCAAAGAUGAAAAACACUCAGACUUUUCCAGUGGAAACUCAACAGCAGAAGAGGCCGAAGAUUCCUCGGCCAAUGCCACAUGGGGGUUCCAGUAAGAAAACAAAAAGAUACACACCAUAUGAACUUAAAGUUCCAAACUCAACAGCUCUUGAUGAGUCCCUCCUUCUUGAUACUCCGGUUGUGGAGGCAGAUAUCCCUGAUCCUUGGGCUUUGGCGGCUGGCCCUCAACAACCACCGUGUUCCAAAUGAAGCUCCUCAGUUGGAAUUGUCAGGGGUUGGGCAAUCCCCUGACAAUUCAAGCCCUAAAGGCGAUGGUAACCUGUGAUAAGCCUGAUUUUGUGUUUUUAAUGGAAACGAAGAAGGAUAAACACUUCGUAUCUAAGAUUCAGCGUAAGUUAAAAUUUUCUAACUCUUUUGUGAAGGAUCCUGAUGGUUUAAAGGGUGGUCUGGCUCUGUUAUGGAAUGAUAAUUUCGAAGUUACCUUGGUCUAUUCGGAUGAUCAGUUUGUUGAUUUUGUUGCACUUGAUCCUAGGACAAACUCUUCCAUGCAUAUCACUUGCCUACACGCACCUCCAAUAUAUCAGCUACGUCAGGAAUUCUGGAAUACUAUUCGAGUUAUUCAUGCUGCAAAUCACUUACCGUGGCUGUGUAUAGGUGAUUUCAAUGACUUCCUUUCUCCUUGGGAAAAAAUGGGCAAGCGACCACCAAUUACUUCGUGUAUGACUUCCUUUCGGAAUGUGAUCAAUGAUUGCGCAUUACUCGAAAUACAAAGUAAAGGUUGUGAAUUUACCUGGUCCAAUAAUCGCGAAGGGGAUGCUCUAGUAAAGGAGAAGUUGGAUCGUGUAUUUUGUUCACUGGAAUGGUUGAUGGUUUACCCCUCUGCAGAAGCAUUUGCCCUUCCGUCUGUUGGUUCUGAUCAUUGUCCUAUCUUGCUGCAAGCUCGGCCAUCAUCUGUCAAACGCGCAAAGACUUUUCAAUAUGAAGCUUUCUGGAACCAAGACACAGAGUGUAAAGACAUGGUUCAACAGGCUUGGAACAAUAAUAGUACCUCAUUGAUAUCCAAAUUACAGGCAGUUGCAACGCGGUUAACAAGAUGGAGUAAAGCUCGGUUCAGUAAUUGUCAUCAACGCAUCCAUCACUUGCAAUCUCAACUGCAGAUGAUUAUAAAUAGAACAUCCUAUCAGGAAGGGGAUAAGGAGUAUGCCAAUGCAAUACGAUUUGAAAUUCAGAAACUAUGGACUCAAGAUGAACAGUUCUGGGCUAUGCGUUCUCGUAUUCAAUGGUUGAAGUGGGGCGAUCAUAACUCAAAGUUCUUCCAUGCACAUACUAUGCAACGAAGACAACGAAAUCGAAUUACUAUGUUAAUGGAUACUCACCAGCAAUGGAUCAGAGAACCAGAACAGCUAAAAGAACUCACCGAGGGCUUCUUCUCUCAGCUUUACCGAUCUGUAGGCCACAGGGCUUUUAGGCCUUUCCUAGAUCAAUGUCCACCAGUGGUAACUCCUGAAAUGAAUACACAGUUGAUGAGCAGGGUCACAGAGGAGGAGAUUUACCAGGCUACCUUCCAGUUGGGAGCGUCAAAGGCUCCUGGUCCUGAUGGUCUUCCAGGCCUCUUCUAUCGGCAUCACUGGCACGUUAUCAAAGCAACUGUAAUUAAAACAGUACAUGAGUUCUUUACCACAGGUUAUAUGCCCCCUACUCUAAAUAGAACAAUCAUUGCUCUAGUCCCUAAAGUCCAGCAUCCAGAAAGUAUAGAACAAUACCGUCCCAUCAGUCUUUGCAACUUUGCUUAUAAGAUCAUAUCUAAAAUUAUGGCCAACAGACUUAAACCUUUACUGUCUAUUUUGAUUUCCAAAGAGCAAGCAGCAUUUAUUAGCAAUAGACAGAUUUAGGACAAUAUUAUGGUGGUUCAAGAAGUCAUGCAUCAAUUUAAAGUGCGAGCAUGCAAGAAACGCUUCAAUCUUAUUCUCAAAACAGACAUGCAGAAAGCUUACGAUAGGGUUGAAUGGGACUUUUUAGAAGCCUAUUUGAAGCAAUUGGGAUUCCAUGACAGCUGGGUUACUCAGGUAAUGGCUUGUGUUACUACAGUCUCGUUUAGUGUUCGAUUUAAUGGUGAACAGCUCCCUUAUUUUAAACCUACUCGAGGGAUUCGCCAGGGAGAUCCCCUCUCUCCAUAUCUCUUCAUUUUAAUUGCAAAUGCCCUAUCCACUACUCUUACUCAAGCUGUUGCUAUUGGCCAUAUAAAGGGGAUUCAAUUCAAUCGAGACUGUCCUAAAUUAUCUCACCUCUUUUUUGCUGAUGAUUCAGUAUUUUUCCUCAAAGCCACUCUCUCUGAAUGCCAUAACCUUGCCAAUCUCCUAAACCAAUAUUGUGUUGCUACAGGACAGCUUAUUAAUAGAAACAAAUCUGGUGUGUUUUUCAGCAAAUACUGUCCUAUUUCAUUACAACAAAAUCUUGCACAAGAAUUAAGGGUCCCUAUUCUCAGUAAGUAUGGUAAAUACCUGGGCAUUCCCUCGGAUUGGGGCCGUUCCAAAAAGGAGAUGUUUUCCUGGAUCCUGGCACGAGUAAAUGCUAAGUUAGCAGGUUGGCAGGAAAAAUUUUUAUCGAAAGGAGGCAAGGAAAUCUUAUUGAAAUCAGUAAUUCAAGCCUUACCACAGUAUGCCAUGUCUAUCUUCAAGCUUCCGCUGUCUCUCUGCAGAUUGAUUGAACGAAAGAUCUCAGCAUUCUGGUGGAGUAAACAAAAUAGCCAAUCUGGAAUUCACUGGAAACAAUGGUCAGAAUUAAAGCUCUCAAAAGUUGCAGGGGGGAUGGGAUUUAGAGAUUUAAUCAACUUUAACAAUGCAAUGCUUGGAAAGCAAGCAUGGCGUUUAUUUCAGCAACCUCAAGCUAUCUGGAGUCAGCUCUUUAAGGGUUUAUAUUUUCGCUAUUCCUCUUUUCAAUAUGCUCCCUCAGGACAUCGUCCUUCUUGGGGAUGGCAGAGUUUAUUAAGGGGUCGUCAAGCAAUUACUCCUAAACUACGGUGGUUAGUAGGAGAUGGCACGAAGAUACAUAUCAGACAAGAUAAUUGGUUACCAUUAGGCCCGAUAGGAGGCUUACCAGAGAUAGGGGAACUUGAUCGAGUGGCUGACCUCAUUGAUUUUCCGCAUUCCGAAUGGAAGUCCACGCUUGUUACUGCAUUCUUUGAUGAUCAGGUAAGUAAGGCAAUUCUCAAUACCCCCAUCAAUCCGUCUCUCCUUCAGGAUCAACUAGUUUGGACAGAAACUCCUUCUGGUACCUACACAGUAAAGAGUUGUUAUCAUUCUCUUUCUACACAAUCUCAGCCACCACUAAACCAGCCCUCAUCCUCGUAUACUAACCCACCCAUGUUAUGGAGGAAAAUUUGGCACAUGUGUACAGCCCCAAAGCUUAAGGUUUUUCUCUGGUUAGCUUGCAAAAAUGCCAUUGCUACAAAACUUAAUCUUUAUCAACGCCAUAUCACCCCUCACCCCUUUUGUUCUCUAUGCAAUAAUUCUGUCCCGGAAUCAGUAGAGCAUAUCUUUUUUUUCUGUCCAUGGACAACUGAAAUUUGGACUCACGAAGACAUUAGUGUCAAAAUUUUACCUACCUCAGUGAGCCGAUUUGAUGCAUGGUUAGUAGAAAGAGCUUCCCUCCCACACGCAUCUCCUGAGUUUGCUGUGAUCGCUCAUCUUCUGUGGGAGAUCUGGAGACAACGGAAUAAUGCUAUCUUUCGCCAGAUCCCUCUUGAUCCCCGCCAGGCCGUCAAUGAUGCCCUAGCCCAAAACACCAUCUUCAAGUUUUUACAGUCCUCGCCACAGAAGAUGGAAAAGACGAUGGUCAGUUCUGAAUAUAGAUGGCAACCACCAGCGGAUGGGUAUAUUAAGUGUAAUAUUGAUGGGGCUUUUCGCCAAGAAUCGGAGAAAGGAUCAAUCGCUUGUGUUUUCAGAGAUAGUAGAGGCAUUUUAACAGAUAUGCUUACCCAAUCUGUGCCUGCACAAUCGGCGUUCCAAGCGGAGAUUUACGCCCUCAUAUUUGCUAUUCAACGGCUGCUCCACAAGAAUCUCCAUCCUCAGCAUGUUGUGAUCAAAUCGGACUGCUCAACACUGGUGGAGAUCAUUCGGAUGAACCAGACGCCGCCAUGGAAGGAACGUCCUCUAUUUGCGACUCUCAGCGCUCUUCUUCAGCGAUGCCCUAGCAUUUCGCUUCAACACGUUCGUCGACAGGCAAAUGGUGCAGCGGACUGGGCCGCUAAGGCCCACAGGGAUCAUGGCCCUCCAACAAACUGGCUUCUUUUCCCGCCUUCUAAUUUCCUCAAUAUUAUCUCUUCGGAUGCUUCGGCUCUUAUGUGUAAUGUUACCUAAUAUAUUACAAGUUAUCCUUUUACCAAAAAAAAAAAAACUUGACAUGUGCAUCAUUUAUCUAUAGAACUGCGUUUUUUUUUUUUUUUUUACAAUUCUGUCGAUUGAAGUGUUGAACAGUAAUGGGUUGACUAUCGAUAGUUGAUUUCUCGAUAGACAUUUAUGCAACUCCCAGUAAAAGAACUCAAAUCUAUAUUUUUAGCGUGAUUUGUGCUUUGUGGUUAAUCAUCUUCUUGUUUGAAAGUGGCGGUGAGAUCCCAAGGGAGGUUACAAUCACAGUAACUGGUUGUCUGAAAUUUGUCAAAUUUUUGGGUUUUGUCAGUUUUUGAAUCGGUUUGUGAGAUGGAUUUCGAUGUUGGAGCAUGGCGGGUUUAGGUAUUGGGAAAUCCCAUGAUGCGGUCUUCUUGAACGUUGUGCUUAAAGUAGCAUAAAUUAAAGUAAAUUUUAGAUUGUUUAAAAUUGGGAGGAUCUGAUUCUUUAGUAUAUAAAUCUUUGUACUAAAGAUAUGAUUAUUUAUUUAAUUAUUCUUUGUUCUUCCUCUUUGGGUGAUCAAGUUAGAGAAUGAUCUUGAAUUUGCAUCAUGUACAUGUUGUGCGGGAUCAUCAGCUGUGGGAGGAUCUGAUUCUUUAGUAUAUAAAUCUUUGUACUAAGGAUAUGAUUAUUUAUUUAAUUGUUCUUUGUUCUUCCUCUUUGGGUGAUCAAGUUAGAGAAUGAUCUUGAAUUUGCAUCACAUACGUGUUGUGCGGGAUCAUCAGCCGUGGGAUUGAUUUAUGUAUCGUUGGUCGGUUGUUGAUGACUUUCUCUUCUGUCCUUAGUGUUGAGUGGCGUGCCCUUGUUCUGAUUAUUUAUAUGUUACUAAUUUGAAAAAUAUAUGGCACUGCUUCUUGUCGCCCAUUGUCAAAAAGCUUCGCAUACGAGUAGUUUGAAUCUCGGGCGGUUUUACUCGAACCUUUUAACUUCUCUUGACUUGGCUCAAAUCAUCUUUCCUGAAGAACCAUUGAUUGAAACUUCUUUAAAUAUGAUUUUAGAGUUUGAUAGUUCUGACUAGAUUGCACUGUUAAACUGGGGAAUUGACAUGGGAGAUCUUUUGGAUUGUUCCCUCUUAGAACAAGAAAAAGAAGAAAAAAAUCAUAUAGAAUAUAGAGCAUUAUGUUAUCUUGCCAAAUGUGUUUUGUUCAUUGCUACUGAUUUCGGGCCAAAUGUUCACCCUUACUUUGAUGCACACAAGGAAGGGGUGGUAACAGAGGAGCAGGAGAAUAUAUGUGCUGAUGUAUUUAAAGGGUAGUGCACGAUUUUUUUUUUUUUCAUAGUGCCUUUACUCAUAAGACCAAAGCAACACCUUUUAACUGGUAUUCAUGGUUUAGGGUGAACCCUAGUUGUUGGAUUGAUUGGAGGCAGCAAAACAGGUUUUGUGGGAAAGGAUCAUGGCAUUGUGCCACAGUUGUGGUUUUUCUAAAUUUUGCUUUGCAGUACCUUAAAUAGGAAAGAAGCUUCAAUGCCUCAUCAGGCCUAUUCCGACCACGGGGAAAAGUCUGUUUGGCUUAUUAAGUUCUUUAGCCUCCAAAACUUUGUACAUGAGAAAUGAAAUUAUUCUUAUUGUUAAGACAUUCCGAAAAGAUUCUAGAUGACUAUACGUCUCAAUACUUGUAUAUUUAAAGGGUUUCAGGUAUUUGACUGUGAAUCAAAGUCCAGUUUCAAACUCUACAAGAAAAGUAAGAAGGGAAAAGUAAAAAGUGAAGCCAGUCCCUAUUCUGGAAAUCAAUUUUCUAAUUGAUGAUUAUUUACCCUGGAAGAAAAUAGAAAUCGUAACAAUUCAUUUGUUCAUUGUUGGUAAACUAGUCAUGGAAAUUAGUGUAUGUGCCUUUCUUUUGUCCAAAAAUUUAGUAUUUACUAUUACUGGCACUUAUUUUGUUGUAAGUGCUCAAUUGGGUGAAGCAUUCUACUAUCUUAUCUAGUGAAGGUUCUUAGAUGGUAAUAUUCACAUAAGUUGGUGAUUAUCAUGGUCUUUCUGGUGACUUUCCAACUAGUCUUAGAAAUAAGGAGAAUAACUAUUUCAUGCUGAAAAUUACUGCCCAUUGACUGCAACAUAGAAAUCUAUUAAUUCAAAAGAAACUUGGCUAGCUGGAUGAUACACUAUUUAUGAUAUAGCUCUUGGAAAUUUGUUUUUUUUUUUUUUAAAUGAACCUCAUUGGAACCUCUAUUAUGCUAUUACAUAGUGGUUCAUUCUCUACAAACUAAUUCGAAAUUAAUGAUGGAAGUUGAAAUUCGGCAUUUGAUUGAUCAGAGAAUUUGAUCGAUAUCCCAAGCUUUCAUGGUUUACUAUUUUGCUCGAGUAUCUUGUUAAACAAAUGCACACAAUAUCAUUGGUGUACCAGUGGCGGUCUUGAACAGGGGAACGAGUUCUUUGGAUUAUUUGCCACAAGAAAGCAUUGGUAUAUUCAUAAUGGUGCAUAGGUUUUAUCAUUAAUAAUAAUAAUAAUAAUAAUAAUAAUAAUAAUAAUAAUUAUUAUUAUUAUUAUUAUUAUUAUAAUAAUAAUAAUAAUAAUAAUAAUAAUAAUAAUUAUUAUUAUUAUUAUUAUUAUUAUUAUUAUUAUUAUUAUUAUUAUUAUUAUUAUUAUUAUUAUUAUUAUUAUUAUUAUCUUUAUUUUUAUUAUUAUUUUAUUUGAGGAUGUACCUAUCUAAUGCGUAAAAUUACAGUCGCCAAAAAUCGUAGUUGAUGUGAUCAUAUUUCUUGAUGGGGUCAAAGAAUGAAUCUUGUAAAAUUGCCUAGAUUAUGUUGACCUUCUCAAGUUGGUUGUCAUUUGGUUAUGAAGAGUUUUUAAGAACUCUUCUCUGCCUUCAAAUGUAAGUGAGUGUUUCUUCCCACUCAAAGUACAAAUUAGAGUAGUGAGUUAAAAUAAAAUAAAUAAAAAAAAUCGUGGCAAAAAUUGUUGCUUGAUAAAUGCAAUAUGAUCUUGGAAAGCACAUGUUGUAAAAUGCUUCAUAUUGUUUGAUAAAUUUUGGGCAUAAAUUAUUGGAGUUCCCUAUUGAUAAAAAAAUUAGUAUAUACAAUUACUCGUCCAAUGGGAGUUAUUGUGUAUAUUAAUUUAGAAUAUACCAUGAAGUUUAAUUCCCAUAUUUAAAAGAUGCGGAUGUAUAAUUGAAAAAUAUUUAUCUGCCCAAAAGGGAUAAAUGUUUUGAAAAUUAUAUGUAAUUCCCCUCUAUAUUGAUAUUAUUGAGAUAUAUAAUUUAAAGGAUUUGUCUGCCCAAUGGAGAUGGAUCCUUGACAAUUAUAUGUAAUUCUCCUUGUUGUUGCUUUAUAAACUUCAUGCUGUGAAAAAUAAUUGUGCAUUAUACACUUUGCCCAAAGGGGAGUUUAUAAUGUACUGAUUAUUUUUCUUGAAAUACUUAUUGCCCAUAAUUGAUCUUAUUGCAUUAUGUGUGAUAAAUAGUUACUUUUGCUAUAAAUAACAACAAUGCCACGGUUGAAAUGUUAAUUGGAUCAAAUAUUAUACUGUUAAGGACUUAGUCAAAAAGGGAGACAUUGUGAUUCGGAAUAUUAGAAGUGAGUCCAUGUUGGUUGAUCCUCUAACAAAAAGGCUUACGACCCAUUUUGUUUAAAGAACACGUAAAGAAUAUGGGUGUCUUAGGUUCUUUUGAUUUCUUUUGUUAAUGGGAGUUAUAUAAUUUGUAUUUCUGGAUAUUAUAGUUAUAUGCAGAUUGAUAAUGCUUUUAUGAUGUUUAUCAAAACAUUUAUUUUCAAUGAUUGUUGUUAUUGAUUCUAUUAUUAUCCUUUCUCCUGUCGACUGAGAAAUAGAAGUAUAAACAAUAUCUUUAAACAAAUUUUAGUUUUAAGAUAACUGGAUGUCAUUGACUAUGAGAUCUUAUAUUGGGUUGUGACAUAGUUGUGCAAUUUCAUAUUUAGAAAUUGCAUUGAGGACUGAUAAGAAAUAAUGUAUAUUUUGAUCACAUGUUGGCACUAUUUCUUAUUACACUACUAGGCCCAUGAUACAUGAAAAUAUAAUGCUUAUUAUAUGUGAUUAUGGAAUGUCAUGUGUUGUGGUAUUUUAUUAACACAUUGAUUUCCAUAGUCCUAUACUGAGGUUAUAUAGGAUUGGAUUGGUUUUGAGAUGCUGUUAAUGGAAUAUUAUUUUUAAAGGCGUGGCCACAUAAAACAAAACUUUCAGUUAUUAACCCAAUAGUGUAGUUUUCAAUAUAAAAUAUUUUUCAAAAUAAAAUAAGUUAAUUAAUAUAGCCCAAGUGGGAGAAUGUUAGAAAUUUCCUAUAAUAUGGGCUUACAUUAAUUAAUUGAUUUUCUAUUUUAAAUAAUUGGGUUAAUGGACAUUCCAAUAUUUGUUGAACCCUACAGUGAUCUGAUUGAAUUUGGUAUUGACAUCUAUUAAUAACGGGCUUAGUUGAGCAGCAAAGUGUAGGCAAUUGUAUUUAACUAAAGCCCAUAAUGAAAAGGGCCCGGUUGACACGCUGUUGAUUAGAGUUUGCUAAGUCCCUCUCUAGGUUAUACCUAUCAGUUGCUUUAAAUCCCAUUAAAAGCUGCUAUACUGAAAUAGAUCAUAGAGAGGAAGAUCUGAUAUUCCGAUAGAUCAUUGGUCAUCAUAUUGAUCUAUUUUCUUCAAGUGAAGCAAUAACUCAAACAUGUACGCUUUAAUUUCGUCGUGUUUAUUGAUCUCAGUGUUUACAAUCAUAUAUGGAUCCGUUUUUUCUUGAUUGAUUAGUUGUUUAUGUGAAUAAAUUUUCUACAUGCACUCUAUGUGAUAAAUUUAAGAAUGCUUCUCUAUUUUCUUAUAUAUUCAGAAAAAUUUGCAGAAUAAAAUGUCCAGUUCUUUUUUUUUUUUAAUUUCUUCAUGCAAAUAAAUUUUAACAUCUAUUAUUAGUUUACAAGCCGCACAAGAAAUGAAAAUUAAUUGCGCAUCACGUAUCGCGUGCUUGAAACUAGUUAGUGUAGUAAAUCAUUGACUCCCCAAACCCAAAACCCUUUGAGUUGAGAUAUUUAAAGAAAAUAUCAAAAUUUAUUUCCUUAACGAUUAGCAACUGACCUGGACUCAUGGUUUUCACCCGAGGUGGAUUGGUGGUUUCGUGAUUACCUUUUCAAAUGUCACAACGACUCUUGGUACAAUGAAUCCGUGAGAUAUUUUCCCAAAGAACUCCAAGGACUAUCGCUCCAUGAGUGGCCCAAAGAUAGAAAAAAAAAAUGUGAGUGCUUUGAGUUUGAGGUAUCUGUUUAGAUUCCUAACUUUCGGAAUCGGACAAGAUUUUGAUGAUCAAUGUUGAAAAGAAUUGCUCUUGCAAAAGUAGACUUUUCAGUACUAUUACAUUCCUUAGAACCAUAGGCACCAAAGAAAUCUUAAUCAUAUCACAUUGAUACAGAUUCAGUUCUAAACCUUUUAAUUUGACUAAUUUAAUACUAAAUCUUUUGUAUUUUUGUUAAUUGAGUCUAUCCAGUCGAUUUUUCUAAGAAAUCGCUAACAUGAAUGACAACCGCCUUACGUGAUACGAUCAACACUGACAUUGACAAUUUUACAAUCUUUUAAUAUUUUCUAAACUUUAUUUUAUUUUUUUUCUUCAUUACGGCUGGCAAGGGUCACUAGCAACUCAAGGGCCUACGAGCCCUCACCGACCACUAGUGAGUGUCAUGACCAUUGCCCAGGUCACAAGUUGAGUCCUCGCUAAAUCCCAUUCGAUUCAAUGAACAUUGUCACUCACUUGAUUGUGUUGUUAGUUUCAUCUCCGCACCUAUGACCCAAAGAAGAAAUCGUUUUGAUUUAUAGGUGAGAAAAAAUAAUAGAGGGAAUUUGAAGCAAAGCAGCAAUCUUGUACCAGCACAAACAGGCCCGGUUCAUAGUCGGCAAGAGUCGCUCUCACUGAAUUUGGCGAGGGCUCAACCCUCUCGGCUUGGGCAAGGGCUUGUAGGAUGGCUAGUAUCCAUGUCAAUAAUUUUCCAGUCACAAUUUGCUAGAUGGACUCAUUAUGUAAAGAUGCAAAAUGUUUAAAAUUGACUUUGUUCAAUUGAAAGGUUUGAGUACCAAUUUAAUAAGUUUUUGAUUUUUUUUUAUACUUAGAUCUCAAAGGCGGUAAAGAAAUUUGAGAUUUUUUCUUUUUUUUUUGGAUUUGAUCUCGUAUUUAUAGAAGACUAGAGGGCAUCAGAAUUAUGUGUUUUCGGAUCACAACAUAUUCAUUAUUAACUUAAUCUAACUUGAUUAACAUCAAUGCUGAAGCGAUCCUAUAAUCAUUUCCAUGGAGAAAUUGUUAAUGGUGAUCGAACUUAAAACAUAGGAAGUAAGAACAGUCCUCGUUCUUGCACAACCAAGAGAAAGAUGGACAGGAAAAAGACCUUUGAUUUUGAUUGUUGGUCUUGUUGAAUGGCAGAGGCAUGUUAAUGUCUUGAAUGUUAGGAAAAACUUUCGCAGUCUUCUUCAAGGUGUUCAGCCGACGAGAGAACUUUCCAUCCAAUUACAUCAUGGCCUUUCCCACUUUGUUUCGCUUUCCUUUCGUGGAAAAAUGGGUAUAAAUCUUCGGAUCAUUUAUGGUCCACGUGGAGGUUGACCAUCGCUUAAUGUUCACGUACCGUUUUAUAGUUCAUGUCAAUUCAUAUCCAUUUAUAAAAUAUCUUGGUUUUGAUUCUACACGCUGAACGUGGGAAUUAUGAUGAAAUCAAGUUAAUUCGUAUUAAUUAGUGUCCUCAUAUAGAAUUUAGACAUAUCAUGUCGUCCUAUAUUCGAUUUUUUCUUUGUAAGUUGUGUUUAAUCUCGUUUCUGAAAAUGGGUCUCCAAUGUUUGCCGAUCUAACUUGUAGGCAAAUCCCCCCCCCCCCCCUCUUUUCCUUUGGUCGAUAUCAUACUCAAGUCGAACAAUAAAAGGAAUAGCAUAAAAAGAUUCUCGAGAAAUUCUAUGUUCCAGCAUCCAGUCAUGAGGCCAAUAUAACCAUUGGAUAAAAAAGGAAUAAAUUGAAAAUAAUGGCAAUUCACUGGAGUAUAAGGAAAGUCGACGACUAUAGGAGUGUCAAAGUUAUAAUUGAGUUAAAAAAAAUUACGACAACUAGAACAAUUACUCAUUAAUAAGCUCUUUACAUUGGAUGGAUUGUAAAAGGUUUUACAAUCGUUGAGGAAAGUUUAUAAGAACAGGAAAAGAGAGAGAGAUAUAUCAAUAAGUAUCAACAGUUCUCAUGCUAACAAACUCUAUAAUCAAAUUAUUGCUUAGGGAAACACGUUAGUCAUUGUUGAUGCAAUCAAGGUUAGGACGACUUCACCUAAAUUAUCAAAAAUUGAGGAAAUCUUAAGUGAUAAUUUCUUUAUUCCAAAGGGAAAAAGUCACAAAAAAAAAAAAAAUCAAACUAUACCUACCAUAAUACAUUUAUCCCGAAUUUUAUGCCCACUGCAACCCCGUUAUCCUAAAUUUUUUCUUUUAACAUAAAAAACCCAAACUUAGGGUGCGUUUGGCACCAGCUUUGCCAAGUACCUUUGGGUACCCAAAGCCCAUUUGCCCAAAUAUUUGGUGUUUGGGAAAAAAAUUUAGACCUACCUUGAAGAAAUGCUGGCCUUCCAAAGGCUAAAAGCCCAAGGCAGGUCCUAGGCUGCCUUGGGCUUUUAGCAUUUUCGGAAGGCCCGAUGCGCUGUUCAUCUUCCUCUUCGUCGAAUUCUCAGAUGUUGGCAGGCGAGGUGGCGACUCGGCCGGCAAGGUGGCGAUGGGUCGGCGACGGGUUGGAGAGAGGCCAACAACCGUCGCUGACCAGUUGCGCGACCCAGAUCUAGGUCGCAUCGGUUGCCUAGGUCGCGGCGACCCAGAUCUGGGUCGCAGAGGUCGCCGGAGGUCGUGGCAACCCAGAUCUGGGUCGCGGAGGUCGCCGGAGGUCGCGGCGACCCAGAUCUGGGUCGCGGAGGUCGCCGGAGGUCACGGCGAUCCAGGCGACCCAGGGCCUCGCCGCAACCUAGAUCCUCAGCGACCUCAUGGUGACCUUCGCGGCGCAGUGGGUUGCACGACGGCGCGGCGAGGGUCGCCGCGACCCUCGCCAGAUCGCCUACCCUUCGUUGGCACGAAGCCUUGGCCGACGGUCACCGGCGAAGCCUUGGUCGGCCAACUUUCCUUUUUUUUUUAAAUAAUAAAAGUAUUUUGCAAAUUUAAUUUACCCAAACACUAUUUUGCACAAGUAUACUUCGCAAUGGACUUUCACAAAUAAAUUUACCAAACACACUUUGCAUUUUGAAAAACACCCUUGACUCAAAGGCUUUUACAUUUUCUCAAGAACUUUCCCCAAAAGUCUUCCCAAACGCACCAUUAUGCUCUGAUAUCAUGAAUGGACCUAAACUUAGAACCAUGGAAGGAGAGUAAAUUUUCUGCAGGUAUGCAUCCCACAUUGGGCGAACAACUCCCGUUCAAGCCCUUCAAGGACAGCCUGUUAACAGAAAACCACUCGCCCUUUAGUUUAGAGCUUAGAGACACUCAGAGAUGCCAGGAUGGAAGCAUUUCUAACCUACCCAAGCUGCAUUUCUUGGAGGAUCCUACCAGGCUGGAGAAGAAGAGGAGUUUAGAAAGCCAACAGGUUGUCCCUAAAGGGCUUGAACGGGAGUUGUUCACCCAUUGUGGGAUGCAUACCUGCAGAAAAUUUACUCUCCUUCCCUGGUUCUAAGUUUAGGUCCAUUCAUGGUAUCAGAGCCAUGGUUUUGUUUUUGAUAUUAUCCAUUCCAUGUUGACAGGUGAAUCCAGUGCUGAGAAGAUCUUUUCUCAUCAUGUCCAUAGAACCAGAAAUUCUUGAGGCACCAGUUUCUCUUGCUCCUUCUUCUUCAUCUUCAACACCUCCAGAAUUUCGUGUUUCUAAUGCUUCUAAGAUAGAUUAUCUCUAUGAAGUCUCUCUUAGCGAUGAAACCAAGAUUUCUGAAACCCAACUUCCUCUCAUGAAUCCUUACUCCGCCUUUGCCAAACCAAACUCGUCAUUUUCACCCAUCCGGUCCAUUUGCCAGCUCAUUCAUCAAACCCCAAAGCAAGUAAAGGAGUACGUCCAGUCCUCCAAAUUCGACCAACAUCCUAUUCCUGCUACUGAAAAUGAGUACUUUGUUACUCUCCAGAUCCCUCCAGAAUUUCCCAGACAAUAGGUUCAACAGGAAUAUUCUCAUGUCCAUUAUGGAGCUGUUCGUCUUGCUCUUACCUUUCAUGGCCGUAAAGGUUUGCCAGUUGUGGAAAGAAUAGCAUUGUUGGAUACCAGGUUUUUACAAUACCAGCAUGCUUGCAUCGGUACUGUACAAACAACUUUGAAUACUAGAAUAGUCUUUGUAACUCUAUAUCCAAACUUCAACAUCGCCCUUUCAAACCCCCAGUUACUUUCAUUUCUGAAAGUCCAAGUCCAGCUCACUAGAGCUCCUCAAACUGCUAACUCUGUAGCUGCAACUCUACAUUAUCAGAUGGUUUAUCGAGUGUAGAACCAUGCACUUGACCUCAACUUCAACAAUGGUAAUGAAGAUGCUUUGUUUAUCUCUAUGCAGAAUGACCAGGCAUCAUGUAUCCAUGUUCCCAGACAAAUCCCGAAGGAUACACUGGCCAAGCUCCUUCCAGAGACCUAGAUCACCAACUAUGAAAAGCUACACCAGCAUAACAAGCCUUUCCAGUCUACGAACUCAGAGUUCGUACGAAAAAAAAUAUGGAACUGUUUCCAUCAAAUUUGGCAAGGAAAAUGAAAAAAGCCCUUCUAUCUUACAGACCCUCUUCAUGAUUGAACCAUGUGUUCCUCAAUCUAUUUCCGAGCCAGACCCAAAAAAGCUUGUUAGACACUUUAACGGUGAUGGACAUCCUGUCCAUUACUACAAAGACAACUAUGGUCAUUGUUUUUGAGAUCCCUUUUGUCAAUGUUCUAUUGUACAAAUUCUCCUGACGAGGUAGACCCUUUUGCAAGACCUCCACCUCGACGGAAAAGGCCAAAGGAUAAGGUGUACCAAAGGUACUUAGACGGAGAUUCCUCCGUUGAUACUCUCGGUGAAUGUGACAAAUAUCAGUUCAUGGUUUCUUAUGCACCACCUCCACCGCCAGAGGUCAGUACUACAUCCCAAGCCUUACCAGAUCCACCAAAAACACCUCCACCAUCUCCUCCCAAAAAAAAGCAAGCUCUCUCUCUCCAUUUUAUAAGCCAAUCCUCAAAUGGGCUAAGAAGCACUCUUACCCCCUUGAAGUUCCAGCAGAAGCACCACCCACUUCUUCUAUCGCCAUGUUCCAGGAUACAGAUUUUCCUCCUCUUGUCAAGGAAAGUUCUAAACUCCCGUUCCCUGCUGCAUAAGAGUUUAUUGAUCCCCAUGGCAGAUACCGCCAUGUUCCUAAAAUCCCUACUCCCACUGAUGUGGAUGAACAUGGAAGACAGAAAAAAAAACCCCUGCGGCUGAAGCCGUUCUAAAUUGGCAAUCAGAGACUUUGUUGGCACAAAACAAUCCUUUAAGGCAAUGGAUUCCAAAAUUGGAAAUGUGCAACAAGAUCUCCGAAGGUAUGAUGAAAGUACCAAAAAGAUACUUUCUGAAUUACAGAAAAGGCUUCAUGCCUUGGAAUCAGGACAACAUCUUGGGUAUCAUUAUCUUGAAAGUCCAAAGCCAGAAAUAGAGAAGCUCAAGAAGCAAAUCCAACUUCUUGAAGAAGGAAUGUUCAGACCAUUUGAUCCAUUGGCACCUCCUGUCAAAACCGGGUAUUUACGUCCACUGCCACAAACAUCUAUUUUUGCCACUAUUCCAGAAGAUCCCUAUAGAAGAGAACCAAAUAUGGCAGAAAUACGAAAUCACCUCAAGGCCUUGCAAAAGGAAAAGGGGAAAGAAAAAAUACCACCUACAGAAUCAAGUUCUAUUGUUAUAAGAGAAAGGUCAGAUAAGAUGAUGCUAUCAAAUCCAUUAGAAUCUUUUCUAAAGGAUUUGGUACUCAGGAACCUGACCCUAUUAUCCAACAGCCUGAUCCUGUCAUUCCAGAAAAAACAGAUUAUGCUCCCAAUUGAGCAAACUUCUCCUAAUACUGAAUCAGAUUCAGUAUCCCUCUCCUCCUCUUCAUCCUUCUCAAUUCCUACAGUUGAUUCCCUCCCCCAUUGCUCCAGUAACUUCAUCAAUAUUCAUGGCUGACCCCCCAGAUGAUGAAAUGGAAUCAAACUAUUCUGACCUAGAAAUUGGUCAGACAAGCAAUUCUGCCCAGUAUGUGUCAAUAGCAUCAAAACAAUUAUUCACCAUUGAUGAUAUUCCUUAUCACAAAUGGCCACAAAGGCUUGAAGAAUUUCAUACUUGGUUGAAUACUCAGUCCAUCACCAACCAUGAUAUGAAUGAUGUCCUUUACAACUUUAUUACGAGGUUCACAGGCAGCCUCAAACUUUGGUGGCAAUUAAUCUCUGAACAAGACCAGAUUCAUUUUCUGAUGUCACCAAAUUUCGGCCAUGCCAUCACUCUCUUAUAUCAUGUCUUUGUGGGAAAACCCACUAAUCUCAUAAAGAUGAAAAGAAGAGAAUUUUUCGAAAGAAUAUGCUGCUCCCUCUAGAGGAAACAUCUUGAUAUGCAUUACCGAAUAAUGCUUCAACUCUUUUAUCAAGUUGGAGCAGAUCCAAAUCUGAAGCAUGUUUUCCUUACUUCCAUCCUAAAAGAACUAUCCCAGAUGGUUGAAAGAUCGUUCUUUGGAAAACAAAGGAGAGUACAAGAUAUUCCCUUAGGGGAAAUACAGCAAGAAGUCCAUCUAUACCUACAAGAAUUAUACUUAAAACGCCAAAUGGUCCGUACAUACAUCACAGAUGACAAACGCCUUGAAUCAGCUUGCUCUCGUCAGAAGCUGAAAAUCAAAUGCUCCAAGCAAGACUGCGAUGGUACUUGUGGUAAGUACUCUCGGAAAAAGAAACAUUACAAGAAGCUUUGGAUAAAUAAAUCCAAACAUGGUUCCAAGCAUUUCCGGAAGAAGAAGAAAUGGCGAUACCUACGCAAAAGGAAGGAUCGCAUAGGCCACAAAAAAUCAAACCGUUGCUACAUUUGCAACCAAAAAUGACAUUUUGCCAAAAAUUGUCCUCAAGCAAGAAAAUGUCAAAAUCAUCUAAUUCAUCACAUUGAGAAGGAAACUGGUGUUUCUCUUGAAAAUGAUGAUAUUGAAUCCUUAUUCUCUGCUGAUGAAGAACCAUCUGAACAAACUCUUUGUGUCAUUCCCUCUUACCAAACUUCCAGUGAGACUGAGUCAGACUCAGAGUCUGAAGACAUAUUUCACAUAUCCCUUACAUUUUCGGAACCAAACCUUGACAUCUUCUCAACUCAAACUCAUUGUCCCCAUUUCCCAGUGAAAAUUCUCACCUCAAAGUUUGCCAAACCAAUUACUGUUAUCGCUCUCAUUGAUACUAGAGCAAGUUGCUCCAUUUUAGAUACUAAAGUAUUACCUGAAGAAUACUGGACACCUUAUGUCCAAUAUUUCAAUUCCGCCUCUGGAGAUACUUUCUCCACAAAUGUCAGGACCACUCCUGUAACUGUCCAGUUCUUUCCUCAGUGUUCCAUAAAUACAAAAAUCUUUGGAUCAAACCUCCCCAAUAAAGAUCUGAUAAUUGGGUGGGACAUCAUGACUCAAAUCUCUCAGUUUCGCAUCAUUCCUGGAAAAGGUCUUAGAUAUAAAGAUCAAUUCUCUGAGUUCGUCAAUAUUCAGAGACUCUUUUCCAUUCAGAUGAGUCUAUUAGAUCCAAUCACGCAAAAGUUGUUAGAAUCUUGUUCGGAAUCCCAUUCAGAAUUCGCUCAGAAAUGUUCCCAUCCCCUAUGGGAAAAUCCAGAGUUCUUUGUUCAUCUUCCUUUUAAGAAAAAUGAGGAUAUAAAUCCAACAAAGGCGAGUCACAUGAGAAUGAAGCCAGAACAUCUAGCUUUAGCUCAAAGGGAAUGCUCGAAACUAUUGCAACAAGGCCUUAUUGAAAUCUCCGAUUCACAAUGGGCUUGUGAAGCCUUUUAUGUCAAUAAGCGCGCCGAGCAAAAUAGAGGAAAAAUUAGACUAGUAAUCAACUAUCAACCUAUCAAUCUUUUUCUCCAGCAUGAUAAGUUCCCUUUACCAUCAAGAGAUUCUCUCUUCAUUGGUCUAACCAAGGCUCACAUCUAUUCCAAAUUCGACCUCAAAGCCAGAUUUUGGCAACUGGGCAUCCAUCCUGAAGACAGAUCCAAAACAGGAUUCUGUAUCCCUAACCAACACUUCCAGUGGAAAGUUCUUCCUUUUGGAUUAAAGGUAGCACCAUCCCUUUUCCAAAAGGCCAUGUGUCGCAUUUUCCAACCAAUCCUAUCAAGUGCAGCAGUAUACAUUGACGACAUUCUGCUCUACAGUCCUGAUGAGCAGUCACACUGUCAACUCCUUGAGCAAUUUGCAGAAAUCGUGAAGAAACAUGGUAUCAUGCUUUCCCAAAGAAAGAUGAAUAUUGCCCAGACAGAAAUGGAAUUUCUUGGUAUGCACCUUAACAAAAGUACAUACUAUCCAGGGCCACAUAUCGCUCAAGAAUUAUUGAAAUUUCCUCAAGAUAACUUCACAACAAAGCAAGUUCAGCAAUUUCUUGGGAUAAUUAAUUAUCUUAGGGUUUUUGUCCCAAACAUUGCAAAGCUUCUGAUUCCUUUGCAAUCGCUGAACUUAAGAAGAUUAUGCAGAAUCUCUCACCAUUGCAAAUACCAUCAACAUGCAAAAGGAUUCUUCAAAUUGACGCCAGUGACGAAUACUGGGCAGCCAUUCUCUUUGAAGAAAUUGAUGGUAAGAGACACUUCUGUGCUCAUAAAAGUGGAAAGUUUUCUCAAGAUGAAAUGUAUUACCAUUCCACUUUCAAAGAAAUAUUAGCAGUAAAAAAUGGAAUAAAAAAAUUUGAGUUUCAUCUCAUCGACCACCACUUCCUGGUAGGAAUUAGACAUGACAUCUUUCUCUCAGAUAACCAAGUUUAAAUAGAAACAGAUUCCAAUUUCCCAACUACUUCGAUGGGCUGAAUGGUUCUCAAAAUACUCCUUUGAAACCAAACAUAUUCCUGGAAGGAAGAAUGUACUUGCUGAUUUCUUAUCAAGACCAAAGGCACCAGCCAAAAUCAACAUAUACAUCAAGAGGCCUGCUUUCCAUAUGCUCAAUCAUGGAGUGAAAUACAAGAUUGAGAAGAUCAAAGAUUUGCAAAGCUGGAAAUAUCCCCAGAAGAUUAUUCAGCAAAUCAAGAAUGACACCCUUACCGAGAACUUGGAGAAUCUCAUGUGGCAAACCCACACGAACCUAUUUAGAUUCAAUGGAGGUUCGAUUAUUUAUCCUUUUGGGUUAAAUAUGAAUUAUCCAUUCAUUCAUCCUCUUAUUUGGAAGGAAGAUGAUUUCCCUGAACAGCUCAAGACGUUAUUAUGGUACUUAACCAAUAAGUACCUGAUAGCCAUUGAAAUUCCAACCAGGAGGUUCAUUGCCAACCUCACCAGGAUAUUCUUACUUGGAAGAAAUGUUGAAAAAGAAAGUGAUAAGAAUCUCUUAGACUUUCUUAACUGGUUCUAUCAUCCUACUUAUUGGAAACAACUCUUGGAAAAGGAACUGAGAACCAUGACACUAAAUCCCGAAGUCCAUACCAUUCUGUUUUUCCGACGUCCAUGGCAUUUUUUCACAAAUAAUGGAAGAAUCAUUAAUGCCCCACAGGAAAUAGGAACCACAUCCUAUAAACCUUACUUGGACAGCCGAGAAGCACAGAUUCACAAAUCUUAUUCAAGAUCUGUUAGACUUUGUGAACACGAAUACCGAGAACUCUAGAGAAUCAUGUGCCAGGAAAACAAAACCAUUCCCGAAAAUGUUUGGAAUAAUGUACCCACUAUGUGGGAUCAUUAUGACCUAGCACUAGAAGCUAAGGAAGCACUCGGACAAUACAGACAAGCCACAUCGUCCCAAGAGCCUGAAAUGACAAGCGAAUAUGACAUUGUCCAAUCCACCUAGGACCCUUAUGUGCGCUUUGGAGGCCCUCUGUCCCAAGAUCCCUACGAACAAUUUCAAAGCAUGGACACAUCUUUCUAUGCACAACCAUCCAACUGGCCUCAGCUAAGAAUUCCUGCCAACACUCAAGAAAAUGAAAACACAAACUGGGCUGAAGAAGAAGAAUCACAUUGGGCUCAUGAAGAAGCAUCCUCAUCACGAAGGCUGAAUCAAAUCCUUUCACUUAAAGACCUUGAAGCCCUUGAACAAAAGUACGAGGCACAUCUCCUAGAAAACAGCUCAGAUGACUCGGUUUGUAGCUACAAUGCUCGUGACGGACGAGACCGUUGAGUCCGUACAAUUUCACUGUAGCAAGUCAUUGUUCACUUUUACUAUAGCACUAGACUAGGGAAAGUAUUGUUCACAGUACAAUUACUGUUCAUAGUGUGCGAAUAAUUUCCUCCCAGAAGUUUUCGGUGCCUCUGUUUGUUUCUAGACUCGUGAGCUUGGUCCUUGUUUGUUGCCUUGUGACCUCCGUUGUCUAUAUAAGACAUGGAGGGUGUAAUGUGUUGGGCAUAGUCCCUUGAAGUAAAGUGAGUGUUUUAUGAAAACUCUCUCUAUGGCUUUCUAAACUCCUCUUCUUCUCCAGCCUGGUAGGAUCCUCCAAAAAAUGCAGCUUGGGUAGGUUAGAAACGCUUCCAUCCUGACAUCUCUAAGUGUCUCUAAGCUCUGACCUAAAGGGCAAGUGGUUUUCUGCUAACAGGCUGUCCCUAAAGGGCUUGAACGGGAGUUGUUCACCCAUUGUGGGAUGCAUACUUGCAGAAAAUUUACUCUCCUUCCCUGAUUUUAAGUUUAGGUCCAUUCAUGGUUUCACUUAAAUCGGAACUUGAAUGGAGGGUAAAUAUCUCACAUAAAUACAAAUUUGAAAUAUUUUGUAUCACCAAAAAAAAAAAAAAAUAGGUAUGUGUCAAAAUGAAUAAAAUUCAAAAUUUUUUUAUUUUUGUGGCUUUUGUAAUUUUCCAAAUGGGAUACAUCCCGUCUUAGGCAAAACGGGGUCAACCCUGCACAUCUUCGAAUUUUCAACAUCGGCCUAGCAAAAGCUUCUCCGGAAAGACAGCACAAGCACGGGAGGUUAUCGUGAUUGGUGAACUUCGUCGCUGAUCUAUGUAACCGCGUGACACGUGCCAACGUUAGUUUUGUUUAUUCCGACGUUGAUUUAAAAAAGACGAGCUCAGCUCAGUACUUUCCAGGAAAUGAAGGUCUCCCGGUCUCCGUCUUUUUGUUUUAUGUCGUUGUCCGCCUCUGCUUCAAUGGCAAACCAAGAAUGGUGGCUAUCUCCGUGUGCUGCGGCUUGCGCACCACGUUAUCCCUUUCCCAAGGCAAAACCCCACUUUUGACCUCCUCUUGCGUUAGUGGACCAGCAGGCGCGUGCGCAAAUGGCGACGAAUGACGCACAAAUUUCCGCUGAGUCACGAGUGUAUAUAAGGACAACGCCACCCCUCUUUGUUUCUCCCGCACAACAUUAUUGUUUCAGAGACUCUUCUCCCGAAGCACCAGGGCACCCCCGCACUCCCAGGUUGCAGAAAUCCCCCACCAACCCCCCGAAAUAAUGGGACCUUUUGAUUCACGAGAGCAGGUCACCCUGACCCUCUUCUCUCCCUCCUCUGCUCUCAUGUCCUCAGGUAGCGAUUUCCUCGUCCAACCCAUCUUUGUUCGUGGCUUUUCUGGUUCUCUGCACCUGGUGUUGUUGCUUGCCCUACUCGUCUCGUGGGUUUACAAGAAAAUAAGGGCAGGGCAUGGUGAGGGUCCAAAGGGGAGUCGCGGGAGGGGGAGAGGUGUCUUGUAUAAGCUGACUCUUUGUUGGGCCCUGGGCGUGUCUCUGUUCAAUCUCGCCUUGUGUGUGCUGAACUAUUUUUAUUGGUAUAGAAAUGGCUGGUCGGACGUGAGACUGGUCUCCCUUGUGGAUUCAGCUCUCACGACUCUUGCUUGGGGGGUAAUGUGUGUUUACCUGCAUGGUCGCAACUCUGAUUCUGGGGAAUCCAAGUUCCCUUUCCUGUUAAGAGUUUGGUGGGGCUUCUACUUCUCUAUUUCCUGUUAUUCCCUUGUUUUAGACGUCAUUCGAUAUGAGAAACAUGUUGGCUUGUUGCCGGUUCGGGAUUUUGUAUCCGACGUAAUCUCUGUCUUGACCGGUUCGUACUUCUGUUAUGUGGGGUUCUUCGGGAAAAAUGAGGUUGAAGAGAACCUCCUUGAAGAGCCCCUUUUAAAUGGGAAUAAUUUGAUUUCAAGUAAUAGGGAUUGUGUGGGGUUGAAUAAGUUUAGAGGGAGCGAUGUGGUAACCCCUUAUUCUAGAGCUGGUAUACUUAGCAUAGUUACUUUCUCUUGGAUGAGUCCUCUUAUUUCCAUUGGGAAUAAGAAAACCUUGGACCUUGAGGAUGUUCCUCAACUUGAUUCCGGCGAUAGUGUGGUAGGGGCUUCUCAAAACUUCAGAAGUAAGCUUCGGUUCAAUGGUGAGGCUAGCGAUAAAGUGACUACGUGGAGGCUGGUGAAGGCAUUGUUCUUGUCUGUGUGGAGACAAAUUCUUAUGACAGCAGUUUUUGCGCUUCUUUAUGUGUUGGCUUCUUAUGUUGGCCCAUACCUCAUUGAUACCCUUGUUCAAUUUCUUAAUGGGCGACGCCAAUACAAAAAUGAAGGUUAUUCGCUAGUUUCAGCCUUUUUAGCGGCGAAGCUCGUUGAGUGCCUGUCACAGAGGCAAUGGUUCUUCAGGUUACAGCAGGUUGGGAUUAGGGUGCGAGCAGUGUUGGUUGCCAUGAUAUAUGACAAGGGAUUGACCCUUUCGUGCCAGUCAAAACAGGGCCAUACUAGUGGAGAGAUUAUCAAUUUCAUGUCUGUUGAUGCGGAGAGGGUGGGUGACUUUGCUUGGUACAUGCACGACCCAUGGAUGGUGCUUUUGCAAGUAGCUUUGGCUUUGGGGAUCUUGUACAAAAAUCUCGGGCUUGCCAGCAUUGCAGCUUUCGUGGCCACUGUGCUUGUUAUGUUAGCAAAUGUUCCCUUAGGUAAGUUGCAGGAGAAGUAUCAGGACAGAAUGAUGAAAUCGAAAGAUAAAAGGAUGAAGGCAACUUCGGAGAUUCUCCGGAACGUGAGAAUUCUGAAGCUUCAGGGAUGGGAGAUGAAAUUCUUGUCGAAGAUUUUCGAGCUUCGAAAUGCCGAGGUAGGAUGGUUGAAGAAGUUCAUUUACACUCGAGCAAUGACCUCUUUCGUUUUCUGGGGCGCACCCACCUUCGUUUCCGUCGUCACUUUCAGCGCAUGUAUGUUGAUGGGGAUCCCGCUUUCUUCUGGAAAAAUCUUAUCAGCCCUCGCAACAUUUAGGAUCCUCCAAGAGCCCAUCUACAAUCUUCCUGACACGAUAUCAAUGAUAGCUCAGAC
rnacentral:lncRNA from 1 species